rnacentral:lncRNA from 1 species
AGUUUGAUCUAAGAGUUUCACAUGAGCGUUGCACUUGUUCAAUGCAAGGUGAGAAGGAGCACAAAAUUCCAUCUUGUUUCAACAUUUUUCCAGCUGAAGGAAUGGCCAGCCAAGGUUGUGGAAGGUCCAGAAAUACAGAAUCAGCCAACCCGAAAAAUUCAUCUGGAAAUCCCUCACCCUGAAUAUCUCUGACUCCCACAGUAACUAAGGUGUUUAUUCCUGUCCUCUCAAAAUCCUCUCUGUCAAAGGAGAGAUAAAUCAUAAACAGAUAAGCCAAUGAAUCAGGCCUUUGCUCUCUAAUCAACCCAUAAAAGAAUAAAAGGAAUAAAGGAUCAUCUUCACAUCUUUCUACAGUGAGUUAGACAAGCAGAAACCAUAAAAUGGGACUAAACAUGCUCAAAAGAAGAAAAGAAAAGAUCCAUAAAAUGAGAUGAUUUUGAGACUCUGAAACAUUGCAGCUACAGAUGCAGAAUCUGAAAAUACAUCAGCCCAAAUAGAUUCAGAAAUCAAACUAGAACUCUAACUCAACCUUAACAAUUAUCAAAUCAUAUUUCAUAACUCAAGCUUUGAAACUGAAAUUUCAUCAGAAUGAUAAAAUAAUAUUACAAUGCACUCUCACAAAAGAAAAACAUCUUCUUACCUAGCUGACACAGCCCUCUGUUCAUGGAAAUCAAAUGUAUAAACAUGUCCAGUAGGAGCCACAGCCCUUGCAAGUGAGGUUGUUAAAGAUCCACUUCCGGUCCCUGAUUCAAGAACCAAACAACCAGGAACUAUUUCCAAGUACAUAAUCACAAAGCUAAUAUCUGCAAUAUAGAGAAUCUGAGUCCUGUGACUUAGAACCAAAGUCCAUAGCUCCGGCGUUGGAGCCAAUAGGUAAACAAAUCCACCCUUGUUGCUAAACACUUUGGAACCAAAUGGCUUCCCAAUCCAAUCCGAAUGUUUAAACACACCAAAACGAUUUUGAAGAACCGAAUUCUCACACACUUUAACAGCCUUCAUAGUAUCAUGCCUCUCAUAGACAAUAACUAAGUCUCCAUCUCUAAUGCACCGGUUAAAUGACAUCUUCUUUGAGGGAUCCAAAAGCAACAUCCUCAAAAUACUAAAUUUUAUGCAGAACCAAAAAAAGCAAUUACCUGUCUGUCACAAGUCAGAAAAUACGUUCAAUGUAAGUUACUAUUUAUUAUGUUAUCAGAAAAUUGCAAAAAGCUUCAAUAUAUGUUUCAGAAAUUUCUCUCUUUUUCUUCUUCCAUGAAUUACUGAGAAAAUUUUGGUCUAUUAAGUAAUCAAAGUACCAAAAUUUACUCCCCAAAAGAAAAAGUAAAUUCAACUAUUACCGCAUACCCAAAGUUCCAUUAAGAAUAAACUAUAACAUAAAACACCAGAAAGACCCAAAUUCAUGAAAAUACAUAUACAUUCAAAGCAUGUAUAGGAAAAGAAAAUACUAUCAAUUAUUUCACGAAUAUUUAAGGUAAAAUGUUGAGAAAAAAGACUUACCCAAGAUUUAAUUUUGAUUAGAUAGCAAAUUUUUUGGAGAGAAAAGCUGUAGAAGGAAGUUUUCAGUUUUACCAAUAAAGCUGAAGAAGAAAGGAAAAGAGAAUGAAAGCAGCAAAACCCCGGGGCUUUUUCAACUUCGCGUGUUAGCCAAGCAGGGUUUUCCAGAUGGUUAUUGGACUUUGUGUGGUUUUCAUGGGCUGCUAUUUGUGGGCCAAACUAUGAUAGAGAGGCUCCAUCAUUUCAUUCUAAUCUGUUGUGGCCCAACUAGAUAUGGACCCUGCUGUAAGUUUCUAGGAUCAGAAGCUUCAUCACCCAUCAAGCCCAACUAGAUUAAAUUUAAGCUGUAGGUGAUGGGAUAGAUAUCGAAAGAGUUAUGGAAGUUUGCAGAGAGGUCCACAUCAAAACAUUUCCCAUCUCAGAAAAAAUAUUGUUUCUGCAAUUGGAAGACGGUGAAGUCUCAUCACUUGAAGAUGAGGUGAGCAUAAGCCUUAGGAUUUCUCAUGCUCUUUUUGGCCCUUCACUUGGAUAUUUGUGGAUAACAGCCCUUUUCUCAGUUUCUCUCUUCCCCUUUCAUUUUAUUCUUAUUAUGCUUUUCCUUACUAAAAAAAAAUCUAAAUAUCUAACACAUAUGUCAAACAGCCCUGCACUUUUUGCACUCACCUCUCUCUCCUUUUCUCAAAAUGUGCCAAAAACAUCAAUUCCCUUGUUUGCAUUGCCAGCCACAUGACUACAAUGGAAUGGUAAAACACCAGAUUAGUAUCUUGGGAUACUUAGAAUCUUUUGCUUUGUAUUAGCAUUGUUUGUGACCAUUUAAGAGGGUUUUUGAAAUCAUUGUGAAAAACAUCAAAAACUUAAUGUUUAAUGCUUUGGGGCGAUUUGUUUUGUAGGUUCAACAUAUGAUAGAGAGAUGCCUUGUGUUUCACAUGAGCAGAGAUGACUGUGUCAAAGCACUUGCUAAGCAUGCCAAGAUUGAACCAACCAUCACCCUAACAGGUAAAAAGUUCUCUUUACUCUUUUCAGCGCCUGCAUGUAUAUGUGUUAUUAGUGUUUUGACAUGCUUAAGCUGGUGCCUUUGCAGUUUGGAAAGAGUUGCUUAAAGAGAAGAAGGCCUUCUUUCAAGCCUAUUUCCAGGCUCUAUCUCCAAGGCAGUUCAGCUGUAAGGGCAACAAAACUUUGCAUGCUGAUGAUCAGUUUGGGAAAACCAAAGUGAUUUUGAAAAGUUCAACAACUAAUGGAUUCUUCAAGAUAUUAUACCCUUCUUAUAAAGGAAAUGAAUUCCCAAUUAAGUUUUCCUUUUUAAUUUGGCUUAAACUUAAGUGAGAGGCUGUUUCUCUUAUUGAUGUAUUUUUAUAUCCUAUUCAGAUAUUUCCACUCAAAGGAUGGCUACUUUCAGAAGAAGAAAGCAGUGGCAUUGAUUCAAAGAGCAACAAGAUCAUCAAAAGCCCCAUGAAUGAACUUCUUCCUAGUUAUAAAUUUAAUAAAGUGAUCAGAAACUUCAGAGACAUCUGCUGCAGCCUUCAGAAUGCAAAAUAUGAGUAUAAUUUACUGGUUUUUUUCUGCUCUAGGCCCUGAUAAAGAUUGUAAGCCCUUGCUAUUUCAAAACACUUAAUUCCCUCCUUAAUGAAUUUCGACUUAGAUUCAUCCCAUCGCCUUUAUGAUCAGGCAGAUCGGGAAUAUGUAGCAGAAGACUUUUAUGUUGUAGUUCAAGGCUAGCCUAUUGUGGCGAUCGAGUAUUGUGUAAAGAGUUGCAUACAUGAGUGAAUUGCUUACAAAAUGAUUCAAAUAGCGGUUUAAAAACGAAAUAGUGGUGUGGUGAGGUGUGUGUGUGUGUGGGGGGGGGGGGGGGGGGGGGGAGUGGGAGUUGAAUUUUUUAUUUAAUUUUGUAAUUAAUUUUUGAAAUUUUUUUAGAUAAAAUUUAAUUAGAGUUUUUAAAAAUUUAUAAUUAAAAAAAUAAGAGAUUAAUAAUUUAAUAUAAUAUAUAGAGAGAUUUUAGAUGAAAAAUUUUGAUAAAUUUUUUGUAUAAGUUAGAUGAAAAAUAAUUAAAAUUAAAUAUUAUAUUUUGAUUAUGUUAUAUAUUAAUUUAUAAUUUUGAAUCUGAAUUUUUUUUUUUUUUUGUUUUGAUAUUUUAUUGUUGUCAAUUUUUUUGAUAUGAGAUUAAUUCUUGUUAUUUUUGUGUAAUUAUUGAAUAUUGUAUUUAUUAUAUAAUUAUUGAAAGUUAUUUGUGACAAAAAAAUUUAUAUCAAUUAGUGUAUCAAAAAGAUUAAGUUAUUUAAUAAAUUUAGCAUUUUAUGAUCUAUUACUCUUACUAAGAUUAAAAACUAAAAAAUAAAAAGUAUAGGUUUGAAAAUUUUAUUAAAAUAUAAGUUUGAAAUUUUUUAAUUUUUGAAAUUUUUUUAGAUAAAAUAUAAUUAGAGAGAUUGAAGGUUUAUAAUUAAAAAAAUUAAGGGAUUAAUAAUUUAAUAUAAUAUAUAUAGAGAUUUUAGAUGAAAAUUUUUGAUAAAUUUUUUUGAAUAAGUUAGACAAAAAUUAAUUAAAAUUAAAUAUUAUAUUUUGAUUGUGUUAUAUAUUAAUUUAUAAUUUUUAUAUAAAAUUUAAUAAUUUUUUUUGUGAAUAAAUCAAAUAUUAAUGCUUUUUAUAAUCUAAAUAAAAUUAUAAAUAAUUUUUUUAAAAAAUAAAAGAUAUAGUGUCAUAAACUAUUUUUAAAAUCAUUGAAUAAGAGUUUUUAUAAUUAUAAUUAUAAUUAUUAUAUUUUAUAUAAAUUGUGCAAAAAAAAAAAUUCACGACCGCGAUGCGUACAGUGAUCGUAAUGAUUUUCAUUAUAUCUAAAAACACAAUAAAUAUGACGUGAUCGAAAACGUGACCACGACCGCUAUUUAAAUCCUUGCUUACAUUAAAAGCGAUAACUUUAAGCAUAGUUCUUAAAAAAAAAGUGCCAUGAAACUACUGUAUUGCUGUAAUACGAAUCAGUUUCGUAUCAUGUUUUACUGAAAUUAAGCAAUAUCUGCCAGCUUUGCACAAAAGAAAGACCAAUAGCAGAUUCUUUUACUUCAAUUGAAAACCUGCUCUUGAAUGGUAGGCUACUACUGCAAACCAAGUACUGAAAUUAUUGCUCGAUAAACUUCAAUAUGCUUUCAUCUCUGGUUUUUCCUAGGCAACCAAACGUAAUGGUAGCAUAAAAGUUGGAAAUUCUGGCAUGAAAACAUUAUCAUCACAUAAAUUCAGCAAAGCCUGGAAUCCAAGUAAACUGCAUUGGCCUCAGCAGUCAGGAUUAUACCACCGCUUUGAGAAGUAUUGGCAACCUCAGCAAGGAAUGUAAAAAGCAGGAAGUGGAUGAAAAAGCAUGGACCACUCUUGGCAGCGGGAUAAGGAUUUCAGGCUACAGCAAAAGCAUUAGCAUGGGAAGAACACUAAAGCCCUAGAAAUGUACAUGUCCUGUGUCCACCUGUAUCAUUGCAAUAUAAUAAAAGGGCGAGAAAACAAAAGCCACACAUCAAAAUGAUCAAGAGAAAACUAUCAGUCAAUACACAAAGUUAAGUGUUUAUUUGGCGACGUAGCAAAAAAGGCUACCGCCAUGAACCAAGUCAAAUAGUUACAUGGGCUCUCCUGCCCUGUAAGGCUGUAACCAACAUCAACUUAGGGGCCAACAAAUUUUCCUCGUUAGCUCACGUGUUCAAAGCACAUAAAAUUGUAAGCAAAUGCCGCCACGUCAUCACAUCAUAUGGAUCCAAAUUUAUAUCUCGCGGUUCCACAAUAAGGAAUUAAAAUGCUUAAAAUCAAUAAAAUACAAAAAAAAAAUCAAAUAAUUGAAUUAUCCAUUUCCUCAUAUCCAAGCUACCGAAAGGCCUCUGUUUCUCAUUUCUUCCCCUGGAAAUCAUUAUAUAUUCUGUAAGUAAUCUAUCUUUUCACUAGUUGGAAUCUGUCAUAAAGCUUUUUCUUCUAUGGAUUAUAUUUGUAUCAUGUUGUUGUUAUUAAUAUCAUCCAAAAUUUUGAAUCUUCAGGAUUACUUUAUUUUUCAUGGAUUGCUUAUUAAUUUCAAAUACCCUUUUCGGUUUUUGAUGUAAUUAAUGAAUAUUUAGCACUGCAAUCAGAUAAAAAAAUGGAAAUUUGUGUAUGGAAAAAUCUGAAUUUGAACAUAUCAAAUAUGAACCAAGCAGUUGAUUAAUAGUUAAUAAAAAAAAGAUAGUUUUUUUAAAAACAAAUAAAAAGGGUGUCAAGAAUUAUAAUGGGUAAUUUGCUUUUAGCAGGAUUCGGUGACUGCAGAUACAACGACCUUGAGUUACUGGUUCAAUUGGAGAGUCUUGCUUUGUUCAAUUAUUGUUUUGACUCCAAUUGUUAUGGCAUUGUUUUUAAUAUGGAAAUAUGAAGGAUUGAAACAAGUGAAAUGUGAUGGAAGAGAAAGGCAGGAAGAUUUAGGUUGUGAUGAGUUAUAUGAUGAUGAUGUUUGGAGGCCUUGUCUUCAAAAAAUCCAUCCUCUUUGGCUGUUGGGUUAUCGAGUUGUUGCGUUUUGUUUGGCUUUGGCAACAGUUAAAAUCAAAGUUGUUGUUAAUGAUGGUUGCAUUUAUUACUAUUAUACUCCGUAAGCAAUCUUCCCUAUCCGAACUUGCCUUGGACUAAGUUACUAAUUCUUAUUUAAACUGCUUCCAUCUUUAUAUUUGAAUCAUGGCAUUUUAAGUAAAUGCAAUGACUGUCGUUUUUUAAAUUGGUCGUGAGCUUCUUUUUUUGUACAAGGAAAGUUUAUUACUUUUCCAAAGAGCUGCAAAAGCUGCUAAAUAUCAACCAAACUGCCAAAGGCUGUAUGAGAGUAUAGAGUCACCUAAUCCCCAAACGGUACAAAAUUGAUUUUGAACUUAAAACCAAUGUAUAUUGUUCAUCUAUCUGAUCUUCCGAAACUGAAAUCAGAGCGUAUUUUGCCUUGUAUGUCAAGCUUCCUAAUUAUUUCGGACAGGUAUUUUCCAAAACAUUCUAACUUUUAAGUUAUGAUGUCUUUUGGUGCUGGACAGGUGGACUUUUACUUUGGUUACCAUUUAUUUUGGGGUAUGUCUUCUAAUUAUAUUCUUCCCAUUCUUUGUUGCAAUGUUUCUGCUUCUGCAAAAAACUGUCAGUAUCCAGAUAACUGUAUGCAGUAUGAUUUCCAACUCAUUUUUGCAGUUUGGAACGUUGCUCUCUAUUUACGGGUGUUACCAGCAUAAAAAAAUGAGCAGCUGUGAUUUUGAUGUGGAUAAUGUUAGGAUAGAUUCAGAGCAAGGAUACUACAUGCCUUUAACUAACAGAAAUGGUACAAAUGUUCGUAGAUAAGCCUUAAAUCCCCAGGAAAGAUGCAAUGUUUCACAAACUGCAGGCAUUUCUAGUUAUCUCUUCCAAGUUAUAUUCCAGGUAAAUUCUCUUUUGCCACUCAACAAUAAAAUAAUGGUUCUAAACCUUUUAGUGAAAAUAGUACUAGUAUUUUUACUCUAAAAUCAUUUUUGUAGCACUGCAUUGGAUGCUAAAAGAUUUUAAGAAUGUUGUGGGGAUCCUUUGAGCUUUUCACGCAGCUUCUACCUUAUUCCUCAAAACUUAUAUUUUAAACCUCAUUUUGAUUUGUCAUAUGCAGAUGAAUGCUGGAGCAGUUAUGCCUACUGACUCAUUUAUUGGUCCAUUAUUUAUCCAUUUCUUUCCAUCAAAUAUUUUAAAUUUAAUUUAGUGAGUUCUCUAUCCCUUUGCAUAUCUGGUUUUUGCUUUUGAGCUCAUGCCUGUGUGUGAACAUGUUCAAUAUACUAGGAAUUCAUUCACAUCUAAAUGUUAGAAACAAUCAUGACAUCACGUAGUUCAAGUUCAUAGAAUCAUAGCCAAACUUGCCGCAUAUCUGAAGCAGUUUAAAGAACAAUUUCAUAGCCAUUUCUCUAUAUCCUCCCAUCUCCAGUUGAAGAUCCAUUCAUUCUGUUUUUCUAAUGAUACUUUCUGUCCAAACUGUUGGUUGAUGCUUCUACUUGAACUUGUUUUGGAUUUAUUUCCAGCUACUGUGAAAAUGAAAUAAUUGUGAAAAACUGAGUCAAAUGACUGAAACAAAACGAAAAACAAAAAUUCUUAAAUUUUAUAUGAUUUGUAAAUUUGUGUCUAUAAUUUUGCACAUUUAUAAUUACAUGUGUGACAAUGCAUCGUCAUGCGAGUGAAUAUUAAGUUGGACAAAAAUUUUAUUAAUUAGAUUUUAUCAGCAAAAUAAAUUGUAAAAUUUAAAAAUAAAAAAAUUAUUAGUUUCGUUUUUAAAUUGAUAUUAAUGUCCACAUAUGUAUUUUUAAGAUCCUAUAAGUAAAUAAAUAUAUAUCUAUAUACAUAUAUAUAUAUAUAAAUAUAUUGCUGAUGACUCAUGGUCAAGGGUAGGUUAUUUAUAAUUAAGUAGGUUGUCUAGAUGCAUUGAGACAGAAAUGUAUAAUUAUGAAUAUCAAAAUGUCAGUCACAGACAAAGUGGCAAUUCAAAAAAAGCUAGAUUUUUUUUUCCCUUUGUGUUAAAAAGUUAGAUUCUUGUUUCUUAUACCUUAAAAUUUGUUUAAACUGAUUAUUAAAGAAAAUUAUAGUAAGGAUCGAUCAAAAUGUAGGCCAAAUCUAGUGAUUUAUGACCCAUGCCAAUGCUAUUUCUAGAAGGAUAAUUUCUGUGUCCAAUUUGGUUAGUUAAUAUAUAAUAUGAGAUUUUAAUUAAUUUUAUACUCUAUAUUUUUUGUUUAUUUUAAUGUAUUUUUUUAUAAUUAAAUUUAUCUCUUUUUUAUACUUACUUAAGUGAUUUAUUUGUAAAAUUUUUAUCUUCAUAUGAUGUUAAUUAAAUUUUAAUUAAAAUCAUUACAUUAGUAGAUUGAUUUUGUCAAUUUUAUUUGUAAUUUUAAAAAUUUUUAAAAUUAAAAUUAUGCUUAUUACAUUUACAUGUAAUUGAUAUUUAUUUCAAUAAUUCAAGUUGUACGAAAAUAUGAAAAAAUUAAACCGUUGCAGUACGUGCUCUUAGUAUAUAUUACUUCAUUGUUAAAAUUCUCUCAUACUAACAAAGAGAACGUGUGGAUAGGUUAAAUGAGAGGAAGAUUCGGCCACGAUCAGCUUCUAGAAAAGGGCAGGGGGCUCCAAUUUUUCUUCUCUCUAGCCGACCCCACUCUCUGCCAUAAAUAUGCACAAUAACCAAGGGAGAGAUCAAGCAAAAGGAUGCUCCAGCAAAUAAUUCAGCUACUACCUACUGAUCAUGGAUUCAAAAGCCAUACAAAACCAAGGAAAGAAGAGAAGGGUCUUAUUCUCAAAGCGGUUAACUGGCACUGAUAGCAUGAAAAGGUUAGCUAUCCCAACCAAGAGUCUUGCAUUUCUCCCACGUUUUUGUGGAGGCCAUUCCCUGGAAUUGCUGAUUCGGAUGAGAAUGGGAAGUGCUGGACUUUCGUUUGCUCCAUCCGCAAGACUGGAGCUUAUCAGAAACCGGUUUUUCAACAGGGUUGGCGAGACUUUGUUGUAGCUAAAUGUCUUAACGUUGGUGAUAAGGUAACAUUUUAUGAAGCAGAAGAAGCUGAAGAUGGAAUCAAGAUAUAUGGCUCCAUUUUACCUCAUUCUCGCCAUCGUAUCGAGAUUGUGAGAAAACAAUGAGUCCCCCCUACGCCUAGAACUGCUCAUCAUUUAUGAUAUGCUACAAUAUCAUUCAAAGAAGGGUAGUUUAUGAUUAUGAUUACUGGUUUAUGGCUUUAAAUAUUUUUCCACUGUAAAAGUCAGUGCUUAUCUGUGGGUUUCCGUUCUAAUAUUUUCUAUUUGUAUGGAAACUAGUACUAGCUGGUAACAGUAAUAUAAUAUAUACUAAAUUCAUAGUGGCUAGCUAUCCCCUUUCACAUCUCUCUAUUUCUACAAAAUAUAUGUAAUAUAAUACCCAUUUAAAAGUUUGCGUAAUUGAUUUAAAAGUUUGGGUAAUUGAUUUGUCAAUAUUUUAAUUAUUUUUAUUUGAGAAUGAAGACCUCGAAUCUUUGAGCAAAAGGAUAUGCAUCAACCAAUUAAACCAAAUGCUUUGGAGCAUUAUCUUUCAUUUUUACUAAUUGUUUACCUACCAUCCUAUCUAAACAUUGGGUAUGUAUAACCUACUGCAUAUUUUUCCUCCAUCAAAUUAUGUAAUUUUAAUGACAAAAGGGCAACACAAAGACCUAGGCUAAUGCUCAAUGCAAUGCAAACCAGCUUGUCCUAAUUAAUUAUGAAUUAGUUAGGAAGCAGAAGCCGCUGCUUAUACACACCAACUCCAAAGAUUGCAUUCUUAAGUUGUAUCGCUCCAUUACUAAUAUAAAUACCCACCCACACACACACACACACACACACACACACUUAAACUUUAUCCUCAAUCUUCAUCAUUAUAAUAAAAUAUUCGUUCUUUGGGAGAAUCUGCGGCACAAUUUCCUUAAAUUAAAUCUCACAAGUAACACAGAGAUUAGUUUUCAUUCCAUGAAGACGAAUCAUCCUCAUCACUGAUCAGCACCCUUGCAUUAAUAAAAUCGUUGAAUGCUAUCAUCUUUUUGAUUGUUUCGUUGUGUGAGAUUAAGACAUUAAGUCAUCCAUACUCGGUUUUAUGUUCACAUUUUGUCGAGACUUUACUUUGGAUCGUUUCUCCUUUCAGGAAAACAUGAACUUAAAUAAGAUUGUUAAUCUUGGCUUGGUCAUAAGGGACAGAAAUCCUUGCUUCAUAAAAUAGAUGGAUAGACAGAGAGCCCUGGUUCAAUUCAAAGUCAGAAAAUAGGUUCAGUAAUCAGUACCAUAUAUGUCUCCAGUAAUGAAGGAAAGAGUCUUUUCAAAGUCCCUAACUCACACUGACAUAUGCAAAAGAUUGACUAUUCCAACAAAGUGUCUAGCUUGCUUACCUCGUUUCAGUGCAGGCAAUGCCUUCGAGUUGCGAGUUAGGGAUGACAAUGGCUGCAGCUGGACUUUUGUUCCUCCGGAAGACAGGCUUUGCCAAACCUGUUCUACAAAAGGGUUGGCGAGACUUUGUUCUUGCUAAAGGUCUCAAUGUUGGUGAUAAAAUCACGUUUUAUCAGCAACAAUCUGACGAUGGGAUUAAGGUAUUUGGUACUGUUUUCCCUAGUUCAUACUUUAGGGCUAUCAAGCCCUCCAGGACUGGAGCUGGUUUUGAUCAUGCUGGCGGUUGAUGAUGCUGAACCUUCCAAUACUCUAUGAUACUUAUAUAAGUUGCAGAAGCUAGUGGCUAAUAAAGUAGAGGUUUAGAAUUGCGAUGAAAGGACAACAUAAUCCAAGUCGAUCGAGUCAGGGUGCAUCUGCUGGAUCUACAGUUCCAAGCAUGACAGUGCUUUUUCUUUUUGUUUUUUCCAGCAUAAUACAGCAAAAUAAAUAUAUGUACUCUGAAACGACAUUUUGUAUAUAUAGCAUUCAUUUGGUUUUAAAUCCCCCAGUAGUCCCCUUUAUGUGAUCCAAAUGUUCAGUACAAUUCCCCUUUAGUGUCGAUGUAUAUUUAAGUCAUGUUCUUUGACUUUUGGUAAAAUUAAUUAAGAAAAAUCAUUGAAUAUAUACUUGAAUUGAGCUGAGUUGCAUGAAAAGUUCGUGCACUUGUGCACAUAUAUAAACAAUUCUAUUCAAAUAUAUUAUUCCCCCCACCAAUCCCCUAACAGAAAUGUUUAAGAUUUCCUGGAAAUUGCAAACCCCUCGUGUUGAAAUGGAUAUUGGUCCUGGAAUUUUCAAGCAUCAUACUCAGCUUUUGCUAUAUAUCAAUAUAUAAUCACCACUUCCUGGUCUUUGCGUACCAUAGCUGCUGAGAGAAUUAAGGAGUUUCUCAAAGCUACUCUCUCGGGCUGUUACCUUUAAGAGGUUGGCCAUCUCAAUGAACAGUAUGGAUUCCUUUAAUUCCUCGUUACCAUAUAUGGAAGUCAUGCUGUAGAAUUUCGGUUGCUGUUAAUGAGACUGGGUACAGGUGGCCAUUUAAUCUUUUGCUCCAUUAGGAAAAAAAAAAAAAAAAAGGCCACCCGAGACCAGUAGUGUCCAAGGGUACUUGGGCCUGAUCUGCAAAGAGACUGGAAUGGGCCACACGGGUUGGACUGCGUCAGUAGCAUCUCAUUGUCUUCCUCUAUCUUUUUCUUUUUCUUUAGCAAAUUAUUUAUUUAAAAAUUUGAAAGGCUUGAUACAAAAGCUGAAAAAAAUAAUAAGAAGAAGUUUGUUUCUUUAUGUCUUAACUUCUAAUUAAUAUUACAUUAUGUACUAAUUUUUAUCAACUUGCUUAAGGUUUUAUGAUUUUUUUUUUUGGCAUUGAAUUAUGUAAAUAUAUAAAUAUUGUACUAUAUAUUAACUUCUAUACAUCUCUUUAAUAUUUCAUAAUUACGUGUUUAGCAUUGGAUCAUUUAGGGCUUAGGUCUCGAAGCAAAAAGCAUGCAGUUAUUUUAGUUGUCGUUUAAAAACCAAAAUGGUAAUUCAAAUUCCUUAAUAAUUACGGCAUGCUUUGAAAAUUAUUCUUCUACUUGAAAAAAACAUAAGAGUGAAAGAAAAUGCGAAUGUAUUGUUUGUUUAUUAUUUAAUUGAUAUGCUUCUUUUUGUACUUUUUGGCUUAAUAAAAUUAAAUGAUAUAAUCAAGUUCUACAAGUGAUUUAUGAAUACAUGUCACGUAAAAUAUUAAAAUUCAUAUAUUUAUAUUGUUUUUUAUACAAAAAUUAUGUCGAUAAGAAAAUAUGAAAUACAAUUUUUUAAUUUUGUUAAACUCAUAUAUUAUUAUUAUUAUUAUUAUUACAAUUUUAAAUUGUAUCACUUUCAUAUUUUAUUUUCAUAUAAUAUUUAUUUUAUAUCAUUGUAUUGUAUUUUAAAUUAUCAAAUUUAAAAUUUCUCGUACUUUGAUUGUUAUAGCGAACAUGCCCCCUUUUUUUUUUUUUAACUAGGUUUGGAAUUUUUUAUUUCCAAAAUAGUCAAUCAUUUUUUUACCUUUUUGUUUGGUAGAGUUUUCAUUCAAAACUGUAAGGCUUCACUUAUUGGAGGCCUUGUUAGUUGUUAUCGAAGUCCUGGUCAAUUGAUUGAAUUUUUUUGGCCAAUGACUUUUUGGUUGUUAAAACUGUUAAUUAGUUGGUGCAUUAUUACUUUAAACAGUCAAAUUUAUGGAAAGAAAUAAAACGUGUUAGUAAAUACGACGUGGUAAUGGUUGAAACAGACUCCAUCAACUAAGGGAUUUUGUGGUUGCUUAAGCAAUCUCUUCAAUUAAACCUAUCUAGUUUUUUUUUUUUUCUUUGGUACAUUCCGACUUGUAGUUUAUAUGUAUAUUUUUGUUUGAAGAGGUUUGUUUGUAUUAUUUGUUUGCAAAAAAUUUACCUAAAAUUUCAUUUACAGCUCAUCAUACUCUUGACUAAUUAUCAUUAGAAUACGAGUCAUAUAUAAACCAUUAAUUCUAUUCAAAUAAAUUAUUCUCCCCACCCACCCUAUAACAUAAAUGUUUGAGACUGCCUGGCAUUGGUCUUGGAUUUUUUUUCCUUUGGGAAAAAAGGCCAUCCGAAACCAGUAGUGUCCAAGGGCUAGCAAGCUUUUGUUCAGUCAAAGGCGUUGUACCUGCUUGACAAAAAAAAUCAUUAAAAAUGACUUUAAUUAUUACAAACUUUUUGUUUCACCUAAUGAUUUUGAUGGAAAGAUUUAAAAGUGAUAAAAGGAUGAAAUUUGGUUAAACUUACAUCAAACAAAAAGCUAGAUUUCUUUGACCUUUGGGUAAAAAAAAAAUUAGAUUCUUGUUUCUUAUACCUUAAAUUUUAUUUUAAUUGAUGACUAAAAAAAUUUAUAGUUAAAUAUCAAAAUAUAAGCCAAAUUUAAAAGCAUAAUUUUUGUUUUCGAUUUGAUUAGUUAAUAUAGAUGAGAUUUUAAUUAAUUUUAUAGUCUAUAUUUUUUGUUUGUUUUAAUAUAUAUUUUUAUAAUUAAAUUUAUCUCUUUAUUAAUUUGUUAUGCUUAUUUAAAUGAUUUAUUUGUAAAAUUUUUAUCCUCAUAUGAUGUUAAUUUAAAAAUACUGUCUAUAAUUUAGCGUCCCCUUACAAAGAUCGAUUGACAAGGAUGAAUUAAUAAUUCUGUAACCAGUUUCAACCUGUUUGAUAAUGUCUUGGCUAAUAUUUUGCAGAUACGGCCAAUAAUAGAAAGAUAUGUCGAUGAUGUGACCCAGCAUACUUUUUUUGAAACACAUGCAAUGAAUGAGCUGUUCAUCAAUGACCAUUUUUAUGGUGAAAUUGAAGUUGAAAUCAUCACGAAUGUACUUGAAUAGAACCUCAUCUAUAGGUUCGUACCUCUGUGACCUAAGGACACACAGGAGACGGAAGUUCAAGUUUCGUUGAUCAAUUACGACCUUGGCAGAGCGUGAGCGGGUGCGUGAUUAAAAGCCUGCUGGUCCUUGUCGACCAGCUGGAGCAGCAGAGGACAGCGUGGUGUUUACGCACAGCUAGGACGGUCCUAUGGUUGUCAGAGACUAAGAUAUAUUUAAUUCAUGUUCCUUGAUUUUUCGUACAAUUAAGAAAAAUAAUUGAAUAUAUAAUUGAAUUGUUAUAUAUUAUUAAUUAAUUACCACUUUUACCAUGGCUGCUGAGAGAAUUAAGAAGGAUAUUGCUAUAUAUCAAUAAUUAAUCUAUAUAUCAAUAAUUAAUCGUUGCAUCGCCUGUUGAAAUGGAUAUUGGUCUUGGAUUUUUCAAGCAUCAUCCUCAGCUAUUGCUAUAUAUCAAUAAUUAAUUAGCACUUUUAGUAUGGCUGCUGAGAGAAUUAACAAGGAUUUUUUGUUCUUUGUUUUUUCCUUUAUGAAAAACGGCCAUCCGAAACCAGUGGUGUCCUUAUACCUGCAGGACACAGUCACCUUCUAUCAUCAUAUUCUUAUUACACACAAAAACUCACUUGAAAAUAUUCGUUAUUUUCUCCAAAAAAAAAAAAAAUCAGAAGGAAAAAAAUAUAUCACUCUAAAAUCUCAUAAGUAGAGUUUUAAAAAAAAAUUGAAAUGAAAAAAAAAGAAGAUAGGCUGACCAACCUGAUCUUUUAUACUGAGCUUGGUUCUUGGGUGUUUUUCGUUUGAACAAUUUCUUCUCCCCAUUCAUCUUUCUUAUUUUGUUCCUUUCCAGUGGGCUAGUUGGAAAACCAAAACGGAUUAAAGUUUUUACCUUCUUCCCUAAUUUUAAAUCCCCACUCUUUUACAUUUAAAAAAAAAAAGAAAAAGCAAAAUUGAUAGCAAAAAUGACGUGAAAGGAUAAUAGAGGGAUGAAAUGGGUAGUGGGUAAGAGAAAGAAAAGAAAAAAAAAGUACAAAAAAUUGAAAUCCUCUCUCACCCACUCCUCCGCCAUUUUUUCAGAUCAAAAAAUUGUUGAAAUUUGUUGCCUGAAAGGCAAAAAGAAAGGGGUUUGUCAUUUGAAGGCAAGAGUGAUGGGAGAGGGAAAAAAAAGAAACACCAAGGGUUUCACAGGGGACUUAUCUUAGAACAAGUCAUAACUCAAUUAUUUUUAACAAAAUUUAUGUUAUGGAUGGAUGGAUAUACUAAAUUCAUAGUGGUUAGCCCCUAUUUCUAGUCAUCAAUCCUCAUCAUACUAAUCUAUUAGGAAUCAGGCGCUAAUUAAGUAACCGUACAUAUACGCUAUCCCGUUGGCAUCUCUGAACAAUGUAUUUAUUGUAGUUUUUUUUUUUUUAAAGAUCACCUUAAUUAAGUACUGCUUAAUAGUUAAAACAAAAUAUUUUCUCUUAUCAUAAUAAAAUUUGGUGUAGCCGUAAUUCUCUAGGAAAAAAAGUAAAAGGAAUUAGAGAAACUAUCUAAUUAAUGAUAAGAAAAAUAAAAUUACUUAUAAAUUCGCUGAUUAAUGAUAAGAGAAACAGUACCAUUUAUAGCAAGAAAUAAAUUGUUAUUUCUUGGUUGAAUACAGUAAAACCACUCUCCAUUAGUUUAUGCUAACAUUAUCCCCUUUAAAUUAUUGUUGAAAGCGACUCGUUGAUUGUCAUUUCUUGGUUGAAUACAAUUUGGCCUCAGCUUUAACCUCCGCAUAAUGCCUCUUUGUCACAUGUAGAACGUGCGUACCUUGAUAUUACAUGCGCAGCCGCCCAUUCAAUCCCUUAGCGCCAUGUGUUGAUCAUAUGACCUAUCACGUGUGCACAGCAGCCUUUUUGAACGAUUAGAUAGAGAUCUUGGUAUAAUAAAUCCAUUUAUGAUUUCAGGAAAUUCCCAUCAAGAGAAUACAUAUUUGAUCAAAAUAAAAAAACAAAUUAAAUCUAAGUUAAUUAUCAUUUUGAUUAAAAUCUCGUAAAUUUUUAAAAUAUUAUUUUUAAAAUUCAAUCAAAUAUAAUAAUUUUAAUAAAAAAACUCAGAUAUAUAACUAAAAUCAAUAUUUUAUUCACUUAUUUUUUUAUAAUAAAAAAAAUUCAAGAUUUAACUUGUAAAUUUCUAAAAUCAACUUCGUCAAAAAUAAUAAUAACAACAAAUAACUUUUAAUUAUAAUAUCUUCACUUCCAUUAACAUCACAAUACAUGAUGUCUCUUAUCAAACUUAUAUUCUUUCUCGUUAACAACCAUACAACCCUCCAAUUCAGCAUACUAACGUUGAAGUUUCUUUUUGAAUGAUUAGAUACAGACCUAUCCAGAAUAAGUUGGUGCAAUAUUCCUUUAAAGAGUCAAAUUUGUGAAAAGAAAUCAAAUAUGUUAAUAAUAAUAACAAUAUAUCAAAUAUAAAUUUAAAGCAGUCUCUUAAAUUAAACUUAUCUGAUUUUAUUUUUUUGGUACGUUCAAACUUGUAGUUUAUAUGUAUAUAUAUUUUUUAAGAGGCAUGUUUGUAUUAUUUGAUUGUAAAAAAUUUGCCUAAAAUUUAAUUGAUAGCUCAGUACACUUUUGACUAAUUAUCAUUAGAAUACAAGUCAUAUAAACACUUAUUAAAGAUGAUUAUAAUAUUAUUUUUUAAAAAAUUGCAUUCAAUACACUAAUUUUAUUAAAAUUUAAGAACAAACAAUGUAUUUAUUGUAAUUUUUUUUUUUAAAUAUCACCUUAAUUAAGUAUUGCUUAACAUUUAACAUAAAAUAUUUUCUCUUAUGGUAAUAAAAUUUGGUGUAGCUGUAAUUCUUUAGGAAAAAAGUAAAAGAAAUUAGAGAAACUAUCUAAUUAAUGAUAAAAAAUAAAAUUGCUUAUAACUUCACUAAUUAAUGUCAUAAUGGUUUUGAAAUCAUUAGACAUAAAAUUUUAAAAUCGAAAAAAAAGAAGAGUCACCACUAAUUUUUUUUGUUAGAUGUGAUUAGUCACCUAAAGAAUUUAUCUUUUUAAUAAAACAAUAAAACGAAUUUAAUGUUUAUCAAAAAGAUAAUUUUAAUUUACGAAAAUAAAAAUUAAAUUCGAGAGUUAAUUAUGCAUGAUGAAUAAUUAACACUCUUACAAUACUUAUGAAAAUUAAUACCAAUUAAUUAUACUUUAUCUUCGAGAUUGGAUAAAAUAAUUUCUGUAGACACCGAAUUUUCUUUUAAUUAUUCGGAUUUGACCUUGAAUUUUAAUUUCAUUUAAUUUUAUUAAAAACUAAUAAUUAAAUAUUAAAUAUAAUAAUAAUGUAAAAAAAAGGAGGAGAAGACAGUAGUGCCGUUUUAAUACCCCAUCAAUUCGCUUAUUAUUAUUAUUAUGUUUUUUUUUUUGUGAUGUUUGUAUAAUAUAUCCCACAUAUAAUUUGUAUAUAUAGUCAAUAAUGGUCCAUGCUUGUAGUCAAUGCAUAUAUAGUCAAUAUGUAAAAGUUGCAAAGGUAUACAAUGCAUCUAGUCCAUGCCCAUAUAGCCCACAGCCUCCGCCUUAACCUCCGUAUGGUGCCCUCUUUAUCACAUCGUAAACUAAGUACCCUUGAUGUUAAUUUGUUUCCUGGUGCAAAUUAUAUUCUGCUAAGAUGUGUUAAGUGUAAUGAUUGUUUCUUUGAGUGCGGUUGAGAUAAGCGCUAUGGUUUGAGGAAAAAUUUUUACUUUCAUUUAAAUAUGUGGAAGGAUUUGCUUCAAUAUGGGUUUCACUUAAUUUCUUUGACAUCUUUGAGAUUCAAGGUUUUUAUGGGGGUGAUGGCUCAAAUUUUAGACUGGUUUUCGUUCUAAUUUAUGUAAAUAGCUGCCCGAAAAGGAAUAAUAUUUGAUUGACUUUAUUUAUUUUUUUCUGAAAAUAAUAUUUAUUGACAAAUAAUUUCCUAUCUAGAUAUGAUACAAUGUUAUUAGCAGCAACGAUAUUAGCUUAUUGUUGGCUUAAUUAUAUAAUAUUCAUUUGCCAAAGAAUGAAUGUGCAAUGUCUUAAAUAAUUAUAUGAAAAAGAUUAAUAGCUAGGGUUUGGAUGCAAUUUGCUUAAUUUUAACAGGUUUUAAUUUAGUUGGGUCUCAAAAAACAAAUAUUACGAUUUGCUACUUAAUGAGAUUGUAAAUGUUGAUAUUUAAAAUUUAAACUUGUUAGAUAUUAUUUUUUAAAAAAUAAUUGUAUGAACUAAUGGAUUAUUCAAAAUAGCAAAUUUUAUAAUCACUUUUAUUGGUAUAUACAUACAUAUAGAUAUAUAUAACUAUACGAGUUUUUGACACGUGUGUGACUUAUAGAUAUACAUACAUACAUAUAUAUAUAUAUAUAUAUAUACAAAUAAUUUCUUAUCCUAGAUAUGCAACAACGUUAUUAGCAGCAACCAUAUUAGCUCAUUGUUGCUUAAUUAUAUUAUAUAUCGUUUGCCAAAGAAUGAUGUGCAUGUCUUAAAUAAUUAUAUGAAAAAGAUUAAUGGCUAGGAGUUUUUUCCCAAACUAAGAUGGUUUGCAAUCUUAUUUCCCAAACUAGAGUUUUUUUAACUUUAUUCCCAAAAACAUAUAGUUUUAAAACAACUAAAUUCCACAUAAGCAUUUUAUUUAAAAAUAAUUACACGUAUGAUAAUAAUUUUAUUUUUUCACACCCCUAUUACUUUCUCUGUCUUCCUUAUAACUAUGUUCAUAUUUUUUCCAAAUUUCAUUUUUUCUUAUCUUAUUCCUAAUAAAAAUUUAGAAAAAAAUUAUUUGGAUAGAAAACAAUUAGUUAAGCCAUAAGUGAAUUUUAGUUGCCCGUUUUUGCAAAUCCAUGAAAGUUUCUCAAUAUCUCCAAAAAUUACCAAAUAUCCUUUGAUAAACUCUUAUUUUCUUGUUACUCUUUGUCCAUUCAUCUCUCACCAAAAUUUGCUCCUCAAAAUUUAUUAAUUUGGUCUGCUAUGAGAUCCCUUCCUCUCUUUCCCUAUCUUCAAAUCCUUUUCAUAAAUUUAGAUUUUGGUUCUAAUAUAAUAUGUUAUGAUUUUGUCUCAAUAAAAGUAAAUAAUUCUAAAAUUUUAAAUCUUUCAAUCAUUACAAACGUUUAACACUUUGGCAAAAAAAUUUUGAGUAGGAAAAAAAUCUUAACUCUUGGGAAAGGAUUGGAGGAGUUCUUUCUUUUUGAUUGUGAAUUUUCGACAAAGUCCUUUUUUUUUUUGGGUAAACGUUGGCUUUAAACUUUAAUGAAACAUAUUUAUAUUAAUUUUAGAGGUUUUUUUUUUUUAUCUAUGAAUUUAUUUAAGUAUCUUUCUAAUUCACAAAGAAUUUCACUUUUUAUGAUGAGGUUGUAAACAAAAAAAAAAAAGGUUGGUAGGCAAUGGCUCGGACUUAACUUACGCAUUCCAGUGUCCACCCUAGUUCAAAUUUCUUAAUUUGAAAUCUCAAAAAUCUCUCUGCCUUUUCUUAGACUUUGCUUUUCUUCUUUCUUUGUCUCAUGUCUCCAUAAACUUCUUUGUUGGUGGCAAAGAUGUCUGAGUAUUACCGCUUAACGAGAUGUACAAUUGUCACGAGUCGAGACUUAAGCUCCGAACCGAUGCGGUUUCGGAACUCGGACAUUCAUUCAUUCGACAUCCCGAUCAGCCUGAUCAUCAUGGUUCAUAUUUUUGUGAGGUAUUGUCCGCUCUGAUCCCCUGACCUCACGAUUUUAUCCUACAAAAGACACCUCACAAGAUAUUGAUGGUGUGAACCCUUUUAUACCCCAGUGACUCUCAUAUUAUGUUCGAUGUGGGAUUCAGGACUCUCUUUAGAUCCGUGACACAAUGACUAGGCUGGUAGACAAGGGUCCAAGUCAAUGACACCCUUAAUAAGUCUUUCGUUUUCUUAUUGCUUUGAUUCAAUAUUUUGGCCUUGUUUUUUUUCAUAACCAUUUUUACGUUCAAUUGUCUUUUUUAUUUGAUUUGGUAUAUGGAUUAUGUUUCUGGUUUGGACAGUUUUCAAAUAUGAGAAAGGAACAUACUACUCGGUUUUUUUGGUACCUAAAGAUGAUUACUUUAAGUGCAACAGAAAGAACAAUGGCCUAUAAAGGAAAUGACAAGUGGAAGUUCUGAGUUUCAGUUUCUCAUUCUGGUCCCCUUUUUCUCAUUAAUGGCCAAGAGGGUCAUUGCCAAAAGAGGCAAAACCUGAUCACUGUUGUUAUAGUUGAGAGAAAGGCUACGCCAUCAACUCAUCCCCCUAUGCAGUUCCUUCUCAGUCCCAUGUUCUAGUAAUCGAGUCGAGCCUCCAGCAAAAUCCCCGUUUCCAUCUCCAAGGCCAACACACUUUCCCAAGCAUCAUGGCCCCUUAAAGAGCUUCCCAAAGCAUCAUCACCAGGGACAAUUUUGGCUCCUACAUUUUCAUUCCCUGUGUAUGAACCCACCUAAAGUUUCCCUAUUAUGCUUGCCACUGGUCUUUGAUUGUAAGAGAGUUAAAGGAAGAAGCGAACGUGUAAUCUCUUGUAUUUUGUUUGUAACAGGAGAAAGAUAAUAAAAAAAAAAUGGCAUGGCAUGAGAACCUCAUUUAGUUAAAUAAGUUUAAAACUGUCCCUAUGAAGUAGUAAAAAUUUUAAAGUAACAUUCCUUAGGAAAAAUUUCUAAUAGCUAGGGUUUGGAUGCGAUUUGGUAGUCACGUGAAUUUUUUUAGUCUAUUUAGAAGUACUUUUUAUUGCAAAAUCAACGGCUUAUAUGUCAUUGACAGCUAUAUCGAGGCUUAUUUCGGAAUAGCUUAUUGUCUCAUUGACAGCUCUGUUUUGGACUCUCACAAAAGAAAAAGCAUAGAGAACCUUAAUUAGUUUGCCAGAACCUGAAAACUAGGUCCUAUCAAAUUCACCUGUAGGUAUGAAGAGAAAGAUCUUCUCAAAGCCUCUGAGUCCAACUGAUAUCAGCAAAAGAUUGGCUCUCUCUACGGAGAGUCUUCCCUUCUUCCCAAGUAGCAGAUCUCAUCCCAUGGAGUUUCCAGUUGAGGAUGAGAGUAGUGGGCGCGUGUGGAGGUUUGCUUGCUCCAUCCGGAAAACAGGCUUUUUGAAGCCUGUUUUACAAAAGGAAUGGCUACAUUUUGUUGAUUUUCAUGACCUAAGAGUUGGUGAUGUGGUGACAAUUUAUGACGACGUCUCUGAAGAUGAAAUCAAGUUGUUUGGUAAGCUUUUGCGUCGUUUAUAUUCUCACUCUAUUAAGGUUGAGAAAGCUGCAGUCAAGCCAGCUGGGAGGACCAUAAUAGCUGCAACUGCUGAAGCUGCUGGGGGCACUAAUAAUGAUGCCGCUGCACCCAAUGAUGAUGCUGGUGAAGCUCCUGUGAUGUAAAAUAGAGGUCGAGGGGAAGGGAGGCCAAAAUCAAUUCGGUUUCUAGUUGUAUUACCAAAAGCUAGAAGCUGCAUUUCAGGUAUAUGUAUGAUAUGUAGUCCAUGCAUGCAACUUCCAAAAUAAAUAUGCUACUAAAUAACUAUGUUGCACGUAUAGAGUGUGUAAUAGCAAGUAUCUAUGUCAUUGUCAUCGCCUCCGCCUUCACCUCUGUAGUCUGUAGUGCCUGUUUUAAACUGUAAUACGUACCUUGUUUUCAUCAUUUACGUAUUAAUAUAUGUUUUCUAAAAAACUAUUAAAACACAGUUCUCUUCAAGUUCAAUAACAAACUGACACAACAUACGGUGUAAAAGCCAAUAAAUUAAGGCGCUAUUUGAAAAGAUGAUAAAAUUAAUUGUGAUGAGAUUGAAAAUACUAAUAAAAUUUAUUGUAAUUGUGAUUGAAAAUAAUUUAAUAAAAAAUUUAUAUUGAUUUGAUUUCACUACAACUGAUAUUUAAAUUUAACUGAAAGUAUAUUUAAUCGCAACUCACUGAGGUGGAAUCCAAACGUAGAGUAAAUAGCAACCCAAUAACCCUUAAAAAAACCACCACAAUGGAAGGAUACUGCAUGGGUUAAAAGCCAAUUCAAAAUCCAUUCUCUAUCCCCAGUUUUGGAGAAAUAUUCCAACCAAAACUUUCCACAAGGGCAACAUAGUUUUUCUUUUUUGCUUCUUUUUGGAAGCAUCAUUGGGUCCUGAUUUGCUAGAUCUCAUAUCUAUUAUUGUCAUGAUAUUAGUCUGGGGAGCUUCUACUGCCGGUUGAAUCAAUUAAGCAUUAUUCUUAUUCACAGUUGACGUUAUUUUGUUCAAUUUUUUUUUUUUACAAAGGCAACGACGACUACGUCUUUAAUUUGUGGAAAUUGAGAUUGGUUGAAAAAAAUAAUUUUGAGUAAUUACAUGUAUCUGAUAAUGUAUCAAAUAUAAAUUCAUAAGAGAUUAAGUUAUAAUUAAAAUUAAAACAAUUUAUGAAAAUAAAUAAUAUGUAAAAGUGAUUAAGAAAAAAAUUAUUUAUACAAAAAGUUUCCUGUUAUUGCUUUACUUUAUGAAUAACAAAAAUCGUCAUAAUUAUAUUUGACUUAGAAUACGUAUCUUAUAAUUUGUUGAAAUUUAUUGGAUUUUCAAGAUACAUGAUUUAGUGAUAUAAUAAUUCCUGAUCAAUCUUAUUUUUGUGUUUUUUUUAUAGUGUCAAUUAGAGACUCAUGUAUAUUUAAUUCAUGUUCUGUGACUUUUGAUUCAAUUAAAAAAAUCAUUGAAUAUACAAUUGAAUUGUGCUGAGUUGCAUGAAAGGUCCGUGCACUUGUGCAUUUGUUUUUAUUUUCAAAAACAAAAUUUGAAUCUCCUUUUCCUCAAAUUAAAAAAAAAAAAGAAAUUAGUUUAGUCAUCGGAUUUUUAAAAUUUAUUGUCAUAUUUAUAUUGAUUAUGCAUUGUCAUUACUACAAAUCAUUUUAUUCAUAACAACGUAGAAAUUAGAACGCUAAAUUACUUGAGCUAUGAUACUACAAGAAUUGAAGUAGGGUAACAUAAUUAUUUCUUGCUAUAUUCUAUCCAAUAUUAUUUGCCCCAAGAAAAUAUUGUUAUUUUUUUUCUUAUGAAAUUUAAAAUUUUUUAUUCACCCAUUCACAUUAACAUUCACAGUAAAUGCGAGUAGAAAGUUUUUUUUAAAAAUAUUCAUGAAUUUUUUUUUUCAAAAAUAAAGGCUAUGAAACUUCCAAAAAAAAAAACCACAAUCAUACUUCUGCUAUAAGUCAAACAUGGAAUUGCCAAUAAUGAGUUCAAUGUUCGGAAAUUAUCUGCUCUCGUAUUUAUCGUAACCUCAGUCGCCGUCAGAACAUAUUAUCUGAGCGUGCAAAACACAUUCCAAUAUUCUUUAAACACAUAUUUUUACGCAUAAUAAAAUUAAAUUUAAAAUUUCGUGUAUUUAUAUGUAUAAAAUAUAAAAAUUUAUAUAUUCUUAUUUUAUUUUAUAUAAAAAUUAUAUAUUAUAAUUUAUAUUAACAUAAAAAAUAUAAAAUAUAUUUUUUAAAUUUUAUUAAAUUUAAAUAUAAUUAUUAUUAAAUUUUAUAUUUAUAUUAUAUUCGUAUUAUAUAAUUAUAUCAUGUGUGAUAAAGUAUCAAGUCAAACAAAACUUGCACAAAGCGUGGUCUUUACGUUACUUACAAUUACGUGAAAUUGAACCCAAAGUUCUAAAAAAGUGCGCAGUUAUAUUUUCAAAGAACAAAAGGAAAGUAGAAAGAAUCAUUAGCAAAUCAAUAAAAUAGGGUAUCUGAAAAAAAUCUUUGAUUUCAAGUCCAAAAAGCCGAAACAGAAUUUUGGAAGAGAAAAUCAGACAACGAGGUUCAGCCAAAGGCUUAAUACCUGCAGGAGACAAGGUCACCUUCUGUCAUCAGGUAUCUGAAGGUGGGAUCAGGGUGUUUGGUUCUAUAUUUUUCCCAUGUUCAUGCGACAGUAUUGACAUUGAGAGAGCAACCAAACUUGGAAGAAUAUGAAGCUUGGAAAUUAAAUUUAUUUUGACAAAAAAUAAUUAAAAAUGACUUUAAUUAUUACAAACUUUUUGUUUCACAUUACUAAUGAUUUUGUGGGAAAGACUUAACAGUGACAAAAGGAUGAAAUUCGGUAAACCUUACAUCAAACAAAUCAAUGGUAAAAAAAAGAAUAGGGUAAUUUAGGAAGGACCCAACCAAAUGUCAAGUAUGUUUCACUGGGGCAAGCUACUUAGUGCUUUGGUUUCCAAUAUAGCCUGAAACGACAUGAAAAUGACCUGUCCUUGGAAGAAUUUAGAAAGAGAUUAAAAGGUGGUCAAUUCACAUUUGCUUUUUGUAGAUAUUUUUAAAGGGUGCAAGAGCAAUUUUUUUUUUCUUUUAUAAAAACUGGAUUGAGAAAGAGAUUGUAGAUAUUUGAAUCCAAAAUUUAUUAAACAUUAAUUUUAUAGAUGAUUAUAUAAAUCAAUUUAAUUAAAAUUUUAAUUCAAAUAGCAAAUUUUAUAAUUACUUUUAUCAGUAUAUAUAUAUAUAUAUAUAUAUAUAUAUAUAUCUAAGAAGAAACUUUACAUUCAGCUUAAUGGAGUUAAAGUUUCUUUUUGAAUGAUUAGAUACAUACUGCUAUUUGUUUUUAUUUUCAUCAAAACUUCAUACCAACUCGGCAGCCUUUGGCUUUGGCUUCAUUCGCUUUUCUUUCGAAUACAAGAAGAUUCCAGUAAGAGCCACUGCAGUGCCUGCAGUCCAAACCAGUCACAGUUAAAUUUUAAUAGAAUGCAAGUGCUAUUUUUUUUUCAAUUUGAUUAGUGCAUGUAAAAGCUGAUGGUCAAGGAAGAAUUGUCAAUUGCCAUGUUUUAACAAUUGGUUGAUGAACAAUUUUACCAAGGGUGAAACAGGCGUUUGAAAAGAAGAUAACGGAAGAGACGAUGACCACAACUCUCUUGACACAAUUUCCUACAGAGUGUGUAACUGGGGAUACCGUCUGCAGUAUCAUGUAAGAGACCUGCAAAACAGAAAACAUGGCAAUUCAACUUCGAUUAUACGACUAGAAAUUAGGCAUUCCCUACUGCUAUAGUUACUAUGGUACUGAGGAACUGCAUAAUUUUAGGAUAAAGAAGCAAAUUACAAUAGAUAUAAACAGGCUCACCUGCUGAUAACUGUGGAAACAGAAUCCUGCCAGAAGAUAUCUCAUGCAUAGUUCCCUAAUAUUCAAACCUUGGUUUGAAUUAAUUCAAGAGAAAAAAAAAAAAAAAAAACAGCUUCAUGUUUAUGCAUAGCAGGCUCUAAUUGUUGCUUUAAGACAACAUCAGUGGUGACUCAAUGACAUUUAAAAUUAAGAGCGUAAUUGUCAUACUUCUGUCAUAAAACAGUGGUGACUCAAUGACAUUUAAAAUGUAAAACCAUUGUAAAUUUAUGCUUGAAUUGUAUGUUUUUUUUUACCUCUUUUCUAACCAUGAACUUUUUACUGCACACAUUACGCGAUUGGUUAGUCACAUUGGAAGCCAUUGCGCUACAGAAACCAAUCCCGUUUCAGAACAACAAGACUUGGUCAAGUUUAAGAAACGAGUUUAACUGAACAAGGACCAUGUUUCUAUGAAGGGAUAGUUUAUCAGACUUUUAAAUGAGUUGAUCAUACAAUGUUUCUUAGCAAUUAAAAAAUGCCACAGUAAAUGAGGCUAAUUCCACUCCACCUACAACUGGUAUGAGGGAGGACACUAUCCAGCCACUGUGAAAACGAAAUAAUUGUGAAAAACUGAGUCAAAGAACUUAAACAAAACAUAAAACAAAAAUUCUUAAAUUUUACAUGAUUUAUAAAUUUGUGUCUAUAACUUUGCACAUUUAUAAUUACAUGCGUGACAACGUAUUAUCAUGUCAAUGAAUAUUAGGUUGGACCAAAAUUUUAUUAAUUAAAUCUUAUUAUCAAAAUAAAUUAUAAAAUUUAAAAGUUAAUAAAAAAUAUUUAUUAGUUUUGCUUUUAAAAUGAUAUUAAUGUCCACAUAUGUAUUUUUAAGACCCUAUAAGUAAAUAAAUAAAUAUAUAUUUAUAGACAUCUAUUCUCCUUUUUGGUUUUUUAUUUUUUUUUUGGUUUUAGCAUAUGAUUGUUGAACUCUAAACCUCUUUUCCUUAAGAAAAGGAACAUGGUGGAUCACAAAUGAAAUUCCCAUGCUUUAAAAUAAUGCAUGUAAUACAUGCAAAAUUUUUUGUUUAACAAGGUUUGGGUAUUUUCGAGUUUCGUCUAAAUUUAAUAUCUUUUUUUUAGCGAUUUUUAUUACAUUGUUCCUGUAUCAGCAUGAUGCAUAUUACUUUUUUUUCUCAUUGAAGUCUAUCCUGAACAAGUUAUGCCUCAUUUUUUUAUAUACAGACACAAUAGAAAUGUAAACAACUACGACGAGAAUAAGGGAGCUGACACAACCAAUAUUCGGGGCUCGCAACUCGGAGCUUUAGGAUGAUGAAAUCUCAGUAUCCGAAGAAAGCAUUAGAUGUAGAAACGAAGCAAUUAGGCGCGAAGCAGAUAAAACUUGGGAGGCCUGCUCUCUUCUAAACUUGAAGUUUGACUCAGACAAAGCUGAAGUAGUAAAGCGCCUACAGCAAUUAGAGUCUCCAAUCAUUGAAAGGGACGAGGGAGGCCUGCGCUCGGAUUAAGCUUUCGAGACCAGCUUUCGGGGUAUGGGUGUUCUCUUUUCUCUCAAUGAUUAAAGUUAUCUCUUGGAAUGUUAGGGGCUUAGGAAGUAGAACAAAGAAAAAGGCUUUGAAGAAAUUAAUUUCCAAACAGAUCCUGUCAAUGAUAUUUCUGCAAGAAACAAAAAACAGCCCACCCGAUUCCAGGUUUUUGAAAUAUCUAUGGAGCAGAGAUGCUUUUAAAGGAGAAUGGGUAGGUUCAAAUGGUAGAUCUGGAGGUUUGAUUUCCCUGUGGUCAGAACAAUUCUUCACCCUCGAAAGCUCCUUCAUCAACCACAGAUUCACACUCCUCCAAGAUACUAUCAAUGCUUUAAAUAUCCCCUGUAUCUUUGUCAACAUUUAUGCUCAUAAUGAUCCAGCUGAGAGGAACAACUUAUGGAAUGAAUUGAUUGAUGUUAAAAACUUGCUUAACCCUUCUAAUUUGUGGUGUAUUGGAGGUAACUUCAGCAUUAUCAAAUGCCUUGAGGAAAAUAGGGGUAUCUCAUACGACCUUGCUUCUAUGUCUUCCUUUGUCAACUUCAUCAACUCUAUGGACCUUGUUGAUCUCCAAUUAAAUGACGGCCUGUUCAGUUGGUCUGACAACAAAGAAAUCCCAACUAUGUGCAGACUAGAUCCCUUUUUGCUCAGUAGUGAUCUCCUCACCAAAUUCCCCACACUCCAUCAAAACGUGCUUCCCAAAUCUCUGUCUGACCACAACCCAAUCUGCUUAUCGGUUGAGGACAAGAACUGGGGCCUUAAGCCGUUUAGGCUUUUCUCACAUUGGAUGGGCGAUGCUCAGUUUCUUGAAAUGUUCAAUAAUUCUUGGCAAGCAACCACAGACUCUUCCAAGGCUCCCGGAAUUUUCAACCGCUUAAAAGCCCUCAAAUUUAUUGUUAAAAAUUGGCAGCAGGAUUAUGCCAAUAAAGACGCCCAAAGAAUUAGUUAAGUGGAGGUAGAUAUAGAUGAGUUGGGGAAAAAGGAUGAAGCAUGUAGACUAUCCUAUAAACAGCGUUCCACACUGGCCAACCUGAGGAAUGAAUUGUGGAGCCUCUAUAAAAAGGAGGAGCGCUCGUGGUUCCAAAAAUCUAGUUCACAAUGGAUCAAAUUUGGUGAUCGUAACACCAAGUACUUCCAUCUGAUCGCAUCCAAUAGAAGGCACACCAAUAGAAUCGACAAGCUCAUGAUCAUUAGGAAGGAAAUUUGUUAACCAAAGGAUAUUCAUUCAGUAGUGAUCAAUUACUUCAGCAAACUGUACAGCUCCAAUGAUCCUAUCAAACUCAAGAGCUUUGAUUGUCCUUUUAAGAAAAUUAGUGAAGACUAAGGCUCCCUUCUGGAAGCACCAUUCUCCGAUGAUGAAAUCUGGGCAGCAGUUCAAGAUUGUGAUGGCAAUAAGGCCCCAGGUCCAGACGGCUUUAACUUGGGACUUCUCCAAGACAUUCUGGCCUCUGCUAAAGGGAGAAGUUAUGAAGUUUAUGAACAACUUUUAUUCCUCUGGCAGCUUCAACAAAACUAUUAAUUCCUCCUUCAUCACCUUAGUACCAAAACGCAAUGGCCCGCCAACUCUCUCUGACUUUAGACCAAUCAGUCUAGUGGGGGGUGUUUACAAAAUUCUUGCAAAAGUCCUUGCCAACAGGUUGAAAAAGGUAAUGAGUUCCGUGAUAGGAGUUAACCAGUUUGCUUUUAUUAAGGGCAGACAAAUCUUUCAAUUGCUCACUAAUUGCCAAUGAAGUGGUCGACAAAUGAGAAAAAACAGAGCCGGUGGCCUCAUCUUCCAGGUUGACUUCGAAAAAGCCUUCGACAGUGUAGAUUGGAGCUUUCUGGACAUAAUCAUGACUUGUAUGGGGUUUAGUUCUAAAUGGCGAGGAUGGAUGUUCAAAUGUAUAUCAACAGCCUCCAUGUCGAUGUUGUUGCCCAUCUCCUUUCCUUUUUAAUUAGGCUACUGAAUCCUUUAGGAAAGCUACUUCGAUGGGUCUCUUUCAAGGUGUUGAUUUUGGAAGCAACCCCCUAAAGAUAACACAUCUUCAAUUUGCAGACGAUACAAUUUUGUACUGUAAACCCGACCUAGAAUAGCUUCUGAACAUCAAAAGAAUUCUGAAAGGCUUCCAAAUUAUAUCUGGACUAAAGAUUAACUUUUCUAAAAGCUGUUUAAUUGGGGUUAAUGUUGACAAUCAUAUCUUAAUAAGAUGGGCCAAUACUAUCAAAUGCAGGGCAGAUCAACUCCUCACAACAUAUUUGGGACGUCCGUUGGGAGCUAGCCCCAACUCUCUUUUAACUUGGCAACCGGUCAUUGAUAAGGUAAGAAGCAAACUCUCUUCUUGGAAAACUCAGGUUUUUUCUAUCGCAGGCAGAGUCAACAUAAUUAAAUCAGUUCUUGCGAGCCUCCCAAUUUAUUUCAUGUCCCUAUUUCAAAUCCCUAUCAGUGUUAGGACAGAAAUUGAUGAAAUCCAAAGAAACGUUCUUUGGUCUGGUGCCCAGGGCGACAACAAAACACAUUGGUUAAAUUGGGACAUAGUUUGCAAAGGGAAAAACUUUCGAAGCCUUGGUAUAUGUGAUCUCAAACUCAAAAUAGGGGUCUGCUAAACAAAUGGAUCUGGCGUUACGCCAAUGAACAAGAUUGUCUCUGGAGAAGAGUUAUCUCUGUGAAAACUGGGUCUGAUCCUACAAACCUGCUACCCCCAGCUUCACCAAAGGCUUCACUAGUCUGGUCCCAUAUUACAAAACUGUUAAACCCCUUGAAUCAAUUCCAUUCAGUGGUUUCUACAAAUAUUGGGUUCUCGCUUGGCCGAGGUACUAGCAUCAAAUUCUGGUCAGAUGAAUGGAUUGAAGGCAUAACUCUUUCAGCCCACUUCCCUCGAAUAUAUGCCCUUCCUGUCAAUAAAAAUAGUUAUAUUGCGGAGUAUGGAAUCUGGGUUAACAAUCAUUGGCUGUGGAACAUUGGCCUCCGUAGAAGAUUAUUCGAUUGGGAACUAUUGCAAUAGAACAGCUUCUUCUCACUAAUUGUCUGUUACGUACCACAUGCUACUAAUCCAGACAAAGUCAUUUGGAAGGCCUCCACAUCUGGAACUUACUCAUCGAAAACCUUCUGCAACUAUUUCUACAAAAGGACACUCCACUCAAACAACAUAUGGAAAGCGGUUUAGUCUGGAAUUGCUUCCCCCAAGGUUGAAGUUUUUUGUUGGCAGAUUGUCAUCGGCAAGGUGGCAGUCAAAACUGAGCUUCCAAAGAGAAGCCUUGUAGAAUCCAACUCAGCUUUUUGUCCAUAUUGCAAAACUAAAGCUGAAUCUGUUAAUCACCUAAUGUUUACAUGCCAAUUCCUGUGGAAAGUUUGGAUGGCAUAUGGUAAAGUAUGGGGAGUGUCCUGGACCAUCCUAGGAGAUGCAUCCUCUUUCUUUAAUUCUUGGCAAAAUCUUCUCCAUCCUAAGCAAAACAACAGAAUCUGGGGAAUGCUUUUCUUUGUGAUCCUUUGGUCUAUUUAGCUACAACGAAACGAGAUCAUCUUCCAAAGGCAAAGAACCUGACUUUACACAGCUAUUUGAUAUAAUAAAAGUUCGCCUCGCAAAUUGGAGCAAAGGAAAAUGGCCCUCACUAGUUGCUUCUGUCAAUAACUUUCUUUUUAACCCCCAACACAUCCGCUUCCCUCCUAUUACUUUCAGAGCUAACAUUGUAGUCUCUUGGACAUGUCCUAAUCCUGGCAUUUACGAAGAUUAAUACUGGUGAGUCCGCUUUUGCUAAACCUGGGCCAGCUGCAGUAGGCGGAGUCUUGAGAGACCACCAUGGCUCUUUUAAAGGAGUUUUUUCGAAAUUCAUUGGUAUUGAGGACUUCAACUUUGCUGAAUUCAAGGCUAUCAAAGAAGGUCUUUGUUUUUUCGCUUCUUCAGAAUGGGCUAAUUCUCACUAGUUAGUUGUGGGGAGUGACUCUUCUAAUGUAGUUCUCUGGGCUAGUGGUAGUUCCGGGGUUCCUUGGCCAAUGAAGCACAUUGCGAAGAACAUCGACAUGCUUAAAAGUAAUCUUAAAGGAGUCUUGUUCAAUCACAUUCCUCGGGAGGCUAAAUCUAUUGCUGAUGGACUAGCCAAACCAAGGGUCUUUCGAUCACAAGACUUGGUAGCUUGGCUGUAAUUGUUGCCAUUAAAAUUUGUCAUUUGCUCUGUGGAGUUUCCCUUUUAGUUACUCCUGUUUUGUACUUUCGGUCCCAUUAUCCAAUAAAUAUAUGGCCUUUCAAAAAUAAAUAAAUAAAUAAAUGUAAACAACCAAAAAAAAAAACCUUAUCCCGAAUUCAAGAGUUUUUAUUCAGUAUUGAUUCCUGGCACAAAAAUAUAUGACUUGUUUUUGCAAAAGGAUUCAUGGAGUGAAGAAGAAGAUAAGAUAUUGAUUCAAGUACAUAAAGAAAUAGGAAACAAGUGGGCUGAGAUAGACAAGAGACUCCCAGGACGCACUGAGAACACUAUAAAGAAUCAUUGGAAUGCAACUAAGCGAAGGCAAUGCUCAAUGAAAAUGGUAAAAACUCCAACCCUAGAGGCUCUCUUUUGCAAAACUACAUCAAGUCAGUUAGCUCAACGACCUCAACCCGAAUAGAAAAAAAGGUAAAGGGUGUUGAAAUUACCAAUCCUGAGAUGAAAACAAACCCACACCUAGUUCAACUCGAAACCUCGGAUUUCAACCCAACAUAUUGGCAAGUUGUAGUUUGUAAUGAACAAGCGGAUGAUCAUCACCAGCCCAUGAGUUUCUCUUUCGACGCAAAUGUUUUUUCUAAUCGUAAUCAAAGCUGCACUGCUAGCUUGGGAGUUAAUCCCUGUUGUUCUUUUGUUGAAGAGAGCAACGCCAUGGAUUUUGAGAUUCCCCUAGAAAUGGAUUCCUUGAAAAAGGAACUGGAUUUGCCAGAGAUGAUCUUUCAAGGAAAUCUCUAAUCAUCAGCCGCUGAAAAUUGCAAGAACUUUCUAAUUAUAGUUUGGAUCAAAGUAUUUUAGCGAGAAAAUGACAAUAAAGGAAAAGACAAGGUUAAGUCAUUUUCUCGUACCAUCCAUAGGUUUAAGUGCUUUCUUGUUAAAGUCAAUUUGUGUGUUUUAAGGUCUGUUGUUUAAAUUAUAAUGUUUCAGACAUGCAUCAUUAAUUUUAUUGAAAAACUUUCGAUUAUUUAAUUUUUAUAAAGUUUGUGUUUUAUUAAACCUUCUAUUUUUCUCCAUUAAUUUUAAUUGGGUUAUCUAAGCUUAGAUUUGUACAUGAAUAGCUUGAUCUGACUUAACUCCUAGACAAAAUUUUUUAAUUCAAAUUCAAAUUAAAAUAUUAUUUGAUCAAACUAAAUUAGCCCGAAUCUUAAACAAAAAAUUUGAUAUAUCAACUAGAUCUGGGCCAACCUAUGUAUAUCUAUGCCUAAACUUGACUCAUGGACAAUAUAGGUGAUAUAUCAAUCUUGGGCUUCUUGCCGAUAACUCGUGGUCUAGUUUAGAGAAUAGUGACAAGCCAUAUUGAUAAUGACUCAUGGUCGAGGGUGGGCAAUGCUGAAGAUUCAAACGGUGGGGUACUUAUAUCCAUCCCAAUGUAGGUGAUAUAUCAAUCUUGGGCUUAUUGCUGAUAACUCGUGGUCUAGUUUAGAGAAUAGUGAUAAGCCAUAUUGAUAAUGACUCAUGGUCGAGGGUGGGCAAUGCUGAAGAGUCAAACAGUGGGGUACUUAUAAUCGGAGUUGUUACAACAAGGGUGGGGAUAUGUCAAUGAGUCACGCGGUGGGUUAUUGCCAUAUUCCAUAAUUUGAUAUAUCAUUCUUGGGCUUAUUGCUUAUGAUUAAUGAUCAAGGGUGGGGUACUUAAUUAUAAUUAGAGUUGUCUAGGUAUAAUUGAGACAGAAAUGUAUAACUAUGAAAUACCAAAAUGUCAAUCACAGACAAAGUGGCGAUUCAUAAAAAGCAAGAUUUCUUUUCCCUUUAUGUUAAAAAGUUAGAUUCUUGUUUCUUAUGCCUUAAAAUUUGUUUUAAGUGAUGAUUAAACAAAAUUAUAGUAAGGACCAAAAUGUAGGUCAAAUCUAUUGAUUUAUGAUCCACAUCAAUACUAUUUCUAGAAGGAUAAUUUCUGUUCCGAUUGGGUUUGUUAAUAUAUAGUAUGAGAUUUUAAUUAAUUUUAUACUCUCUAUUUUUUGUUUAUUUUAAUGUAUAUUUUUUAUAAUUAAAUUUAUCUCUUUUUAUACUUAUUUAAGUGAUUUAUUUGUAAAAUUUUUAUCCUCAUAUGAUGUUAAUUAAAUUUUAAUUAAAAUCAUUAGAUUGGUAGAUUGAUUUUGUCAAUUUUAUUUGUAAUUUUAAAAAUUUUUAAAAUUAAAAUUAUUCUUAUUACAUUUACAUGUAAUUGAUAAUUAUUUCAAUAAUUCAAGUAGUACAAAAAAUAUGAAAAAAUUAAACCAUUGUGGCACGUGCUCUUAAUAUAGACUACCUUCUUGUUAAAAUUCUCUCAUAUUUUCCAAUUGAAGCUGUAAGUCAGUGUAGAUAUUUGUUAUGUUCACAUCUAAGUAUUUUAAUCAUAGUAAUUAUUCAUUGGUGAUAUAAUAGUACUCAUCUUUUUCUUUUUUUUUUUUGUAAUCCUUAUCUCGUUCCUUUUUUUCUAUGUUCACAUUGUAAAGAUCGUAAUUAAUUUCUCCCUAUUUUUUGACAUAUAUAUAUAUAUAACAAAAGUUCAACUUUUAUCCAUUUUUUUCUUCUUGUCCCUUUUAUGAAAACCUCUCAUUUUCUCCAAUAAUUUCAAGCUUCUUAAUUGUGGGCUCGCUAUGACUGAAUUAAUCACACAAAGAUAUGGGAAACAGUGAGUUGACUAGCACAUUAAAAAUAGGAGUGGCGGCUCCAAAACCAUGUGCUUGCUAUUGCUGCAUAGCAUGAUUAACCGGCUUUUCACCCUUACAGGCAAGUGGACUUCAAAAUUAUUGCAUUAAACGUUUGCAGGACUUUGUUUUGAAUAGAGAAAAGAGACAAAAAAAAAUGAACAAUGGGUGAACUUAGUUAUAAUGUUUUAACAAAGAGAACGUGUGGAUGAGUUAAGUGAGAGGAAGAUUCCGCCACAAUCAGCUUCUAGAAAAGGGCAGGGGCCUCCAAUUUUUCUUCUCUCUAGCCGACCCCACUCUCUGCUAUAAAUACACCCAAAAAUCAAGGGAGAGAUUAAGCAAAAAGAUACUCCACACUCACACGCAAAUAAUUCGGAUACUACCAACUGAUCAUGGAUUCAAAAGCCAUACGAAACCAAGCAAAGAAGAGAAGGGUCUUAUUCUCAAAGCGGUUAACUGGCACUGAUAUCAUGAAAAGGUUAGCUAUCCCAACCGAGAGUCUUGCAUUUCUCCCACGUUUUUGUGGAGGCCAUGCCCUGGAAUUGCUGGUUCGGGAUGAGAAUGGGAAGUGCUGGACUUUUGUUUGCUCCAUCCGCAAGACUGGAGCUUAUCAGAAACCGGUUUUUCAACAGGGUUGGCAAGACUUUGUUGUAGCUAAAUGUCUUAACGUUGGUGAUAAGGUAACAUUUUAUGAAGCAGAAGAGGCUGAAGAUGGAAUCAAGAUAUUUGGCUCCAUUUUACCUCAUUCUCGCCAUCGUGUCGAGAUUGUGAGAAAACGAGUCUCCCCUACGCCUAGAGCUUCUCAUCAUUUAGGAUAAGCUACAAUAUCAUUCAAAGAUGGGUAAAUUGAGAUUAAGAUUACUGGCUUAUGGCUUUAAAAAUGUUUCUACUGUAAAAGUCAGUGCUUACCUGUGGGUUUCCUUCGUGAUAUUUUCUAUUUGUAUGGAAAUUAGUACUAGCUGGUAGCAAUAAUAUAAUAUAUACUAAAUUCAUAGUGGCUAGUUAUCCCCGUAGACAUCUCUUUAUUUCCACAAAAUAUAUAAUACAAUACCCAUUUAAUCAUACAAAUAAUUGAGAGAAUUCAGCAUGUCCUGGCCUUUUAAUUGAUUUAAAAGUUUGAGUAAUUGAUUGUCAAUAUUUUAAUUAUUUUUAUUUGAAGAAUGGAGACCUCGAAUCUUUGAAAAAAAAGGAUAUGCAUCAACCAAUUAAACCAAAUGUUUUGAAGCAUUAGCUUUCAUUUUUAUUAAUUUUUUGCCUACCAUCCUAUCUAAACAUUCGGUAUGUAUAACCUACUGUAUAUUUUUCCUCCAUCAAAUUAUGCAAUUUUAAUGAAAGAAGGGCAACACAAAGACCAAGGCUAAUGCUCAUUGCAAAGCAAACAGCCUUGUCCUAAUUAAUUAUGAAUUAGCUAGGAAGCAGAAGACGCUGCUUAUACAUUCCAACUCCAAGGAUUGCAUUCUUAAGUUGUAUCGCUCCAUUUUGCAUUCUUUUAAAUUUUAUAUUUCAAAACUAUAUACAUAUAUAUUAUAAGGUUUUUUUUUUUUUUUGCUUUUAUAUAUGUAAAAGUUUGUUCGAUUGUGGAUCAUACAAUACUAAUUCUUAAUAGUAUAUGAUCUUUCAUCUCUCAACAUUCAAUCAACUAUAAAAGAAAAAAAGUGAAUUUCAAGAUUAUGGAUACAACGUAUGUACACUUCAAAAUUAUUGCGUUAAAUGUUAGUUGAAUAGAGAAAAAGAGAAAAAUAAAAUAAAACAAAGUGUGAACGUACUAAUUCUUAGUUUAUAAAAAUGUGUUUUACAAAAACAGUGACAAAAGAUUCGGCCACAAUCAGCUGGGCCGGGGGCUCCAAAUUUUCUUCUCCACCAAUCCUCUGUUAUAAAUACGCACAAAAAUCAAGGGAGAGAUUAAGCAAAAGGAUAUUCUAAACUCACACGCAAAUAAUUCAGCUACUACGCCUAGAGGUGCUCAUCAUUUAGGAUAUGCUACAAUAUCGUUCAACAACGGAUUAUUUGUGAUCAAGAUUACUGGUUUAUGCUGACAUUAUCCGCUUUGGUAAAUUAUUGUUGAAAGCGACUCGUUGAUUGUUAUUUUUUAGUUGAAUAGUAUUUGUGAAAUUGUGUUGCGUGCAUCAGGCCCAUUCACCCCAUGGCCUCACCGUCAACCUCCGCAUACUGCCUCUUUGUCACAUGUAAAACGUGCGUACUACCUUGAUGUUACGUGUGCAGCUGCCCAUUCAAGCCAUAGGCGCCAUGUGUCGAUCAUAUGACCUAUCACGUGUGUGCAGCAGCCUUUUUGAACGAUUAGAUGGAGAUCUUGGUAUAAUAAAUCCAUUUAUGAUUACUAUUGAAAUUUGGAUUCAGCAUAUUGAAAUUGAAGUUUCUUUUUGAAUGAUUAGAUACAGAUUUAUCCAGAAUGUAGAUCACUGUGAGAAUGAAAUAAUUGUUAAAAAGUUGACUCAAAGUGAUUGAAACAAAACAUAAAACAAAAAUGUUUAAAUACGACAUGACUUGUAAAUUUGUAUUCGUAACUUUGCACAAUUAUUCAAUUUGGGGCUUGACUAAAGCACAUUAAUCAUAUAAUUUUGUUUGACAAGUCAAUCUCCUUAUUUCUAAAUUUUUUUCAAUCUUUUGCUGCUUGAGCUUGUCACCGAGCCUCUCAUGAAAUGAAAUAACAAAAUUAUUAAGGGUUGUUUUUUUUUUUAAAUAUAUUAAUAUAAUUUUUUUCAAUUGGCAAUACAUGAUGAUACUGAAGAUUAUGUUUUUACUAGUCUUGAUUAGUUUUAUAAUUUUUUGGUUAUUUUAAUAAAUUUUGGUUUAAAAAAAAUUAAUGACGAUAAAUAUUGAAGACUCUUGUUAAUGUUCAGAGAAACAAUGCAUUUCUAAAAAUUAUUAAUGAUCAGUAAAAUUAUAAACAUUGAAGACUCUCUCGUUAAAUUUUUUUACGAGCUAAAAUAAAAAGUUUUAUAAUGUCUGAUCAUUAAUGAUUUUUAUAAUGUUCAAGACUCUCUCGCUUAAGUCAAAAUUUUUUAACAGACAUAAGUUGGGGGCCCCCUCCCAGCUGAUUGUGGCCGAAUCUUUUAUAAACUAAGAACUAGUACGUUCACACAUAGUUUUAUUUUUUUUUUUUUCAUUCAACUAAUAUUAAUGCAAUAAUUUUGAAGUCCACAUACAUUGUAUCCGUAAUUUAGAAGUUCACCUUUUUCUCUUAUAGUUGGUUGAAUGUUGAGAGAUUUAGUAUUGUAUGAUUCACAAUCGAAUAAACUUUUACACAUAUAAAAGAAACAAAAAACCCUUGUAAUAUAUAUAUAUAUAUAUAUAUAUAUAGUUUUGAAAUAUAAAAUUUAAAGGAACGCAAAAUGAAACUCACGUUUCAAUCGAAAUUGAGAUACGAUACGAUCGAUUUUUUUAAUUAAAUAGAUUUAUGUUUGAGAAAGGUUAACAAUAAAUUCUUUCAAGAUUGUCUAUUUGUCCAUAAGAUUCAGUAUCAAAAGGACAAUCUAAUGUAAUCGAACCCCUCCCCACGCUGUUGCUAAAUGAAGCUUAAUAAGGUUAACACAGGGAACUAACUGCUGGAGAGAUCAAUGGCCAUCAUUAUUCUCUAAUUUGGUAGCGUGCGUGGGUAUAAAUGUUGUCUGUCGGGGUAAAAAGUCCGGGUAAAAAGUCGGUUAAUCAUACUAUCUAGCAAUAGAAAGCACUUGAGGGCCCCACUUCUAUUUUUUAUGUGCUACUCAACUCACUCUUUUCCAUAUCAAUUAAGAAGAUUGAAAUUAUUGGAGGAAAAUGAGAGGCUUUUAUAAGAAGAAAAAUGGAUAUAAAUUAUUAACUUUAUAUAUAUAUAUAUAUAUUAGUUAAAAAAGGGAGAGAAAUUAAAUACAAACUUUAUAAUAUUAACAUAGAAAAAGAGGAACCAAAUAAAAGAUGAAUUAAAUAAAUACUAUAUACAUCACCAAUGAAUAAUUACUUAGGUUAAAGACACUUAGAUGUGAAAAUAACAAAUAUCGUCCCAAAACUUUUAGCUUAGUGAUUAAAGACACUUGAAGAGACACAAAGUGUUUUGUUUCAAAUCAAACUUUCCUCAUUUUUCUUACUUGUACUAAGAAUUUAUCUUCCUGAUGUAACAAAAAAAAAAAUAAAAUAUCUACAUUGACUUGUAGCUUCAAUUUGAAAAUAUGAGAGAAUUUUAACAAUGAAGUAGUCUAUAUUAAUAGUACAUAUCGCAACGGUUUAAUUUUUUCACAUUUUAUGUACUACUUGAAUUAUUGAAAUAACUAUUAAUUAUAGUUAAAUGUAAGAAGGAUCAUUUUAAUUUUGAAAACUUUUAAAAUUACAAAUAAAAUUGACAAAAUCGAUAUAUUAAUCUAAUAAUUUUAAAUUAAAUUUUAAUUAGUAACAUCAUUUGAGGAUAAAAUUUUACAAAUAAAUCACUUAAAUAAGUAUAAUAAAGAGAUAAAUUUAAUUAUAAAAAAUAUACAUUAAAAUAAAUAAAAAUAUAGAAUAUAAAAUUAAUUAAAAUCUCAUAUUAUAUAUUUACUAACCAAAUCGGACACAAAAAUUAUCCUUCUAAAAAUAGCAUUGACGUGGGUUAUAAAUCACUAGAUUUGGCCUACAUUUUGGUACUUAAAUAUAAUUUUCUUUAAUCAUCACUUAAAACAAUUUUUAAGGUACAAGAAACAAGAAUCUAACUUUUAAACACAACGGGAAAAGAAAUUUAGCUUUUUGUUUGAUGUAAGGUUUACCAAAUUUCAUUCUUUUAUCACUUUUAAAUCUUUCCAUCAAAAUCAUAUGUGAAACAAAAAUCAGCAAUGAAGAUGAAAAGCACUCUUUUUAUCUCAUAUCUUACACGUUAAUAUCUCUAGAGAAAUAAUGUAUUUGAAUGGAAUGGUUUAUAUACGUGCAUGCAUGAACUUUGCAUGCAACUUACACCUUUUAAAACAUCUUUUAAAAGAAUUAAAAAAAAAUUACGGACCCCAACAAUUAAAAAACAUUAAAAAAAUGGGGAAAUACGUUGAGAAAAAAUCGGAUUUAUACCUUAAAAAACAAAAUGGACGUGGACUCCACACCAUUUAAAAAAUUUUAAAAAAAAUAAAUGAGACACAAAAAAAAAAAAAAAAAUCAAGAGAUCAAGGCUGCUGCACAACGUGAUAGGUCAUGUGAUCGACACGUGGCGGCUAUGGCUUCGAUGGGCUACUGCGCACACAUCAAGGUAGGCACGUUUUACAUGAGAUAAAGGGGCACUAAACGGAGGUUAAUGCGGAGGCCAUGGGUUAAAUUGCUAGAGCGAAACGAGAGAACAAAGGAAGCAGUUUAAAUAGCUAAUACUCCCUUUGUUCCAUUUUUUUUUUUUCAUUUUUCUCUUGAAAUAUUUUAAAAUUAAGCUUUUUUAUUUUUAAUUUUCAAUUUUUUUAUAUUUUAAAAUUAUAUUUUAUGAUUUUUUUUUUUACUUUUUGACAUUAAAAAUCACAAAAUUUUAAUUUUAAUAUUAAAUACAUUAAAUUUAAAAAUUUUUAACUCUGUAAAAAUUAAUAAAUAAUAAAUAUUUUGAGAUAAAAAAAUUACUCAAUUACAAUUACAAAGGUUUCUAAAGUUUUUUAGUCCAAAGCAGUGGUCUCCACAAAAGAUGCAUAGAAAAUAAAUCUCUUAAAUUUUAAAAUAUCUUAUUUAAUCAAUAAGAUUAAGACACAUCAACUUGAAAAAUUAAAUCUCCACAAAGAUACGUCAACUUGCGCUUUGAAAAAAAUGUACAAAACAUAUUCAAAUAACAGUAACUAUUUGCUCUAAGCAACGGUAUAUGCUAUUUCUUUUGUGGCUUCAAAAGUACUUGACGAGAACGGCUUCCAAUUGGGCAAGAUAUGGAUCGGGGAGAGUGUUGUCUUGUUCUUUACGACAGGGCCGACGAUGACAUAUAAGCCGGCGUUUUUGGAAGUUUUAAUUACGGUCCAUUCUAAAACAUUCAUUAAAAAGUAUUCAUUUUAAAUAUUUUCGCUGAUCUGUUGAAUGCUUGAAACAAACCUGCCAGUAAAAAGUGGAGAUUUUCCCACAGUAGAUUGACGACAUGCAGUGUAUGUUGGAUUUCAACUGGGUAAGUCCAUAUUUGCCGCUUAAUCCACACUUUUACUUUGUUUCUCCCUCUCACUAUCAUUCAUCAAAUAUAUAUAUAUAUAUAUAUAUAUAUAUAUAUUUAAAGUUAAUCACAAAUGUUUUAUUUUUCUGAUCAUUAAUUAGAUAGUUUCUCUAAUUUUUUUUAAAACUUUUUUUCCUAGAGAAUUACAGCUACACCAAAUUUGAUUAUGAUAACAGAAAAUUUUUUAAGUUAAAUAUUAAUCAGUACUUAAUUAAGUAAUCUUAAAAAAAAACUACAAUUAAUGCAUUGUUUGUUCUUAAAUUCUAAUAAAAUUAGUAUAUUAAAGGCAAUUAAAAAAAAUUGUAACCAUUUUUAUUAAGUGUUUAUAUAACUUGAAUUCGAAUGAUAAUUAGCUAAUCAGGAGUGUAAUAAGCUGUCAAUGAAAUUUUUGGUAAAUUUUUGACAAAUAAAUAAUAAAAAUAAAUCUCUUCAAAAAAAAAAAGGACAUAUACAUAUAAACUACCAUUUUGAACAUACCAAAGUAAAGAAACUAGAUAAGUUUAAUCGAAGAGAUUGCUUAAGUGUUUUAAUGGUUUUGAGAUUGUCGGAUGUAAAGAAAUUAAAAAAAAAAAAAGUCGAUCAUUAAUUUUUUUUUAGAAUGUAAUUGAUCACCCAAAAAUUUAUCUUUUUAAUAAAAUUAUAAAAAUAAAUUUAAAGUUUAUCAAAAAUAUAAAUUUUGAUCUACGAAAAAUUAGGUUGGACUCGAAAGUUUGUUAUGUAGCAAGAAAUAUUAGCACCCCAUAAUACCUAUAAAUUGGUUCUAAUUAAUCAUACGUUAUUUUCAGUAUUAAAUGAAAUGGUUUCGGUUUGAAAUUUAAUAAUAAUUUUUUUUUAUUAUUUAAAAAAAUUAAUUUUAUCAAAAUUCUUUAUUUUGGAGUAUCAAAAAAAUCUUUAAGUUAAAAAAUUAUCUUAAAAUUUUCAAACAUCUAGGUAAAUUUAAAAUAAUUCUUUUCACUUAAGAUUUAACACAAUAUUCCUUAAAAUUAAAAUAACUCUCUUUGUAGAAGAUAAUUAUUGGUGACUCUCAAACAUCUAGGUAGAGAUUUAACACAAUAUUCCUUAAAAUUAAAAUAACUCUCUUUGUAGAAGAUAAUUAUUGGUGACUCUCAAACAUCUAGGUAGAGUACCAAGAAUUAUUUCGUUUAGAAUGUUAUUUUUGUUUUAUUUUAUAAUAUCAUAAUUUUAAAAUACGUAUUUUUUCAUAUUUUUUGUAAAACAUUUUAUAUGAAAAAGUAAAUGAUAAUAUUAUCAGGUAGCAAAUAAAAAUUAAAGAUCGAGGAAUGCAAAAUAAGUGCCAACAAUAACAUGAUAACGUAUGUAUGCCAAUAAAUGUUAUGCAAGGUGAUAAAAUGCAAUUUAAAAAUAGAUUCUCAAAUAUAAUGAGACUACAUUGACUCUUCAACAUCUAGACAAAGCUUAGGUAUAAUUAUUUAUAUUUAAAAUCUCAUUUUAUUAUUAUAUUUUUUAUUUAUUAGUUAUCAUUUCAUUGUUAAAACGAGGACUCACAUAAAAACUUAAUGAAAUAAAAUUUUAUAAAUACUCCAUCAUUUAGGAAGCAAUCAAGAACAAAUUACUCUACUUGAGAUUUUAACUCGUAUCCUAAGGAUUUUGGGAUGGUCUUGGUUCAAGCUUAGGUUGAGGUUUUAUAAAAUUUGAAAGGUUUUUUGGUGAUGAUUCGAGGUUGCAUACCAAAUUUGGGGUUUUAGGUUUUGAAUUUUAGGGUUCAAAGGGUUUAAGGUUUUGAUUUUAGAGUUUGGGGUUUAAGGUUUUGAUUUUAGGGUUCAAAGGUUUUAGGAUUUUAGUUUUAGGGUUUUGAGGAUUUAGGGUUUCGAUUUUAAGGUUUGAAGGGUUUAAGGUUUUAUUUUAGGGUUUGAAGGGUUUAGGAUUUUAUUCUAGGGUUUUGAUUUUAGGGUUUGGAGAUUAGGAUUUGGAUUUUAGGGUUUAAAAGGUUUAGGGUUUUGAUUUUAGAGUUUUAGUUUUUAAAGAAAAUGUGAACAUCUCUAAAAAUCUUCAAUAUUUAGGUGAAUUUUCAAAGCAAGUUUGGUUUUUAUAAUUUUCGAAACUUAAUUUGAAAUUUUUAGUGUGUUUUUAUUUUACAAAAAUUUAUUAUUAAUAAUAUUAUUAAUUUAUUAACUUUUAAUUUUAUUAUUAUUAUUUAAUAAUUCUUUAACAUCUAGAUGAAAUUAUUUUUUAAAAAAUAAUUUUUUUAUUCUCUCUAUCAUUUAAGCAAGGAAAAAUUUUUUAUCACUUUGUUUUUAAUUUUUUAGGACUUUUUUAUUAUUAUUCUCUUUUAUUUAUUAAUUAAUUAAUUAUUAUUAUUAUUAUUAUUAUUAUAAAAUAACAAAUAUUUGUUCUAAUAAAUUUUAGAAGUUUUAAACAUGCAUUAAUAAUAAUAAAGCUAAAAAUGAUAUAAAUAAUAUAUAUAAAAAUUAAAAAAAUUACUUGAACUGGAUUAAUCAAUGCUGAUUUGAUUGGAUCGACAAAGGUUCAGCGAGUGGUUGGGUUGAACCAGCUGGAACUGGCUGAAGUGAGUUGCCAGGUCGAGUUGCAUGAAUUUUGAGUCAGGUCACGAGCACGCAUGAAUCCUCCAUUCUUAAAACGACAUCAUUUUGCUUCUUUGUUUUUUUUUUUUUAAAUUUAAAAGUCACAUUUUUUUUCACUUCAUUUCUCUUUUUUUCAAAAAAAAAAAAAACCCCUUUUAGCCCAAAAAAUAAUCUCUCUAGCCUUGCCAAAAAUCGACAUAAUGUCAUUGAGUCUGCUGCUGCCUGAGGUCACCAUUGGUAGUAGUUGAUGAUCAAAAAAUGCUAAAAAAAAUCUCUUCUCUUUAACGUUUUUUUCUAGAUCUGGCCUCCUUUUUAUCGGGAACAACCUUGAUAGGAGCAAAUUGGGUCUUGAAGUUUUUGGUUUCUUUUUUUUUCUCUCUUUUUUUUAUAAACUAUAACUUAUGUAUUUUUUACUUUUUACAGGGAGCUCGGCACUGAUGGUUCCUCCCAAUGAAAAAUAUUGUGUUUUUUGUGUUUUUUUCUAUAUUUUUUAGCAGUUGAUGAUUUGGAAGGGGAGUAGGCUAGCAGGUGUGAUUUAUGGGAAAAUGGUGGGGCUUGGUUUGGUUUAGGGUGUUGCAAAGGUAAAGUAGGUGUUGGCGGGUUGAGGAUGAUGUUAUAGGAAGGUUUGGUUGUGGUUUUCAAAGCUGGGUGUUUGAAGGUUAGGGGUGUGCAAGCGUUGGUAUAUGCGUGGGUAAUGGUAUGCUUCUUAGAGACUUGGGGUUUCUGGGCAUGGGAGAGCUUGGUCUAGGGAUGAAGCUAGGUGCUUUAAGGUGCUGGGUGUUUAGGAGGUGGGUGGAGUAGGUGCCAGGCAAGGUAAGACCGAUAGUUCUGGGUAGUUUGGGUAGGUGAGGUGUAGAGGCUAUGGGUAUAGGUUCCGAUGGCUAUAAGGCAAGGAAGUGGUGCAAUGGUAGAUGUAUAGGCUUAGGGUUUGAUAGGGCUGGGAAUGGUGAUGUCAGGGGCAGGUGAAUAGGGUAGUGCCGUGUACGGCAUUAUGCUUAUCCCUAUCAUAACUUUUUAAAAAAAAACUUUUUUUUUUAAUUUUAAUUUUUAAUUUUUUAAUAUUAUAUUUAAUUAUUAAUUUUAACAAAUUUUAAAAUGAGAUUUCAUUCGAUAGACUCAAACAAAAUUCGAUAUCAUUUACCCUUCUUUGUAGAUUUUUUAGAAUUAAUAAUAGGACAAGGACAAAGACAACAAUUUUGUCCAAAGCUAACUCGAUAAAAGUUUUUUUUUUUGUGUUUUAGAGUUUAAGACUGAACUACGAAUCAAGUGAUAAAGACCGAUUGAGAUGAUACUAUAAAGCAAAAAAUAAAAAUAAAAAUAAUCAAGAUUAAAAUGUAAGUUAAAGAAUAAUGAGACUAAGAUUGAACCAUGAGUCAAAAAAUAACAACAAUUCAUAUUGAACCGUGAGUAAGAGAAUAUCAAUGAUAGGGAUUAAAUUACGAGUUAAAAAAUAAAGACAAUUGGGAUUAAAUCAAAAGUCAAAAAAUAAUAAUGACUAAAAUUGAAUCACGAGUUAAAAAAUAAAGGCAAUCGGGAUUAAAUCGCAAGUCAAAAUAUAACAACGACUGAGAUUAAACUACGAGUCAAAAAAAUAAAAAUGAUCGAAAUUAAACCAUGAGUCAGAGAAUAGCAACAACUAGGAUUGAAUCUCUAACCAGAAAAAUAAAAAUGAUCGAGAUUAGACCAUAGGUUAGAAAAUAACAAAGACUGGGAUUGAACCGCAAGUUAGAAAAUAAAAAUGAUCGGGAUUAAACUAUGAGUUAGAGAAUAACAAUGAUUGGGAUUAAACUGUGAGUCAAAAAAAUAAAAACGAUUGAGAUUAAAUAGCAAGUUUAAAAAUAAAAAUGAUCUAGAUUAAAUUGUGAGUCAGAGAAUAAUAAUGACUGAGAUUAAACCGUGAGUCAGAAAAAUAAAAACGAUCGAGAUUAAAUCGUAAGUUAGAGAAUAACCAUAAGUCAAAAAUAAAAAUGAUCGAGAUUAAAACACAAGUCAGAGAAUAACAACGACUAGGAUUGAACCAUGAGUCAGAAAAACAAAAACGAUCAAGAUUAAACCAUAAGUCAGAGAAUAACAAAGACUGAAAUUGAACCGUAAGUUAGAAAAAUAAAAACAACUCGUAAGUCAGAGAAUAACCACGACUAAGAUUGGAUCGCAAGUCAGAAAAUAAAAAUAAUUGAGAUUAAACUAGGAGUAAAAAAAAAACAAUGACUGAGAUUGAAUCACAAGUCAAAAAAUAAAAAUGAUCGAAAUUAAAUCGUGAAUUAAAAAAUAAAAAUAACUAAGAUUAAAUCACAAAUAAGGGAAUAAAAAUGAUUGGGAUUGAACCGCUAGUCAAAAAAAUGAAAAUGACUAUGAUUGAACUGUGAGUCAAAAAAUAACAACAACUGGGAUUGAAUUGCGAGUCAAAAAAAUAAAAAUGAUCAGGAUUAAAUUGCAAGUCAGAGAAUAACAACUAUUGAGAUUUAAUCACGAGUCAAAAAAUAAAAACGACCAUGAUUAAAUUACGAGUUAGAGAAUAACGAGAUCAAGAUUGAAUCGUGAGUUAAAAAAUAAAAAGACUGGGAUUGAACUGUAAGUUAAAGAAUAAAGAGAUUAGGAUCGAACUGCAAGUCAAAAAUAAAGAUGACCAAGAUUAAAUUAUGAGUCAAAGAAUAAAUGACGACUGAGAUAGUCUCGAUUUUGAAAAUCGUGCUAGAGGUAACAUUUCAUCUUCAGGACUAUCAUCAUUGUUUUAAAAAUAAAAAAAAAAUACUAAUUCCUUUUGAUGUCUCAUAGAGAACCUUUAAUGUAACUUAUCAUAAGAGGUAUGUAAUGCAUGCAAUGAUUGUGAUGAAUAAAAAAAGAUAAAGAUUCAAUUAGUGAAUUAUAUUAUGCAUUUUCAUUCAUGUUAAUUUAACUUUUGAAAUUGGUUUUAUUCUUUUAGACUUUAAAAAUCUCUUUCAGUAUUCUCAUCUUUUUGAAUCUUUCUAUUUUUAUCUAGUUGUUUCUAUUUCCUCUUAUUUCAAAAUCUUUGACUUCUGAUGGACCCAUUUGACUUUUGGUUACCUUAAAAUCUUUUUCGAAUUCUUUUUUCAUCUUUUCAUCUUUUUUUUCUUCUUGUUUUUGGUGAUUACUUAAUUUUAUUUCAUUUUUUUAUCUUGUAUUGUUAUUUUCAUCAUCCUUACAUUCUUUUUUUGAGCGACGCAUUUCUAUUAUAAACAUUAUUAGUCAUUAUCUUAAUUUUAAAUGAUAAAUAUGAUGAUUUCAUGUUCAAGAUUGAAUAUGAAACUCAGUUAACAAUGGGGUAUUUUGGUUUAGAAAGAUAAAGAUAAGUUUUUUGAACAUAAAGACUGGGUAAUUCAAAGCAUUUUAAGAACGAAAUAUCAAUUCUCUAAAUAAUGAACAUUUAAAUGGCCUUGACUUACUCGGGCCAAAUCUUUUCUUAAAAACUUAUUACAUUUGAGAUCUUGUUAUGUUUGAUCUCAUAUAACCAAUCAUUGCCCCGUAUCUGCAACUAAUGAAAACUUGCCCCUAAAAGUUAUUUUCUUUAAUUCUGGCAUCGAUUCAUCUAAUUGUGUGCUAUCCCUUCAUUUUUUGAAGGAUUUUUCUCUUAACUCUACCUUCAUUUAAGUUUUUUUUUCAAGUUUUUAGCUUAAAUGAACCCCAUUUUGGUUCAAACCGCCAUUUUUAGGUUUUUAGUUUGAAUUGUCUCAUUUUUCUCUUCUUUUAUUUUUUAUUUACCUUUUUUUUCUUUUUUUUAAGCAAAAUAUUUUUUAACAGUGUCCGAAUUUACAAGGUUUGGUAAUUCAUCACUAUCAAUUUCUGUAAGAAUUAGAGCUCUACCUAAAAAUGCCUUUUUUACCACCUAUAGACCAUCAUAAUUGGGCAUCCACUUUCUUCUGUUGUCAUGUUGAUGUGACAAAACCCUUUUUAAAACUAAUUGACCUUCACGAAAGCACCGGGGUUAUAUUUUCUUGUCAUGUGCUCAUAUGAUUUUUUUUGGUAUGUUUGUUUAUGAUUGAGUGUUGAGAGCCUUUUCUUUUCAAUAAGAUUAAGUUGCUCGAAAUGGUCUCGAACCCCUUCUACUUCAUCCAAUUUUGCCUCCAUCAAAACUCUCAGGGAAGAAAUUUUCACUUCAAUUGGUAGUACAACCUCUAUCCCGUUCACUAGCGAAAAUGAAAUGGCCCUCAUAGAGGUUUGAAUUGAUGUUCUAUAUGUAAGUAGGGCAAAAUGUAACUUUUCAUGCCAGUUUCUAUAUGUAUCGAUCAUUUUCUCUAAUAUUCUUUUAAUAUUCUUGUUCAUAGUUUCUAUCGUACCAUUCAUUUUUAGGUGAUAUGGUGCUAAAUGAUGAUGCUUUAUCUUGAAUUAUGCACAUAAUCCUUUCAUUAUUUAAGUUGCUAACAUUAUCUGAGAUUAUCUUUUUGAGAGCUCGUACCGACAUAUUAUUAUUUUUUUUUAUGAAUUUACACACCACUGAUCAUGUAAUACUAGCAUACAAAGCUACUUCCAUCCACUUGGUGAAGUAAUCAAUUAUUACAAAGAUAAAACAAUACCCAUUUAAAGUUUUCGAGGUUAUAGGUCCACUCACAUCCAUUUUUCACAUAAAGAAAGGCUAUGACAGUGUCAAAACAUGUAGUGAGAUUGGAGGGGUAUAAAUUUUAUCCAUAUAAAUUUAAAGUUUUCGGGGUUAUAGGUUCACUUACAUCCAUUUUUCACAUAAAGAAAGGCCAUGGUAGUGUCAAGACAUGUAGUGAGAUUGGAAAAGAAUGAAUUUUAUCCGUAUAAAUUUAACAUUUAUGGCACUUUCUGUCAUAAUUGAUGUAGUCAUUUUUCAUUGUAGAUUAAUAGUAACCCACUCUCAUAAUUUGCUUGGCCAUCUUAUGUUUAUUGGCAUGUUUUUCAUAAAUUUUUUCAUGUACUUCUUCAAGUAUAUUUCUUGCUUUAAUAGCGUCUACACAUCUUAGCAAGAUUUAGUCUCGGCUCUUCUUAUACAAGAUUUCUCCAUCAAGCACAAACCCUGCUACUAAUCUUUGAAUAAUUUUUUUUUAUCAUUUUUGAGGCCUGCUCAAGGUAGUUUUGGCACUUGAUAUGCUACACAAUGUCCUAAUACCAUGAUUGCUGAUCUACCUCAUCUUCUACAUUUGAAUAGUGGGUCGAUGAAUCUUUUUUUGUGUAUUUUGAUGGGCUAGAUUCUCGUACUAUCAUUUAACUUGAACAUUGUUGCUAAAGUAGUUAAGGCAUCUACAAUCUAAUUUUUUUUCAAGGAACAUGCUGAAAUUGGAACUCUUUGAACUAUUUUAUCAAACUAGUUAUGUGUCUUUGGUAUAAUACUAAUUUUGGGUCCUUGCUCUCUCAUUCGCUUUUUAGUUGAUAAAUUACCAAGGUUGAAUCCUUAUAUACUUCUAAUGUCUUAAUCUUCCUUUCAAUGGCCAUCUAUAAAACCAUGGCACAUGCUUUAUAUUUAGCAACAUUGUUUGUACAUUGAAGUCUAACCUUACAGUACAUAGAUAAUAAUUUCUUUUUGGAGAUAUUAGCACUACCCCAAUGCCAUGUCCCAUUAUAUUGGAUGCUCCAUCAAAAAACAUCUUUCAUACUUUUCUUACAGGCUCUUUGUCUUCAUCCUAUAAGAUCGUCAUUAAGUCUUUAACUAGAAACUUGAACUUAUAGGUUCGUAAUCUUUUGUAGUUCAGUCAGCAAGAAAAGUAGCUAUCGUACUUUCUUUUAUGGAUUUUUGCAUCAUAUACACAAUAUCAUAUUCUAAGAGUGUGACCUGUUAUCUCGUUAUCUUGCCUAAUAUAGAUGAUUUUUUAAAAAUAUACUUGAGGGGAUCCAAUUUUGAUAUCAGUCAAGUUAUAUGAUAGAGCAUAUACUGCCUAAGUUUACAAGUAGUCCAAGCUAGGGCACAUUAUAUUUUUACUAUUUAGGCAUACUUGGCCUUAUACUCCAUAAAUUUUUUACUUAAACAAUAUAUAAUAUACUCUUUCUUAUCAGUUUUAUCUUUUUGUCCUAAUACACAUCCCAUCGAUUCUUCCUGCACCGUUAGAUAUAAAAUUAAUGACCUUUCCACAACUGAUGGUGCCAAUACUAGUGGGCUUGUCAAGUACUCUUUAAUCCUUUUAAAGCUAUUUUGGGAUUCUUUGUCCCAUUCACCGAGAUUAUUUUUAUGAAACAACCUAAAGUCGGAUUGUAUUUUGAGGUGAGUUGGAUAUAAAGCGAGAAGUAUAAUUCAAUCACCCUAAAAAGCCUCUCAUUUUUUUUUGCGUAAGUGGCAUUAACAACUCUUGAAUGGCUCAAAUCUUAUCAGGCUCUACUUCUAUAACUCUUUCAGUAACUAUAAACCUUAUAGACACCCAAUUUGGUCCAGGCCUGGAUCAAUUGGGCCUGGUCCAAAUGGGUAAGUCUAUAUUUUUUUUCUUUCUUUUUCUUCAUUUUAUUUUUAUUUUUUUUUGUAUUUGCAUUUGUAUUUUAUUUGUAUUAUUAUUUUAUAUAUGUAUAUUUUUUUUCUUUUAUUAUUAUUGUUAUUUUAUCUUAGGUAUUUAUGUAUUUAUUAAUAUGCAUAUAUCUUUAUUAUUAUUUUUUUCCCUGUUAAUAUUUAUGUAUUAUCUGAUUUUAAUUUAUCUAUUAAUUUCUCUAAUUUAUCUGAUUUAUUUUCGUUUGGUUUUUUCUUUUAUUUUUUUGAUUUACCUGGCUGGAGAUUGGAUUGGGAUUCAAUCAGAAGAGUCCAGAUUGAAUUCAAAGAUUGAAUUCCCGUCCAAAGAGGAAUUGGGAUUGAUCAGAAACUCUUGAUCAAUCCCUAUAAAAAAGAUCCUCUGGAACAGAACAGGACACAUAGAAAAAUAGUAAGCAAAAAUUACUGAUUUGAGAGAAAAAAGGUGUAUAGAAGAGUUUUUGAAGGCUAGAAGAAGGUUGAGAAGUGUUAGAAUAGCUGUGGGAAUCGAAAAUAAUUUUUUAGAGAUUUUUGGCGAAAAUUUUUUUGAAAAUUUCUGAAAAAUUUUCAGAUUCCGGUGAUUUUUUCCGACGAAGGUUGAAUUUUUCGUUGAUGAUUAUGGCCAACUUUGAAGUUUUCGACGAGCUGCCCAAUUUUCGACAAAAGAUCCCAGAAAUCGACCAACUUUUCGAUGAACUUUCGACGAAAAACCCAGAUUUCGACAAAAAAAUCCAGAAUCUGGUGAACAUUCAACCGGAGUUCUUCGACCUUUUAGAGAGAAGCGAGAGGAAAAAAGAAGAAGAGAGAGAGAUGGGAGAAGAUUUCUACCAAAAAACAGAGGGAAGAGCCUUAUAUACCCUCCCAAAACGACGUUGUUUUUGCCUUAAGUGACUUAGAGGAUCCGCGCGUUUUGUCGAGAUUCGACCCAACCCGAGCGUCGACCCGCUUCCUGACCCGCGCAUGUCUCCCCCCUCCUAGCCGAUAGCUGAGCCAAGCCGAGGUCCCAAGCUCUUCUUCGAGCCGUUUUCUCUUCCUUGAGUCGAGCCGAACCGAGCCGUACUCCGAGCCGCUUCGGGUUUUUUUUUUAUUUGUUUAUUUUUAUUUAUUUAUUUAUUAGAUUAGGUUUAUUUAAUAUUCUUUUUAUCUUUAUUUUAUUUUUAUUUUUGUUUUACUUUUUUUUUUAUUUAUUUUCACUUUUAUUUUGUUUUAUUAUUCUAUUUUCUUUAAAUAAAAAUAAAAAAUAUAUAUUUUUGGGGAAAAGUUGAAAGUAUCAAUUUUCCUUGAAAAUUAAAGUUUCCAAAGAAUAUUUUUGGGAAAAAGUUGAAAGUAUCAAUUUUUCUUAAAAAUAAAUUUUCAAAAAAAAUCAACUUUUGAGGAAAAGUUGAAAGUAUCAAUUUUCCUUGAAAAUAAAAGUUUUCAAAAAAUAUUUUUGGGGAAAAGUUGAAAGUAUCAAUUUUUCUUAAUAAAUUUUCAAAAAAAUAAAUUUUUGAGGAAAAGUUGAAAGUAUCAAUUUUCUCUACACAAAAAAAAUAAUCAUUCUUUUAUUCCUUUUUAUUUUUUUUAUGUUAAAUAAUCUGACGACGGAACCUCUGUAAGUGAAACAGUAGUUUUUCUUGCACACUCUUGAGGUGAGAGAAUUUUUUCAAUUUUCUGCUAAAAGUAUUAGAGUCAAUUGAGAAUAAUUUCCAAUAAUUAAUUACUCGGUAAAAUUUUAAGGCUCAUUGGAUAACACAAAUUUAAGCUGGUACCAUCUUUUAAUGGGCGUUGUGAGGGUGCUAUAAUCUUUCUCACACGUAAUCGAACUCCCAAACCCUGUUUUGGUUAGAAGACCUGAACCUAUUCUUUUAGGGACCCUUGAACUUAUGUGUUCCCUGAAAAGACAGAUUCCUUAGGUGGCCAAUCACACCUAGAUAAAAAAAGAUUGGUGGCGACUCCCUAAAGUCAAUGUCUAGCGAUAGAUCUCCGGAUCUAGACGUUAUAACAAACCCUAGCAAUUUUCUAGAUUUAACACCAAAUGUGCAUUUGGCUGGAUUCAACUUGAGCUAAUAUCUUCACAAAUUUUCAAAUAGCUUUAUGAGAUUAGCAACAUGAUAUUCACUUCUUGAGACUUAGCUAUAAUAUCAUCAACAUACAUCUCUACAUCCUUAUGUAUCAUAUCAUGAAAAAAAUGACCAUCGCCCUUUGAUAUGUGGUGCUGGCAUUCUUUAACCUAAAAGGCAUGAUUUUAUAGCAAAAUAUCCCUCACAUAGUUACGAAAGUAGUUUUCUCCAUAUCUUCUCAAGCCAUUUUGAUUUGGUUAUAGCCUAAAAAUCCAUCAAUGAAUGAAAAGGUGGAGUGCUUAGCAGUGUUAUCCAUAAGGGUAUCAAUAUGUGGCAACGAAAAAUUUUCCUUUGGGCUAGUCCUAUUUAAAUCUCAGUAGUCUACACACAUUUUAACUUUUUCAUCUUUCAUAGGAACUGAGACUAUAUUGGUUACUCAUUCAGGAUCUUGGCUAUUUCUAAAAAACCUACACCAAAUUAAUUUUUUACUUCUUUUAUCUUUAAUAACAUUUUUGGUUUUAUGUGUUUUAACUUUUGCUAUACCGAUUGACACUUUGGUUUUAAAGGCAAUCUAUGCUCAACCAUAUUUGUACUAAGUCCGAGUGUAUCCUGAUAGGAUCAUACAAAUACAUCGACAUAUUCUUGCAACAAAUUCACUAGUUUUUAUUUUUCAAUCAAUGAUAGUGAAGUAUCGAUCCUGACUUCUUUCUUGUUCUCAAUAUCUCCUAAGUUUAACAAGUUGACGGAUUCCUAAUAGGGUUUUAUAAUUUUCUCCUCUUACGUCAUCCAUUUUAAUAGAUCAUGAGAUAAAUCAUAGUCUUCUGAAUUAAUAUCGUUGUCUAGCUUGCUAAUGUGAAUCGAAUUUUCAAAGUUAAACCUAGUGUUAUUGCCUUGAUCAUCCAUAAUGUUCAUUAUUAAAAGAUCUAAAAAUAGGUAUAAUCACAAAGAAAUAUAUAUACUGAUCUUUGCAAAGGCAAGGAGAAUAGUAAUGAGAAAGAAAAAAUUGAGAACAUGGUAUAUGUGGAAUGCAUCGCAUUCAUCUUUUUAUUAGGAUAAUGAAAGUAAGCCCAUACAUUUAACCUUCGCAUACUCUUGGGCAGAAACAAUUGGAAGUCUUAAGUUUUAACGGUUCAAGGAUAAUGAAAACAGUGCAUCAUUCUUGGAUUUCCUAACCUAAGAAAGGAAAAAAAAAUCUCUUCAUCAUGCACAUCUUUCUCAUCUGCCCUAAUAUAAACUUGAGAUAAAGCUUCUUCUAAUCUCAUUGUUGACUCACCCUUUUCAAUCUCUGACGAUCUAGGAUGUACAUAUUUGCUAGAGUAGAAUGUCUCGUACAGAUAGGGGAACACCAUUCUUCCAUCAACCGAUUCAUGCCCUUUAAGGCAUGCCAUUCUCUUUUCUUUUUUCUCUUACAUCAUGCUUCUUCUAUCAGCGGUUGUAGGUUUAUAACCCAAACCCGAUCUCUCUUUAUUCUCAAUUAUGCUUGGGGCCUUUUGCCUUACACGCCCUGAAGUAGACUUCAAUUGUUACUAUAUAAAAUUUUCAGAUCAAACAUUGAAGGCAGUAAUGCUAGGUAAAUACAUCAGCUUACAAGCAACUUCGGCAAUUUGACAAAUACAAAGCUGACAUUCUUUAACUUAAACACCGGUAUGAUUAAGGGAACCAUUUUGACAACAGGUAAUGCUUGGCAUUGACUAUAAAAGCAAACAAGUCGUAGCAUGAUAGAUGCCUGAAUGCCAAAAAAAGGUACCUGCAAAUGCAUACAAAAUAGAAAUGGAUGAGAAAAGCAAAGUGUGAGAAAAAGCUGAAAAAGGAAAAAUAAAAAAAAGGGCCCAUGGAAGUAUAUUAGACAGCAUUUGAGCUUUCAGUAGGAAAAGAUGUACCAUAAUGGAACAUUAGGUGAUGACAAAUCAAAAAAUGGGUAUUGCCACCUGCAACAGAGAAUUAUCACUACUUCUUGAGUAAUUAUGUCUUGUGUAUUAUAUCCAGAUUUUGGAAUGAAAAAGGUAAAAAUCGAUAUUACCAAACUGAGACACUAGCAUGAAUGAGCCACUAGAAAUGACAUAUGUGCCGGUCCAUAAGAUGAAGUAAGAAAUUCGAAACCAAGGGAGCCGCUGAAAGGUGGUUGAUAGAUAUAUGCAGUUCAAGGUGAUUAUGAUGAAAAGAGAAGCUGUAUCCAUAAAACAAGAUGAAAAAAAACAUAUAUUUACCAAGCAAUUCAGGGCUGUAUCACCGAGAGGUAGGAUGACAUUGAGCGUAUGCAUGUUAACAGUCAUCUAAAAUAUGGAGACCAGAAGCAAUAAGAUAACACAUAAAGGAAAAGAAAUGGAAAUAAAUCCAAAACAAGUUCAAGUAGAAACAUCAACCAACAGUUUUGACAGAAAGUAUCAUUAGAAAAACAGAAGGAAUGGAUCUUCAAAUGGAGAUGGGAAGAUAUAGAGAAACGGCAAAUCGUCCUCUAAACUGCUUCAGACAUGCGGCAAGUUUGGCUAUGAUUCUAUAAACUUGAACUACAUGAUGUCAUGAUUGUUUCUAACAUUUGGAUGUGAAUGAAUUCCUAGUACACUGAACAUGUUCACACACCAGCAGGAAUUCAAAAGCAAUAACCAGAUAUGCAAAGGGAUAGAGAACUCGCAAAAUUAAAUUUAAAAUAUUUGAUGGAAAGAAAUGGAUAAAUAACGGACCAAUAAAUGAAGUCAGUAAGCAUAACUGCUCCAGCAUUCAUCUGCAUAUGACAAAUCAAAAUGAGGUUUAACAUAUAAGUUUUGAGGAAUAAGGUAGAAGCUACAUGAAAAGCUCAAAGGAUUCCCACAACAGUCUUAAAAUCUUUUAGCAUCCAACGCAGUGCUACAAAAAUGAUUUUAGGGUAAAAAUACUAGUACAGUCACUAGAAGGUUUAGAACCAUUAUUUUGUUAACUUGAGUGGCAAAAGAGAAUUUACCUGGACUAUAACUUGGAAGAGAUAACUAGAAAUGCCUGCAGUUUGUGAAACAUUGCAUCUUUCCUGGGGAUUUAAGGCUUAUCUACGAACAUUUGUACCAUUUCUGUUAGUUAAAGGCAAGUAGUAUCCUUGCUCUGAAUCGAUCCUAACAUUCUCCACAUCAAAAUCACAGCUGCUCAUUUUUUGAUGCUGGUAACACCCGUAAAUAGAGAGCAAUGCUUGCAAAAUGAGGUUGAAAUCAUACUGCAUACAGUUAUCUGGAUACUGACAGUUUUUUGCAGAAGCAGAAACAUUGCAACAAAGAAUGGGAAGAAUAUAAUUAGAAGAGAUACCCCAAAAUAAAUGGUAACCAAAGUAAAAGUCCGCCUGUCCAGCACCAAAAGACAUCAUAACUUAAAGUUAGAAUGUUUUGGAAAAUACCUGUCAGAAAUAAUUAGGAAGCUUGACAUACAAGGCAAAAUACGCUAUGAUUUCAGUUUCGGAAGAUCAGAUAGAUGAACAAUAUACAUUGGUUUUAAGUUCAAAGUCAAUUUUGUACCGUUUGGGGAUUAGGUGACUCUAUACUCUCAUACAGCCUUUGGUAGUUUGGUUGAUAUUUAGCAGCUUUUGCAGCUCUUUGGAAAAAUAAUAAACUUUCCUUGUACAAAAAAAGAAGCUCACGAUCAAUUUAAAAAACGACAGUCAUUGCAUUUACUUAAAAUGCCAUGAUUCAAAUAUAAAGAUGGAAGCAGUUUAAAUAAGAAUUAGUAGCUUAGUCCAAGGCAAGUUCGGAUAGGGAAGAUUGCUUACUGAGUAUAAUAGUAAUAAAUGCAACCAUCAUUAACAACAACUUUGAUUUUAACUGUUGCCAAAGCUAAACAAAACGCAACAACUCGAUAACCCAACAGCCAAGGAGGAUGGAUUUUUUGAAGACAAGGCCUCCAGACAUCAUCAUCUUAUAACUCAUCACAACCUAAAUCUUCCUGCCUUUCUCUUCCAUCACAUUUCACUUGUUUCAAUCCUUCAUAUUUCCAUAUUAAAAACAAUGCCAUAACAAUUGGAGUCAAAACAAUAAUUGAACAAAACAACACUCUCCAAUUGAACCAGUAACUCAAGGUCGUUGCACCUGCAGUCACCGGCAGCUGCAUCCUGCUAAAAGCAAAUUACCCAUUAUAAUUCUUGACACCCUUUUUCUUUGUUUUUAAAAAAACUAUCUUUUUUUUAUUAACUAUUAAUCAACUGCUUGGUUCAUAUUUGCUAUCUUCAAAUUCAGAUUUCCAUACACAAAUUUCAUUUUUUUUAUCUGAUUGCAGUACUAAAUAUUCAUUAAUUACAUCAAAAACCGAAAAGGGGAUUUGAAAUUAAUAAGCAAUCCAUGAAAAAUAAAGUAAUCCUGAAGAUUCAAAAUUUUGAAUGAUAUUAAUACCAACAACAUGAUACAAAUAUAAAUCCAUAGAAGAAAAAGCUUUAUGACAGAUUCCAACUAGCGAAAAGAUAGAUUACUUACAGAAUAUAUAAUGAUAUCCAGGGGAAGAAAUGAGAAACAGAGGCCUUUUGGUUACCUUGGAUAUGAGGAAAUGGAUAAUUUAAUUAUUUGAUCUUUUUUUUUUGUAUUUUAUUGAUUUUAAGCAUUUUAAUUCCUUAUUGUGGAACCGCGAGAUAUAAAUUUGGAUCCAUAUGAUGUGAUGACGUGGCGGCAUUUGCUUACAAUUUUAUGUGCUUUGAACACGUGAGCUAAUGAGGAAGAUUUUGCUGGCCCCAAAGUUGAUGUUUGGUUACAGCCUUACAGGGCAGGGCAGCCCAUAUAACUAUUUGACUUGGUUCAUGAUGGUAGACUUUUUUGCUACGUCGCCAAAUAAACACUUUAACUUUGUGUAUUGACUGAUAGUUUUCUCUUGAUCAUUUUGAUGUGUGGCUUUUGUUUUCUUGCCCUUUUAUUAUAUUGCAAUGAUACAGGUGGACACGGGACAUGUAUAUUUCUAGGGCUUUAGUGUUCUUCCCAUGCUAAUGCUUUUGCUGUAGCCUGAAAUCCUUAUCCCGUUGCCAAGAAUGGUCCAUGCUUUUUCAUCCACUUCCUGCUUUUUACAUUCCUUGCUGAGGUUGCCAAUACAUCUCAAAGCGGUGGUAUAAUCCUGACUGCUGAGGCCAAUGCAGUUUACUUGGAUUCCAGGCUUUGCUGAAUUUAUGUGAUGAUAAUGUUUUCAUGCCAGAAUUUCCAACUUUUAUGCUACCAUUGCGUUUGGUUGCCUAGGAAAAACCAGAGAUGAAAGCAUAUUGAAGUUUAUCGAGCAAUAAUUUCAGUACUUGGUUUGCAGUAGUAGCCUACCAUUCAAGAGCAGGUUUUCAAUAGAAGUAAAAGAAUCUGCUCUUGGUCUUUCUUUGGUGCUAAAGCUGGUAGAUAUUGCUUAAUUGCAGUAAAACAUGAUACGAAACUGAUUCGUAUUACAACAAUACAGUAGUUUCAUGCCACUUUUUUUUUAAGAAUUAUGCUUGAAGUUAUGGCUUUUAGUGUAACCAAUUCACUCAUGUAUGGAACUCUUUACACAAUACUCGAUCGCCGCAAUAAGCUAGCCUUGAACUACAACAUAAAAGUCUUCUGCUACAUCUUCCCGAUCUGCCUGAUCAUAAAGGCGAUGGGAUGAAUCUAAGUCGAAAUUCAUUGAGGAGGAAAUUAAGUGUUUUGAAAUAGCAAGGGCUUACAAUCUUUAUCAGGGUCUAAAGCAGAAAGAAACCAGUAAAUUAUACUCAUAUUUUGCAUUCUGAAGGCUGCAGCAGAUGUCUCUAAAGUUUCUGAUCACUUUAUUAAAUUUAUAACUAGGAAGAAGUUCAUUCAUGGGGCUUUUGAUGAUCUUGUUGCUCUUUGAAUCAAUGCCAAUGCUUUCUUCUUCUGAAAGUAGCCAUCCUUUGAGUGGAAAUAUCUGAAUAGGAUAUAAAAAUACAUCAAUAAGAGAAACAGCCUCACUUAAGUUUAAGCCAAAUUAAAAAAGGAAAACUUAAUUGGGAAUUCAUUUCCUUUAUAAGAAGGGUAUAAUAUCUUGAAGAAUCCCCUAGUUUUUGAACUUUUCAAAGUCACUUUGGUUUUCCCAAACUGAUCAUCAGCAUGCAAAGUUUUGUUGCCCUUACAGUUACAGCUGAACUGCCUUGGGGAUAUAGCCUGGAAAUAGGCUUGAAAGAAGGCCUUCUUCUCUUUAGGCAACUCUUUCCAAACUGCAAAAGCACCAGCUUAAGCAUGUCAAAACACUAAUAACACGUAUACAUGCAGGCGCUGAAAAGAGUAAAGAGAACUUUUUACCUGUUAGGGUGAUGGUUGGUUCAAUCUUGGCAUGCUAAGCAAGUGCUUUGACACAGUCAUCUCUGCUCAUGUGAAACACAAGGCAUCUCUCUAUCAUAUGUUGAACCUACAAAACAAAUCGCCCCAAAGCAUUAAAAACAUUAAGUUUUUGAUGUUUUUCACAAUGAUUUCAAAAACCCUCUUAAAUGGUCACAAACAAUGCUAAUACAAAGCAAAAGAUUUCAAGUAUCCCAAGAUACUAAUCUGGUGUUUUACCAUUCCAUUGUAGUCAUGAGGCUGGCAAUGCAAACAAGGGAAUUGAUGUUUUUGGCACAUUUUGAGAAAAGGAGAGAGAGGUGAGUGCAAAAAGUGCAGGGCUGUUUGACAUAUGUGUUAGAUAUUUAGAUUUUUUUUUUAUAAGAAAAAGCAUAAUAAGAACAAAAUGAAAGGGGAAGAGAGAAACUGAGAAAAGGGCCGUUAUCCACAAAUAUCCAAGUGAUGGGCCGAAAGAGCAUGAGAAAUCCUAAGGCUUAGGCUCACCUCAUCCUCAAGCGAUGAGACUUCACCAUCUUUCAAUUGCGGAAACAAUAUUUUUUCUGAGAUGGGAAAUGUUUUGAUGUGGACCUCUCUGCAAACUUCCAUAACUCUUUCGAUAUCUAUCCUAUCACCUACAGCUUAAAUUUAAUCUAGUUGGCCUUGAUGGGUGAUGAAGCUUCUGAUCCUAGAAACUUACAGCAGGGUCCAUAUCUAGUUGGGCCACAACGAUUGAGCAUUAAAUGAUUGAGCCUCUCGAUCAUAGUUCGGCCAACAAAUAGCAGCCCAUGUAAACCACACAAAGUCCAAUAACCAUCUGGAAAACCCUGCUUGGCUAACGCGCGGAGUUGAAAAAGCCCCGGGUUUUUGCUGCUUUCAUGCUCUUUUCCUUCCUUCUUCAGCUUUAUUGGCAAAGCUGAAAACUUCCUUCUACUGCUUUUCUCUCCAAAAAAUUUUGCUAUCUAAUCAAAAUUAAAUCUUGUGUAAGUCUUUUUUCUCAACAUUUUACCUUAACUAUUCGUGAAAUAAUUGAUAAGAUUUUCUUUUCCUAUACAUGCUUUGAAUGUAUAUGUAUUUUCAUGAAUUUGGGUCUUUCUGGUGUUUUAUAUUAUAGUUUAUUCUUAAUGGAACUUUGGGUAUGCGGUUAUAGUUGAAUUUACUUUUUCUUUUGGGGAGUAAAUUUUGGUACUUUGAUUCUUAACAGACCAAUAUUUUCUCAGUAAUUCAUGGAAGAAGAAAAAGAGAGAAAUUUCUGAAACAUAUAUUGAAGCUUUUUGCAAUUUUCUGAUAACAUAAUAAAUUGUAGCUUACAUUGAACAUAUUUUCUGACUUGUGACAGACAGGUAAUUUCUUUUUUUGGUUCUGCAUAAAAUUUAGUAUUUUGAGGAUGUUGCUUUUGGAUCCCUCAAAGAAGAUGUCAUUUACCGGUGCAUUAGAGAUGGAGACUUGGUUAUUGUCCAUGAGAGGCGUGAUACUAUGAAGGCUGUUAACGUGUGUGAGAAUUCGGUUCUUCAAAAUCGUUUUGGUGUGUUUAAACAUUCGGAUUGGAUUGGGAAGCAAUUUGGUUCCAAAGUGUUUAGCAACAAGGGUGGAUUUGUUUACCUAUUGGCUCCAACGCCGGAGUUAUGGACUUUGGUUCUAAGUCACAGGACUCAGAUUCUCUAUAUUGCAGAUAUUAGCUUUGUGAUUAUGUACUUAGAAAUAGUUCCUGGUUGUUUGGUUCUUGAAUCAGGGACCGGAAGUGGAUCUUUAACAACCUCACUUGCAAGGGCUGUGGCUCCUACUGGACAUGUUUAUACAUUUGAUUUCCAUGAACAGAGGGCUGCGUCAGCUAGGUAAGAAGAUGUUUUUCUUUUGUGACAGUGCAUUGUAAUAUUAUUUAUCAUUCUGAUGAAAUUUCAGUUUCAAAGCUUGAGUUAUGAAAUAUGAUUUGAUAAUUGUUAAGGUUGAGUUAGAGUUCUAGUUUGAUUUCUGAAUCUAUUUGGGCUGAUGUAUUUUCAGAUUCUGCAUCUGUAGCUGCAAUGUUUCAGAGUCUCAAAAUCAUCUCAUUUUAUGGAUCUUUUCUUUUCUUCUUUUGAGCAUGUUUAGUCCCAUUUUAUGGUUUCUGCUUGUCUAACUCAAAAUGUACUGUUACACUUCAUAUCUACCAUGGAAUCUUUCGAUUGGAUUCCUUAAAUGGCUGAAAAAUAUCCUGGAAAUGGAUUUUAGGGGAUUGUCUAGUUGGCAAAAUAUGAGGUCCAUGGUUUAGAUUUCCCUUUUGAAAAGAAGCCCUGAUUGUCACUUCUGUUUUGGCAUCUUUAGUACACAUACUAGUGAAUUCAUGCUAUCCAUGCAUUUCCAGGUCUAGCUAAUCACCACCACAUGAAGUUUGCAGAACUUUGGACUAAGUGAUCUGUUCGGUUUUUGUCCAUAGUUUGACAUUACCCAUAACAAGAAAUCAACACGUUGGAAACUGAACUGUUGACUUCAUAUAUUAGUAUGGAUAAUCAAGCAUUAAACAUGCACCUUUACUUGAAUUUGCGGUAAAGAUUAUAGAAUGUAUGAUUUUCAAGUUUCAGCUUGAAAAUAAAACUGUUCAUCACUAUUACCUCAGUCUUUUGACCUUUGUGUCCAAUGUUUUAUUCAUCUUAAACACCACUUUUGUUACUGACUUAACAGUUCAGACUUAAAGAAUGUGAACCACAAGACUGAUGAAGCUAACUGCCAAGUGCAAAAGUAAAUGCCAUGUCCUUUCAUUCCCCACAUUUUUGUAUUCAUGCAAGUUUAAAACCCCAACCUCUAUGACCUUGCCUUCCUUUUGCAACAUUCAAAAUGCAUAGCAUUGCACUCGUUUUUUCUCCUUAACUCCAUUGUUCAAACCUCCAACUAAAAGCCACAACCCCAGAUAUAGUUGGGUAUCAAACCUAUCUUCUUUAAAGCCGUUAGAUCUCAGUUCCAGACAUGGACAUUCAUAUCAAGAACCUUCUUAUCUGUCUUCUUGUUCAGGCUCCAAUGCUCUAAUCUUUCAGUCAUUCCUCAUUUCAGAUAAAACAUGUGAUAGUUUUAAGGUCAGAGCAACAUCAGUUCCUGAAAACAUAGAUGACACAAAGGACUCCAGUGGUUUGGCUAGGACCUUGCAGCUUGGAGCCAUGUUUGCAUUUUGGUGUUUUCUGAACAUCUACUUCAACAUUUUCGACAAGCAGGAUUUAUAUCUCUUUUGCAAUCACAAUUUCUUAUUUUCACCAUAGUUCAAGGGUCAUCCCUUAAAUAUAUUCCCUUACAAUUAAGUCAGCAGUGUCUUAGAGAAAUGCAAUUCAAAGCACUGAGUAAAUCUUGAGUUCGGUGAUAAAUUUUCUCAGAUUGCUAUUGUUAGUUUUCAAUAUGCCAUUCACAUUAAGGCUGAUAUAUUUUAAGUAUAAUUCAAUUACAUUAUUUUUCUGCUGAAGGUUCUUAAGGUCCAUACAUUUCCAGCAACAGUUACAGCCUUCCAAUUUGGCUGUGGGACUUUGAUAAUACUUGCAAUAUGGGCGUCUAAUCUCUACCAUCGACCAAAGCUUACUCGUUCACAGGUACUUCUGUAAUUUUCAUCACAUAUCUAUAUUUCUGUUCUACAAUCAGUAUUUUACAAAGCAGUUUUCAGGUUGCAACAAUCAUUCCAUUGGCUGCUGCUUACACUCUUGGCAACCUUUUGACUAAUGUUAGUCUUGGGAAAGUUAACGUCUCAUUCACGCACACAAUUAAAUCAAUGAAGCCCUUCUUCAGUCUUAUUCUCAGUUCUAUUUCUUGGAGAGGUAAAAGUACUGGUAUAAAUACUGCUUGAAAUUAGAAUAUUUAUUCUGAAUGCUUGAGCAUUCAAUUCUGUUCUCCCUCCAUCAUAAGCUUUCACACAAAUGAGGAGAUUGACUUGUGAAACAAAAUUCUUUGAUUAAUGUGCUUUAAUCAAGACCCCAGUUGAGCAACUUUGCAAAGUUAUAGAAAUGAGGUUGACAAAGGGUUUUGUUUCAGUUCUUUCACUCAGUUUUUCACAAUUAUUUCAUUUUCACGGCGGCCUCCUUUCUGGAUAGUGUCCUCCCUCGUACCAGUUGUAGGUGGAGUGGCAUUAGCCUCAUUCACUGAGGCAUCUUUUAAUUGGUAAGAACCCUUGUCUCAUCAACUCAUUUAAAAGUCUGAUACACUAUCCCUUUACAGAAACAUGGUCCAUGUUCGGAUAAACUCGUUUCUUAAACUUGACUAAGUCUUGUUGUUCUGAAAUAGGAUUGGUUUCUGUAGCGCAAUGGCUUCCAAUGUGACUAACCAAUGGCGUAAUGUGCUCAGUAAAAAGUUCAUGGUUAGAAAAGAGGUAAAAACAUAUAAUUCAAGCAUAAAUAUACAAUGGUUUUACAUUUUAAAUGUCAUUGAGUCACUAUUGUUUUAUGACAGAAGUAUGACAAUUAUGCUCUUGAUUUUACAAAGUGAUUUCUAAUUUAUCUGAUUGAUUAUGUCUUCUGGGCUCUAAUCCUCACUUUUCUAAACAGGACACUUCGGACAAUAUCAAUCUCUUCUCUGCAAUAACCAUAAUUUCAUUUAUCCUAUUGGUUCCUCCUGCCAUUUUAAUGGAAGGUGUCAAGUUCACUCCUUCAUAUCUACAAUCUGCUGUAAGUAGCUAUAGCACAUAUAGAAAGCAAACGCUGAUGUUGUAUUAAAGCAACAAUUAGAGCUUGUUAUGUCAUAAAAAUGAAGCUUUUUAUUUUAUUUUUCUCUUAAAUCAAUUCAAACCAAGGUUUGAAUAUUAGGGACUAGGCAUAAGAUCUUCUAUGUCAGGAUUCUGUUUCCACAGUUAUCAGCAGGUGAGCCUGUUUGUAUCUGUUGUAAUUUGCUUCUUUAUCCUAAAAUUAUGCAGUUCCUGAGUAAUCAUAGUAACUAUAGCAGUAGGGAAUGCCUAAUUUCUAGGCCUCUAAUCGAAGUUGAAAUGCUAUGUUUUCUGUUUUGCAGGUCUCUUACAUGAUACUGCAGAUGGUAUCCCCAGUUACACACUCUAUAUGAAAUUGUGUUCAAGAGAUUUAUGGUCAUCGUCUCUUCAGUUAUCUUCUUUCAAACGCGUGUUUCACCCAUUAAUUUCCUUGGAAAAAUUGUGCAUCAACCAAUUGUUAAAACAUGGCAAAUUGACAAAUCUUUCUUUGAUCAUCAGCUUUUACAUGUACUAAUCAAUUUGUCAUAAAAUUGCGCUUGUAUUCUAUUUAUAUUUAACUGUGACUGUUUUGGACUGCAGGCACUGCAGUGGCUCUUGCAGGAGUCUUCUUGUAUUCGAAAGCAAAGCGAAUAAAGCCACAGCCAAAGGCUGCAUGAGUUUGUAUUAAAUUUAGAUGAAAAAAGGUCUCUAUCUAAUCAUUCAAAAAGAAACAUUAAUUCCAAUAAGCUGAACGUAUAGUUUCUUCCUCCAUAUGUACUGACAAAAAUAAUUAUCAUAAAAUUUGCUAUUUGAAUUAAGGUUUUAAUUAAGUUGGUUGAUACUGUUAUCCUUAAAAAUGAUAUUUAAUAGUCAUGUUUGAUGCAUAGAAUUAUGGAUAUAAUAGAAUAAUAAUUAUUUUAUAUUAUGUUUAGUUUAUAUCUAAUUAAAAAAGAUAUAAUUACAAAAAAAAUUAUCAUUUUUUUUGUAUAAAAUGAUUUAAUCUUUUCAAAGUGAAAAGAAUUAUUUUUAAUACAUGAGAUUGAAUUUAUAUGAUUUAAAAUACCCUUAAAAAUUACUUCAAUAAUUUAAAUUAUAUAAAUUUUAAUAAAUAAAUAAAUUAUCUCAUUAUAAUAUUUUCAUACAACAAAUAUAAAAUAAGAUCACAUUAUUUAAUAUAAUUAUAUUUAUAAUAUUAUUUUAUUUUAUUCUAUCAUAAUCUUAUAUCUCAAUCAUAAUUAAUAAAAUUUAAAUUUAAAUCUUAUACUUAUAAUCUCUUACUCUAUCUAAGCCAGGCUUUGUAAAAUAUAUAUAUAUAUAUAUAUAUAUAUAUUUAAGCUCUUUCUAAUCUUAAAAUUCUUCUAAGGACAGGUCAUUUUCACGUGGUUUCAGGCACAGGCUACAUUGGAAACCAAACCACUAAGCUGCUUGACCCUGUGAAACAUGUUUGACAUUUGGCCAAGUCUUCCCAAAAUUAUCCUAUUCUUUUUGCUUUUUUCACCAUUGAUUUGUUUGAUGUGAGGUUUACCAAAUUUCAUCCUUUUUAUCAUAUGAGUCUCUAAUUUGCAUUAAAAAUUAUCACAAACUUAAAAUUGAUCAGGAAUUAUCACAUUACUAAAUCAUAGAUAUUAAAAAUCUAAAGAAUUUAAAUAAAAUUUAAGGUUGGUAUUCUAAGUCAAAUAUAAUUAUUAUGACUAUUUUUGUUAUUCAUCAAAGUCUAAAAUCAACCAAAACAAGAAGACCAAUAAAUUAACAGCCUGAAAAACAAAGCUACCAUUAAAAAUCUUUGUCUCCAAUAUCCUAAGGUAUCUCACCUACUUUCCUAUACUUAAUGCUAUAAAAUUUUAAUUCAAAAGCGUUUUCUCCAUUCUUUGUUGGCAUGACUAGCUAGAUAUAAAUUUUUUUUUAAUUCAGUUCGUUAUACUGUUGUGCGCUGUAUUUAUUAUAUCUUUUGUUAUAAGUAUUUGAUAGAAUUUUUUUUUUAAUUUUAAAAGAUUGAGUAUUUACUUUAAUAGAAAUGCAUGAAUAUAUUUCAUUCAUUGAUUAGUUUGGAUUUCGUCUUUUUAAUGAAUUUGUAUGUAUUUUUUUAUAAAGAUAUAUUAAUUAGGUAUAUGAUGAAAACAGGGCUUCGCUUUCGAAUUAUUAUUAAUUAUAACAAAAUCUAUUAUACUGUUCGUCUUAAUAUGGCCAAAUUGGCUAGGACAUGUCAUUGCAUGAUGUCAUUUCUUAUACAGUCAUGAGUGAUGGCAUGAAAUGACGAAGUGUUUCAAAACGUCUUAAUAUGGCCAAAUUGGAUACGCUGCAUGGGCACCGAAAAUAGCAAUAGCUUUAAUGGAGCCGCUAAACGUGUGCAAGGACAGUGUGGACACAAUAAAAGCAGAAAAGUACGGUGAUAUGGGAAAAUGGGCUACAAGGUGAGGUGGGACAAGAGGAUAGGGGUAGGCCCAGAAAUGUAGUGUACCAAAAUGGAGAGUCCGAAGGAAACGGCGGACCAGAGAAUGUAUCCAUAGACAGUACAUUACCCUCAGUUAUAAAUCGACACAAAAAUUCCAGGUACAGAUUAAGAAAAGGGUCUUGCCACGUGAAAGGCCAAAGUGAUGGGACAGGGAACAAAGACAGACGCCAACGGUUUGAAACGUCAUUUAUUUUAGAAGGAAUCAAAAUUCAGUUAACUUUACCAAGAUGGAUAAACUAAAUUCAUCGUGGCUAGCUACUAUUUCUAGUCAUCAAUCCUCCUCGUACUACUUUAUAAGAACUUAUUAAAGAUAGUUAUAAUAUUAUUUUUUAAAAUUGCAUUUAAUACACUAAUUUUAUUAAAAUUUAAGAACAAACAAUAUAUUUAUUGUAAUUUUUUUAAAAUAUCACCUUAAUUAAGUACUGCUUAACAUUUAAAAUAAAAUAUUUUCUCUUAUCAUAAUAAAAUUUGAUGUAGUUGUAAUUCUCUAAGACAAAAGUAAAAAAAACAAAAAUUAGAGAAACAAUCUAAUUAAUGAUCAGAAAAAUAAAUUUAUUUAUAAAUUCGUUGAUUAAUGAUCAGAGAAACAAUGCAUUUAUAACAAAAAUAAAUUGUUAUUUCUUGGAUGCAUAGUAUUUGUGAAAUUGCGUUGUGUGCAGCAGCCCAUUUACCCCAUGGCGCUAUUGACUUAAAAUGAAACACACAUAUUUCAAAAUAAUAUGCUUCGUAUCCAAGGGACCUUCUUCUACAUGGUUGUUGACCACAAAUUUAUGUAGGAUAUCUUGCCCAUGAGACUCAUUAGUUGUGUUCGCUGCUUAAGGCAUUCCCUUUACUUGCUUCUCAGAACGAUGGUUGCAUUCUAGAAGCGGUAGUCCCCCGAAGUUACAUAAUAAAAAAGAAAAUGUCUAUCUUUUUCUGAGAUGUUUAUUUUUCAAUGAUACCGAAUCCGUAAAGUUCACUCUUUCAUGUAGUGUUCAUCUUAUCUCAACUUAGUUAACUUCAUUAAAAAUUUUCUCUGGAUUCGUUAAUGCCUAUGUUAGGAACAUCCUUAAUUCUGAAAAUAUCUUAUACGCUGAGGAGUGGGAAAAUCUUUUUGAAAUUAGCCAAAAUUUCAUAGCGAACAUGUUAUCAUUGGCCGCUAAUAUUUGACCAGAAAGCAUCGUCAUCUCCCUUAGAACUUUUGAAAAUUUCUUAUUUAUGUAUAUAUAUAUAUAUGCAUAAAUUUUACAUUAUUUAUAUUAAAUAAAUUAAAUUGGUUUUAGGGUUUAAAAACACUAAAAUUACAUUAAUAUUUAUCAUUCGCUAAAGAAUGACACAUGCGCAUGUCUUAAAUAAUUAUAUAAAAAAUAUUAAUAGCUAGGGUUUGGAUGCGAUUUGGUAGUCACGUGAAUUUUUUAGUCUACUUAUAAGUAUUUUUUUAAUGGACAAAAAAAAUCGGAAUAUUGGCUUAGAUGUCUCGCAUCCGUCUAACAGCCUAUUAGUCCGCGUUUUAAACACUCUCACAAAAGAAAAUGCAUAGACAGAGGGAACCCUAGACCCAGAAAACUAGAUCUUAUCAAAUUCACAGAAGAUAUGAGGAGAAACAUUUUCUCCAAGCCUCUGGCUGCAACUGAUAUCAGCAAAAGAUUGGCUCUCCUCACGGAGAGUCUUCCCUUCUUCCCAAGUAGCAGAUCUCGUCCCAUGGAGUUUCCAGUUGAGGAUGAGAGUAGUGGGCGAGUGUGGACGUUUGCUUGCUCCAUCCGCAAAACAGGCUUCAAAAAGCUUUGCAAAAGGAAUGGCUACGUUUAGUUAAUUUUCAUGAUCUAAGCGUUGGUGAUGUGGUGACUAUUUAUGACCACGUAUCUGAAGAUGGAAUCAUGUUGUUUGGUAAGUUUAUUCCUCAUUCACGUUCUUACGCUAUUGAGGUUGAGAAAGCUGCAGUCGAGCCAUCCGGGAGUGAUAUGGCCUUAGCUACAACUGUUGAAGCUAAUGGGGCUGCUGCGACUGAUGAAGCAGCUGGGGCUGCUGCACCCAAUGAUGAUGCUGGUGAAGCUGACGCUAUGUAAAGUAGAGGUCGAAAGGAAGAGAGGCCGAAUCUGUCGUCCAUGCACGCAAUUUCCAGAAUAAAUAUGCAACUAGAUAACUAUGUUGUACUUAAAGAGUGUGUAAUAGCAAGUAUCUAACUAUCUAUGUCACUGUCAUGGCCUCCGCCUUCACCUCUGUAUUGCAUGUUUUAAUCUGUAAUACGAACCUUGAUCUUCACUUCUGUAAUGCCUGUUUAUUAGCUGAAAUAUGCUACAACUAAAUAAAUAAAUAAGUUAUGCUUUGAGGAAAAAUUUACUAAUUUCUUUAAUAUAGGGAAGGAGUUUAAUUACUUCAGAUUGGGUUUCACUUUCUUUCGAUCUUUGAGAUUGAAGUGUUUUAUGCUUGAAUGGCUCACAUCCAUUCCAUAAAAAUUGCCUCAAAACUGACAAAGGGUUUGGGAGAAAGAUAAAGUUUAAAGUUCUCGAUUAAUAAUUGCAGUAGCUUUGUAUUAUCUGUUAAUGCCCUAUGCUCUAGUAUUAUCUGCUUUGAAGAACUUGGAGUUCUUGAGUCUGACUAAAAAAGAGCUUGUUGGAUAUUUGACGGGGCAUGCUUUUUGUCUUUCAAAAGACCUGAGAUGCUGUAUUUAAAUUGGAAAGUUUUGGUUUUUGAAUUGGCUUGUAAAAGAUGCACGUUUUCUUCCCAUUGAGUUGGUCAAGCAAAUGAUUCUUGGUUUACAGAUUAUUACAAGUUUAUCUUGCCGAGAGUUAUAUUGUAGUUCUAUGUUAAUCAAAGGUCUUUCGGUGUAUGGUGGUGCAGGCUUAUGAUCAUGUGAUUUUUAGGGUGGGGUGUUGAAACUUCUUAGGUGUUUUGUUCUUUAUCCUUUAGCUGCUGGUUUGCCAGUCUGGUUUGUGGUUGCAUAGAACUUUGUUCUUUGCUAUAUUAGCUUUUCCUAAUCUUCUAAUCUUUUGGUUAAUUAAUAUCCAAACUGAAACAAGUUUUUCAUUUGAUGUCAUUACUUAGUUUGACUGCCCUAUCCAACUUGGCCAUUAAGACGAGCAGUAGAAUAGAUUUUGGCCGUAUGAUUAAUAGUAAUUUGAAAGCGAAUCCUUGUGACACUGAGACCUCAAGUGAAAAUAAUGCAUGCCUACACGGACUUAUCAAACAUACAUGCCUUAAGGAAUUAAACAACCGAUCAUAAGAGCCUGUGGAAUCUAGGUUACAAGGGAAAAAGCAACUAAUUAACGAUUGGGUGAGAGGUAGGUGAGAAACUUUUGGAGACAAAGACUUCAUUAUAUUAAUAGGGCAUUAAAUAUAAAUUCAUAAGAGAUUAAAUUAAAAUUAAAAUUUAAAACAUUUUAUGGAAAUAAAUAAUAAUAUAAUAUGAAAAAAUAUUAAGAUAAAAUUAUCUACACACAACUUUUUCUUGUAUAGCUUUACUUUAUGAAUAACAAGAAUUGACAUAAUUAUAUUUGACUUAGAACACGUAUCUUAAAAUUUGUUAAAAUUUCUUAGAUUUUCAAUAUACAUGAUUUGGUGAUGCAAUAAUUUCUAAUUAACCUUAAGUUUGUGAUAUUUUUAGCGUCCAUUAGAGACUCAUAUAUAUUUAAUUCAUGUUCUGUGACUUUUGAUACAAUUAAGAAAAAUUAUUGAAUAAAAAAGGAAAAAAAUCAUUGAAUAUAUAAUUGAAUUGUGCUGAGUUGCAUGAAAAGUUCGUGUGUCACGGAUCGAAACUUAAGCUUCAAACCCGCGCGGCUCCGGGAUCCGGGCAUUCACCCUUCCGGCGUCCCAGAUCAACCUUCCGCCAUGGUUCACACCCUUGUGAGAUAUUGUCUGCUCUGGCUUCCCUGACCUCAUGAUUUUGUCCUACAAAAAGCGUCUCACAAGGCGGAGAUGGUGUGAACCCUUUUAUACCCUAGGGACCCUCAUAUUAUGUUCGAUGUGGGAUUCAAGACUCCCCCUAACGUCUGUGACAUUCUCCCGCACCCAACCUCGUGACGCCCUCGUCACGGAGGCCGGCCACCCUGCCUACCUCUUUCGAGAUGCUUGGCGUGGAUCGAACGGUUUAGAGCUGGCUCUGAUACCACUUGUCACUGGUCGAGACUUAAGCUCCGAACCCGCGCGACUCCGGGACCCGAGCAUUCACCCUUCCGACGUCUCAGAUCAGCCUUUCGUCACGGUUCACACCCUUGUGAGGUAUUGUCCGCUCUGACCCCCCUGACCUCACGAUUUUGUCCUACAAAAGGUGCCUCACAAGACGGAGAUGAUGUGAACCUUUUUAUACCUCAGGGACCCUCCUAUUAUGUUCGAUGUGAGAUUCAAGACUCCCCCUUAAGUCCGUGACACGUGUACUUGUAACCAUUCUAUUCAAAUAAAUUAUUCGCCCCACCAACCCUGUAACAGAAAUGUUUAAGACUUCCUGGAAAUCGCGAAAAACCUCGCCUGUUGAAAUGGAUAUUGGUUUUGGAUUUUUUUCUCCUUUGGUAAAAAAUGCCGUCCGAAACCAGUAGUUUCCAAGGGCUGGCGAGAUUUGGUUCAGCCAAAGGCCUUAUACCUGCAGGACACAAGGUCAACUUCUAUCAUCAGAUAUCUUGUUAGGUUUGGAGUUAUAAAUAAUAUAUUAGUAUUUAUAUAUUAUUUGAAUUUAAUUAGAUUAUUAUCGAAUCGGAUUUGAAUUCGAGUAAUUUAAUUUAUCAAUCAAGUCAAGUUCGAGUAUUUUUAUAUCUGAUUUAUAUAGUUCGUAAGUUUAAUUGAGUUUUUAUAUUUUAAUAUAUUUUAAUUAUUUUAAUUAAUAAAAUAUAUCAAACUCGAGUUGAAGCACAAAUAAUUUAAUUUUGGUCGAAUAUAAAAAUUAAUUUAUUUUUAUAUAUUAAUCGAGUAAAUUCAAGUAAUUCAAUUUUUAUUUCAAGUCAAGUUCGAAUUAAAAAAAAAAUUCGAUCAAGUUCAAAUCAAAUUUCAAACCUCAAAUUUGGAGUUGAACUUGAGUUUGAGCACGAACUUAAUAUUAUAUCGGUUUGAAUUCGAUCGAUUCCAUCCUUAAAUGUACUUAAAGUGUUUGGUUCUAUAUUUUUCCCAUGUUCAUGCUACAUUAUUGACAUUGAGAGAGCAUCCAAACUUGGAAAAAUAUGAAGCUUGGAAACUAAAUUUAUUUUGACAAAAAAAUCAUUAAAAAUGACUUUAAUUAUUACAAUCUUUUUGUUUCACAUUACUGAUGAUUUUGUUGGAAGGACUUAACAGUGAUAAAAGGAUGAAAUUUGGUAAACCUUACAUCAAACAAAAUAAUGGUAAAAAAAAAAAAAAAUAGGAUAAUUUUUGAAGGACCUAACCAAAUGUCAAACAUGUUUCACAGGGGCAAGCUACUUAGUGGUUUGGUUUCCAAUAUAGCCUGGAACCACAUUAAAAUGACCUGCCCUUGAAAGAAUUUCAAGAUUAGAUAGAGAUUAAAAGGUGGCCAAUUCACAUUUGGUUUUUGCAUAGAGGCUCUCUUUUCAUUUCGAUUUUUUUAAAGGGUGCAAUAGCAAUUUGGUUUUUUUCUUCUUUUUUUUUUUUUUUACAAAAACUGUGACCAAGAUAUACUAAAAGAUUACGAAUACCGAGAUUUAAAUCUAAAACUUAUUAAAUAUCAUUUUUAAAAAUAAUUGUACGACCAACUUAAUUAAAAUCUUAAUUCAAAUAACAAAUUUUAUGAUUACUUUACAUUCAACUUCUUGUAGUUAUAGUUUCUUUUUGAAUGAUUAGAUACAGACUAUUAUUUGUGUUUAUUUUCAUCAAAACUUAAUACAAACUCAGGCAACCUUUGGCUUUGGCUUCAUUCGCUUUGCUUUCAAAUAUGAAAAGACUCCAAUAAGAGCCACUACAGUGCCUGCAGUCCAAACCAGUCACGGGUAGAUAUAAAUAGAAUACAAGUGGAAUUUUAUGACAAUUUGAUUAGUGCAUGUAAAAGCUGAUGAUCAAGGAAGAUUUGUCAAUUUGCCAUGUUUUAACAAUUGGUUGAUGAACAAUUUUACCAAGGGAAUUAAUGGGUGAAACAGGCGUUUGAAAGAAGAUAACCGAAGAGACGAUGACCACAACUCUCUCAACACAAUUUCCUACACAGUGUGUAACUGGGGAUACCAUCUGCAGUAUCAUGUAAGAGACCAGAAAAACAGAAAACAUGGCAUUUCAACUUCGAUUAGAGGACUAUAAAUCAGGCAUUCCCUACUGCUAUAGUUACUAUGAGUCUAUGAUUACUCAGGAACUGCAUAAUUUUAGGAUAAAGAAGCAAAUUACAAUAGAUACAAACAUGCUCACCUGCUGAUAACUGUGGAAACAGAAUCCUGCCAGAAGAGACCUUAUGCAUAGUUCCCUAAUAUUCAAACCUUGGUUUGAAUUGAUUCGAGAGAGAGAGAGAGAGAGAAAGAGAGAGAAAAAAAAAAAACACAGUUUCAUGUUUAUGACAUAACAUGCUCUAAUUGUUGCUUUAAGAUAACAUCAGCAUUUGCUUUCUGGAUAUGCUAUAGCUACUUACAGCAAAUUGUAGAUAUGAAGGAGUGAACUUGACAACUUCCAUUAAAAUGGCAGCAGGAACCAUAGGACAAACGAAAUUAUGGUUAUUACAGAGAAGAGAUUGAUGUUGUCCAAAGUAUCCUGUUUAAAAAAGUGAGGAUUAGAGCCCAGAUGGCAUAAUGAUCAAUCAGAUAAAUUAGAAAUCACUUUGUAAAAUCAAGAGCAUAAUUGUCAUAUUUCUGUAAUAAAACAGUGGUGACUCAAUGACAUUUAAAAUGCAAAACCAUUGUAUAUUUAUGUUUGAAUUAUAUGUUUUUUUACCUUUUUUCUAACCAUGAACUUUGGACAACAUGUGGUUUCGGGUACAGGCUUUAUUGGAGACAAAGACUUUUCAUGGUAGCUUCGCUUUUCAGGCUUUUAAUUUAUGGGUCUUCUUGUUUUGGUUGAUUUUAGACUCUGAUGAAUAACAAAAAUAGUCAUAAUUAUAUUUGACCUAAAAUUCCAAUAUUAGAAUUUGUUAAAAUUCUUUGAAUAUUUAAUAUACAUUAUUUAAUGACGUGAUAAUUCUUGAUCAAUCUAAAGUUUGUGAUCUUUUUUAAUGCAAAUUAGAGACAUGAAAUUUGAUAAACCUCACAUCAAUCAAAUCAAUAGUGAAAAAAACAAAAAGAAUAGGAUAAUUUUGGGAGGACUUGGCCAAAUGUCAAACGUGUUUCACAUGGUCAAGCUGGUUUGUGGUUUGGUUUCCAAUAUAGCCGGUGCCCGAAACCUCAUGAAAAUUACCUGCCCUUGGAAAAAUUUUAAGAUUAGAAAGAGAUUAAAAGGUGGCCAAUUCACAUUUACAUUUUGUACAGAGGCUCUCUUUUUAUUUUGACUUUUCUAAAGGGUGCAAUAGCAAUUUUUUUUUUAACAAAAGCAUCGCUUAGUCAGGGAAUGUAAGUAUGAAAUUUGAAUCUAAGUCUUAUUGGUUAUACUUGGUAUAUAAGAUUAUAAUAAAAUAAGAUAAAAUAAUAUUAUAAAUAAAAUUAUAUUAAAUAAUAUGAUUUUAUUUUAUGUUUGAUGAGUGAAAAAAUUAUAAUAAAAUAAUUUAUUUAUUAAUUAAAAUUAAUUUUUUUAAUUUAUAUAAUUUAAAUUAUUAAAAUAAUUUUUAAAGGUAUCGUAAGACAUAUAAGUUCAAUUUUAUGUAUUAAAAAUAAUUCUUUUCACUUUGAGAAAAUUAAAUCAUCCUAUACAAAAAAAAUGAUAAUUCUUCUUAUAAUCAUAUCUUUUUCAAUUAGAUACAAAUCAAACAUAAGAUAGGAUGAUUAUCAUUCUAUUAUAUCCAUCAUUCUAUGCACAAAAAAUGACCAUUAAAUAUCAUUUUUAAGGGUAAUAGUAUCAACCAACUUAAUUAAAACCUUAAUUCAAAUGGCAAAUUUUAUGAUUACUUUUGUGAGUACAAAUGGAAGAAGAAACUUUACGUUCAGCUUAUUGGAGUUAAUAUUUCUUUUUGAAUGAUUAGAUAGAGACCUUUUUUUAGUCUAAAUUUAAUACAAACUCAUGCAGCCUUUGGCUUUGGCUUCAUUCGCUUUGCUUUCGCAUACAAGAAUACUCCAGUAAGAGCCACUGCAGUGCCUGCAGUCCAAACCAGUCACAGUUAGAUAUAAGUAGAAUACAAGUGCAAUUUUAUGACAAUGUGAUUAGUGCAUGUAAAAGCUGAUGAUCAAGGAAGAUUUGUCAAUUUGCCAUGUUUUAAAAAUUGGUUGAUGAACAAUUUUACCAAGGGAAUUAAUGGGUGAAACAGGCGUUUGAAAGAAGAUAACCGAAGAGACAAUGACCACAACACAAUUUCCUAGAGUGUGUAACUGGGGAUACCAUCUGUAGUAUCAUGUAAGAGACCUGCAAAACAGAUAACAUGACAUUUCAACUUCGAUUAGAGGACUAGAAAUUAGGCAUUCCCUGCUGCUAUAGUUACUAUGAGUACUCAGGAGCAGCAUACUUUUGGGAUAAAGAAGCAAAUUACAAUAGAUACAAACAGGCUCACCUGCUGGUAACUGUGGAAACAGAAUCCUGCCAGAAGAUAUCUUAUGCAUAGCUCCCUAAUAUUCAAACCUUGGUUUGAAUUAAUUCAAGAGAAAAUAAAAAAUAAAAAAAAAACAGCUUCAUGUUUAUGACAUAGCAGGCUCUAAUUGUUGCUUUAAGACAACAUCAGCAUUUGCUUUCUAAUGUGCUAUAGCUAAUUAGCAGACUGUAGAUAUGAAGGAGUGAACUUGACAACUUCCAUUAAAAUGGCAGCAGGAACCAAGAGGAUAAAAGAAAUUAUGGUUAUUACAGAGAAGAGAUUGAUAUUGUCCAAAGUGUCCUGUUUAAAAAGUGAGGAUUAGAGCCCAGAUGUCAUAAUCUAUCAGAUAAAUUAGAUAUCACUUUGUAAAAUUAAGAGCGUAAUUGUCAUACUUCUGUCAUUAAACAGUGGUGACUCAAUGACAUUUAAAAUGUAAAACCAUUGUAAAUAUAUGCUUGAAUUAUAUGUUUUUUUUACCUCUUUUAUAACCAGGAACUUUUUACUGCACACAUUACACGAUUGGUUAGUCACAUUGGAAGCCAUUGCGCUACAGAAACCAAUCCUGUUUCAGAACAACAAGACUUGGUCAAGUUUAAGAAACGAGAUUAACUGAACAAGGACCAUGAUUCUAUGAAGGGAUAGUUUAUCAGACUUUUAAAUGAGUUGGUCAUACAAUGUUUCUUAGCAAUUAAAAAAUGCCUCAGUAAAUGAGGCUAAUUCCACUCCACCUACAACUGGCAUGAGGGAGGACACUAUCCAGCCACUGUGAAAAUGAAAUAAUUGUGAAAAACUGAGUCAAAGAACUUAAACAAAACAUAAAACAAAAAUUCUUAAAUUUUACAUGAUUUAUAAAUUUGUGUCUAUAACUUUACACAUUUAUAAUUACAUGCGUGACAACGCAUUAUCAUGUCAAUGAAUAUUAUGUUAAACCAAAAUUUUAUUAAUUAAAUCUUAUUAUCAAAAUAAAUUGUAAAAUUUAAAAGUUAAUAAAAAAAUAUUUAUUAGUUUUGCCUUUAAAAUGAUAUUAAUGUCCACAUAUGUAUUUUUAAGACUCCAUAAGUAAACAAAUAAAUAUAUAUUUAUAGACAUCUAUUCUCCUUUUUUUUUUUUUUUUUUUUGGUUUUAGCAUAUGAUUGUUGAACCCUAAACCUCUUUUCCUUAAGAAAAAGAACAUGGUGGAUCAAAAAUGAAAUUCCCAUGCUUUAAAAUAAUGCAUGUAAUACAUGCAAAAUUUUUUGUUUAAUAAGGUUUAGGUAUUUUCGAGUUUCAUCUAAAUUUAAUAUCUUUUCUUUUAGCAAUUUUUAGUACAUAGUUCCUGUAUCAGCAUGAUGCAUAUUACAUUUUUUCUCAUUGAAGUCUAUCUUGAACAAAUUAUGCCUCAUUUUUAUAUAUACAGACACAAUAGAAAUGUAAACAACUACGACGAGAAUAAGGGAGCUGACACAACUAAUAUUCGGCGCUCGCAACUCGGAGCUUCAGGAUAAUGAAAUCUCAGUAUCCGACGAAAGCAUUAGAUGUAGAAACGAAGCAAUUAGGCGCGAAGCAGAGAAAACUUGGGAGGUCUGCUCUUUUCUAAGCUUGAAGUUUGACUCAGACAAAGCUGAAGUAGUAAAGCGCCUACGACAAUUAGAGUCUCCAUUCAUUGAAAGGGACGAGGGAGGCCUAGGCUCGGGUUAAGCUCUCGUGACCAGCUUUCGGGGUAUAGGUGUUCUCUUUUCUCUCAAUGGUUAAAAUUAUCUCUUGGAAUGUUAGGGGCCUAGGAAGCAGAAUAAAGAAAAUGGCUGUGAAGAAAUUAAUUUCCAAACAGAACCUGUCAGUGAUAUUUCUGCAAGAAACAAUAAUCAGCACACCCGAUUCCAGGAUUUUGAAAUAUCUAUGGAGCAGAGAUGCUUUUAAAGGAGAAUGGGUAGGUUCAAAUGGUAGAUCUGGAGGUUUGAUUUCCCUGUGGUCAGAACAAUUCUUCACCCUCGAAAGCUCCUCCAUCAACCACAGAUUCAUACUCCUCCAAGGUACUAUCAAUGCUUUAAAUAUCACCUGUAUCUUUGUUAACAUUUAUGCUCCUAACGACCCAGCUGAGAGGAACAACCUAAGGAAUGAAUUGAUUGAUGUUAAAAACUUGCUUAACCCUUCUAAUUUGUGGUGUAUUGGAGGUGACUUCAACAUUAUCAAAUGUCUAGAGGAAAAAAGGGGUAUUUCAUACGACCUUGCUUCUAUGUCUUCCUUUGUCAACUUCAUCAACUCUAUGGACCUUGUUGAUCUCCCAUUAAAUGGCGGCCUGUUCACUUGGUCUGACAACAAAGAAGUCCCAACUAUGUGCAGACUAGAUCGUUUUUUGCUCAGUAGUGAACUCCUCACCAAAUUCCCCAGACUCCAUCAAAACGUGCUUCCCAAAUCUCUGUCUGAUCACAACCCAUUCUGCUUAUCGGUUGAGGACAAGAACUGGGGCCUUAAGUCGGUUAGGUUUUUCUCGCAUUGGAUGGACGAUGCUCAGUUUCUUGAAAUGAUCAAUAGUUCUUGGCAAGCAACCACAGGCUCUUCCAAGGCUCCUGGAAUUUUCAACCGCUUAAAAACCCUCAAACUUACUGUUAAAAAUUGGCAGCAGGAUCAUGCCAAUAAAGACGCCCAAAGAAUUAGUCAAGUGGAGGUAGAUAUAGAUGAGUUGGAGAAAAAGGAUGAAGCAUGUAGGCUAUCCUAUAAACAGCGUUCCACACUGGCCAACCUGAGGAAUGAAUUGUGGUGCCUCUAUAAAAUGGAGGAGCGCUCGUGGUUCAAAAAAUCCAGAUCACAAUGGAUCAAAUUGGUGAUCGUAACACCAAGUACUUCCAUCUGAUCGCAUCCAAUAGAAGGCACACUAACAGAAUUGACAAGCUCAUGAUCAAUAGGAAGGAAAUUUGUGAACCAAAGGAUAUUCAUUCAGUAGUGAUCAAUUACUUCAGCAAGCUGUAAAGCUUCAAUGAUGCAAUCAAACUCAAGAGCUUUGAUUGUCCCUUUAAGACAAUUAGUGAAGACCAAGGCUCCCUUCUGGAAGCACCAUUCUCCGAGGAUGAAAUCUGGGCAGCAGUUCAAGAUUGUGAUGGCAAUAAGGCCCCAGGUCCAGACGGCUUUAACUUGGACUUCUUUAAGACAUUCUGGCCUCUGCUAAAGGGAGAAGUUAUGAAGUUUAUGAACAACUUUUAUUCCUCUGGCACCUUCAACAAAAAUAUUAAUUCCUCGUUCAUCACCUAGUACCGAAACGCAAAGGGCCGUCAACUCUCUCUGACUUUACACCAAUCAGUCUAGUGGGGAGUGUUUACAAAAUUCUUGCAAAAGUCCUUGCCAACAGGUUGAAAAAGGUAAUGAGUUCAGUGAUAGGAGUUAACCAGUUUGCUUUUAUUAAGGGCAGACAAAUCUUGAAUUGCUCACUAAUUGCCAAUGAAGUGGUCGACACUCGACACAAUGAGAAAAAACAGAACCGGUGGCCUCAUCUUCAAGGUUGACUUCGAAAAAGCCUUCGACAGUGUAGAUUGGAGCUUUCUGGACAUAAUCAUGACUUGUAUGGGGUUUAGUUCUAAAUGGCGAGGAUGGAUGUUCAAAUGUCUAUCAACAGCCUCCAUCUCCGUGUUGUUGUCCAUCUCCUUUCCUUUUUAAUUAGGAUGCUGAAUCCUUUAGUACCCUUUCUAGGAAAGAUACUUCGAUGGGUCUCUUUCAAGGUGUUGAUUUUGGAAGCAACCCCCUCAAGAUAACACAUCUUCAAUUUGCAGACGAUAAAAUUUUGUUCUGUAAACCCAACCUCGAACAGCUUUGAACAUCAAAAGAAUUCUGAAAGGCUUCCAAAUUAUAUCGUGACUAAAGAUUAACUUUUCUAAAAGCUGUUUAACAGGGGUUAAUGUUGACAAUCAUAUCUUAAUGAGACGGGCCAAUUCUAUCAAAUGCAGGGCAGAUCAACUCCCCACAACAUAUUUGGGACUUCCGUUGGGAGCUAGCCCCAACUCUCUUUCAACUUCGCAACCGGUCAUUGAUAAGGUGAGAAACAAACUCUCUUCUUGGAAAACUCAGUUUUUUUCUAUUGCAGGCAGAGUCACCCUAAUUAAAUCAGUUCUUGCUAGCCUCCCACUUUAUUUCAUGUCCCUAUGUCAAAUCCUUACCAGUGUUAAGACAGAAAUUGAUAAAAUCCAACGAAACUUUCUUUGGUCUGGUGCCCAGUGCAACAACAAAACACAUUGGGUAAAUUGGGACAUAGUUUGCAAAGGGAAAAACUUUGGGGCCUAGGUAUAUGUGAUCUCAAACUCAAAAAUAGGGGUCUGCUAAACAAAUGGAUCUAGCGUUACGCCAAUGAACACCGGAUCUGCUACCCCCAGCUUCACCUAAGGCUUCACUAGUCUGGUCCCAUAUUAAAAAACUGUUAAACCCCUUGAAUCAAUUCCAUUCAUUGAUUUCUACAAAUAUUGGGUUCUCGCUUGGCCGAGGUACUAGCAUCAAAUUCUGGUCAGAUGAAUGGAUUGAAGGCAUAACUCUUUCAGCCCACUUCCCUCGAAUCUAUGCCCUUGCUGUCAACAAAAAUAGUUGUAUUGCGGAGUAUGGAAUCUGGGUUAACAAUCAUUGGCUGUGGAACAUUGGCCUCCGUAGAAGAUUAUUCGAUUGGGAACUAUUGCAAUGGGACAGCUUCUUCUCACUAAUUAUCUGUUACAUACCACAUGCUACUAAUCCAGACAAAGUUAUUUGGAAGGCCUCCACAUCUGGAACUUACUCAUCGAAAACCUUCUGCAACUAUUUCUACAAUAGGACACUCCACUCAAACAACAUAUGGAAAGCGGUUUGGUCUGGAAUUGCUCCCUCCAAGGUUGAAGUUUUUUGUUGGCAGAUUAUCAACGGCAAGGUGGCAGUCAAAACUGAGCUUCUAAAGAGAGGGCUUAUAGAAUUCAACUCAGUUUUUUGUCCAUUCUACAAAAUUGAAGCUGAAUCUGUUAAUCAUCUGAUGUUUACAUGCCAAUUCCUGUGGAAAGUUUGGAUGGCAUAUAGUGACGUAUGGGGAGUCUCUUGGGCCAUCCCAGGAGAUGCAUCCUCUUUCUUUAAUUCUUGGCAAAAUCUUCUCCAUCCUAAACAAAACAACAGAAUCUGGGGAAUGCUUUUCUUCGUGAUCCUUUGGUCUAUUUAGCUACAACGAAACGAGAUCAUCUGCCAAGGUCAAGAACCUGACUUUACACAGCUAUUUGAUAUAAUAAAAGUGCGCCUCGCAAAUUGGAACAAAGGAAAAUGGUCCUCAGUAGUUGCUUCUGUCAAUGACUUUCUUCUUAGCCCCCAAUACAUCCGCUUCCCUCCCAUUACUGCCAGAGCUAACAUUGCAGUCUCUUGGACAUGUCCAAAUCCUGGCUUUACGAAGAUUAACACUGGUGAGUCCGCUUUUGGUAGACCUGGGCCAGCUGCAGUAGGCGGACUCUUGAGAGACCACCAUGGCUCUUUUAAAGGAGUUUUUUCGAAAUUCAUUGGUAUUGAGGACUUCAACUUCGCUGAAUUCAUGGCUAUCAAAGAAGGUCUUUGUUUUUUCGCUUCUUCAGAAUGGGCUAAUUCUCACUAUUUAGUUGUGGGGAGUGACUCUACUAAUGUAGUUCUCAGGGCUAGUGGUAGCUCCGGGGUUCCUUGGCCAAUGAAGCACACUGCGAGUCACAUCGACAUGCUUAAAAGUCAUCUUAAAGGAGUCUCGUUCAAUCACAUUCCUCGGGAGGCUAAAUCUAUUGCUGAUGGACUAGCCAAAGCAAGGGUCUUUCGAUCACAAGACUUGGUAGCUUGGCUGUAAUAAUUGUUGCUAUUAAAAUUGUUGUCAUUUGCUCUGUGGAGUUUCCCUUUUAGUUACUCCUGUUUUGUACUUUCGGUCCCAUUAUCCAAUAAAUAUAUUGCCUUUCAAAAGAAAAAAAAAAGAAAUGUAAACAAAAAAAAAAAAACUUAUUCCGAAUUCAAGAGUUUUUCUUCAGUAUUGAUUCUUGGCACAAAAAUAUAUGGCUUGUUGUUUUUGCAGAAGGAUUCAUGGAGUGAAGAAGAAGAUAAGAUAUUGAUUCAAGCACAUAAAGAAACAAGUGGGCUGAGAUAGCCAAGAGACUCCCAGGACGCACUGAGAGCACUAUAAAGCAAAGAAUCAUUGGAAUGCAACUAAGCGAAGGCAAUGCUCAAGGCGCAAAGGUAACACUCCAACCCUAAAGGCUCUUGUUUGCAAAACUACAUCAAGUCUGUUAGCUCAACGACCUCAACCCGAAAAGACAAAAGGAAAAGGGUGUCGGAAAUUGCCAAUCCUGAGAUGAAAACAAACCCACACCUAGUUCAACUCUUAACCUCGGAUUUCAACCCAACAUAUUGGCAAGUUGUAGUUUGUAAUGAUCAAGCAGCUGAUCAUCAUCAACCCAUGAGUUUCUCUUUCGACGCAUAUGUUUUUUCUAAUUGUAAUCAAAGCAGCACUGCUAGCUUGGAAGUUUAAUCCCUGUAGUUCUGUUGUUGAAGAGAGCAAUGCCAUGGAUUUUGAGAUUCCCCUAGAAAUGGAUUCCUUGAAAAAGGAGCUGGAUUUGCUAGAGAUGAUCUCUCAAGGAAAUCUUUAAUCAUCAGCUGCUGAAAUUUGCAAGAACUUUUUAAUUAUGGUUUGGAUCAAAGUAUUUUAGCGAGAAUGAUAAUAAAGGAAAAGACAAGAUUAAGUCAUUUUCUCGUGACCAUCCAUAGGGUUAAGUACUUUGCCUGUUAAGGUUAAUUUGUGUGUUUUAAAGUCUGUUAUUUAAAUUUGUAAUGUUUCGAAUAUGCAUCCUUAAAUAUUUUGACGAACUUUCGACUAUUUAAUUUCUACAAAGUUUGUGUUUUAUUAAAUCUUCUAGUUCUCUCCGUUAUUUUUAAUUAGGUUAUCUAAGCUUAAAUUUAUAAAUAAAUAAGUUAAUCUGGCUCAAAUCUUAAAUAAAAUUUUUAAUUCAAACUCGAUUUGAAAUAUUAUUUAAUUAAACUAAGUUAAGCUGAACCUUAAACAAAGAAUUUUGAUAUAUAUAUAUAUAUAUAUCAAUUAGAUUUGAGAUAAUUCAUAUAUACUUAUGUUCAAGCUUGACUUAUGGACAAUAAUUUUAAUAUAUAGGUGAUAUAUCAAUCUUGGGCUCAUUGCUGAUCACUCAUGGUCUAAUUUAGAGAAUAGUGAUUAACCAAAUUGAUGAUGACUCAUAGUCGUGGGUAUCGCUGAUGAGUCACAGGGUGGGGUACUUAUAAUUAGAGUUGUUACAGCAAGGGUGGGAUACAUCAAUGAGUCACACGGUGGGGUAUUGCCAUAUUCUAUAAUUUGGUAUAUCAAUCUUGGGCUGAGUGCUGAUGAUUCAUGGUCAAGGACAGGCUAGUUAUAUUCAAGUUGUCUAGGUUCAUUGAAACAUAAAUGUAUAAUUAUGAAAUACCAAAAUGUCAGUCACAGAUAAAGUGGUGACUUCAUAAAAAGCUAGAUAUAUUCCCUUUCCCUAUAUGUUAAAAAGUUAGAUUCUUGUAUCAUAAAAUUUAUUUUAAGUGAUGACUCUCUUUAUACUCUAUAUUUUUUGUUUAUUUUAUUUAUAAUUUUUUAUAAUUAAAUUUAUCUCUUUAUUAUACUUAUUUAAGUGAUUUAUUUGUAAAACUUUUAUCCUUAGAUGAUGUUAAUUAAAUUUUAAUUUAAAAUCAUUAAAUUAGUAGAUCAAUUUUGUCAAUUUUAUUUGUAAUUUUAAAAUUUUUCAAAAUUAAAAUUGUCCUUAUUGCAUUUAUAUGUAAUUGAUAUUUAUUUUAAUAAUUCAAGUAGGACAAAAAAAUGUGAAAAAGGUUAACCGUUGCGGUACGUCCUCUUAAUAUAUACUACUUCAUUGUUAAAAUUCUCUCAUAUUUUAACAAAGAGAACGUGUGGAUAGGUAAAGUGAGAGGAAGAUUCGGCCACGAUCAGCUUCUAGAAAAAGGCAGGGGGCUCCAAUUUUCCUCUCUCUAGCCGACCCCUCUUUCUGCUAUAAAUACACACAAAAAUCAAGGGAGAGAUUAAGCAAAAGGAUAUUCAAAACUCACGUAAAUAAUUCAGCUACUACCAACUGAUCCUGGAUUCAAAAGCCAUACAAAACCAAGCAAAGAAGAGAAGGAUCUUAUUCUCAAAGUGGUUUAACUGGCACUGAUAUCAUGAAAAGGUUGGCUAUCCCAACCAAGAGUCCUGCAUUUCUCCCUCGUUUUUGUGGAGGCCAUGCCCUGGAAUUGCUGGUUCGGGAUGGGAAUGGGAAGUGCUGGACUUUUGUUUGCUCCAUCCGCAAAAACCGGUUUUUCAACAGGGUUGGCGAGACUUUGUUGUAGCUAAAUGUCUUAACGUUGGUGAUAAGGUAACAUUUUAUGAAGCACAAGAAGCUGAAGAUGGAAUCAAGAUAUUUGGCUCCAUUUUACCUCAUUCUCGCCAUCGUAUCGAGAUUGUGAGAAAACAAUGAGUCCCCCCUACGCCUAGAACUGCUCAUCAUUUAGGAUAUGCUAAAAUAUCAUUCAAAGGAGGGUAAUUUGUGAUUAAGAAUACGGGUUUUUAUGGCUUUAAAUAUUUUUCCACUGUAAAAGUCAGUGCUUAUCAUUGGAUUUUCUUUCUGAUAUUUUCUAUUUGUAUGAAAAUUAGUAGUAGCUGGUAACAAUAAUAUAAUAUAUACUAAAUUCAUAGUGGCUAGCUAUACCCGUCGACAUCUCUCUAUUUCCAUAAAAUAUAUAAUAAAAUACCCAUUUAAUCAUACAAAUAUUUGUUGGGAGAAUUCAGUGAUUGAUUUGUCAUUAUUUUAAUUAUUGUUAUUUGAAGAAUUGAGACCUUGAAACUUUGAGAAAAAGGUUAUGCAUCAACCAAUUAAACCAAAUGUUUUGGAGCAUUAUCUUUUAUUUUUACUAAUUUUGUACCUUCCAUCCUAUCUAAACAUUGGGUCUGUAUAACCUACUGUAUAUUUUUCCUCCAUCAAAUUAUGCAAUUUUAACGACAAAAGGGCAACACAAAGACCUAGGCUAAUGCUCAAUGCAAUGCAAUCCACCUUGUCGUGAUUAAUUAUGAGUUAGCCAGGAAGCAGAAGUCGGUGCUUAGACACUCCAACUCCAAGGAUUGCAUUCUUAAGUUGUAUCGCUCCAUUACUAAUGUAAUUAUAUACACGCACAAACACACUUAAACUUUAUCCUCAAUCUUCAUCAUUAAAAUAAAAUAUCGGUUCCUUGGGAGAAUCUGCGGCACAAUUUCGUUAAAUUAAAUCUCACAAGUAACACAGAGAUUAGUUUUCUUUCCAUUACUACCAAUCAUCCUCAGCACUGAUCGGAACCCUUGCAUUAAUAAAAUCGUUGAAUGCUAUCAUCUUUUUUAUUGUUUCCUUGUGUGAGAUUAAGACAUUAAGUCAUCCAUACUCGGUUUUAUGUUCACAUUUUGUCGAGACUUUGCUUUGGAUCGUUUCUCCUUUCAGGAAAACAUGAACAUAAAUAAGAUCGUUAAUCUUGGCUUGGUCAUAAGAGACAGAAACCCUUGCUUCAAUAAAUAGAUGGAUUGACAGAGAGCCCUGGUUCAAUUCAAAGUCAGAAAAUAGGUUCAGUAAUCAGUACCAUAUAUGUCUUCCGUAAUGAAGGAAAGAGUCUUUUCAAAGCCCCUAACUCACACUGACAUAUGCAAAAGAUUGGCUAUUCCAACGAAGAGUCUAGCCUUCUUACCUCGUUCUGUGGAGGCAAUUCAUUGGAGUUACUAGUUAGGGAUGACAAUGACUGCAGCCGGACUUUUGUUUGCUCCCUCUGGAAGACGGGCUAUGCAAAACCAGUUCUACAAAACGGUUGACGAGACUUUGUUCUUGCUAAAGGUCUCAAUGUUUGUGAUAAAAUCACGUUUCAUCAGCAACAAUCUGACGAUGGGAUUAAGGUAUUUGGGACUGUUUUCCCUCGUUCAUGCUAUAGUGUUGACUGUUGAGGUUUAGAGGGCUAUCAAGCCCUCCAGGACUAGAGCUGGUGUUGAUCAUGCUGGCUGAUAACCUUCCAAUACUCUAUGAUACUUAAAUAUAAGUUGCAGAAGCUAGUGGCUAAUAAAGUAGAGGAUUAGAAUUGAGAUGAAAGGACAAUACCAUCCAAGUCGAUCGAGUCAGGGUGCAUCUGAUGGAUCUACAGUUCCAAGCAUGACAGUGCUUUUUUUUUUUAUUGCAUAAUACCGCAAAAGAAAUAUACAUACUCUGAAACAACAUUUUGUAUAUAUAGUAGUCAUUUGGUUUUAAAUCUGUCAGUAGUCCCCUCUAUGUGAUGGAAAUGUUCAGUACAGUCCCUUCUAGUGUCAAUGUAUAUUUAGGUCAUGUUCUUUGACUUUUGGCACAAUUAAUUAAGAAAAAUCAUUGAAAAUAUACUUGAAUUGAGCUGAGUUGACUGAAAAGUUCGUGCACUUCUGAACAUAUAUAAACAAUUCUAUUCAAAUAUAUUAUUCUCCCCACCUAUCAUAUAACAGAAAUGUUUACGAUUUCCUGAAACUUGCAAACCUCGCCUGUUGAAAUGGAUAUUGGUCUUGGAUUUUUCAAGCAUCAUCCUCAGCUUUAAUUUGCUAUAUAUCAAUAUAUAAUUACCACUUCCUGGUGUUUACGUACCAUAGCUGCCGAGAGAAUUAAGAAGGAUUUUCUCAAAGGCACUCUCUCGAACUGAUACCUUCAAGACGUUGGCUAUCUCAAAGAAGAGUAUGGGUUCCUUUAAUUCCUCGUUUCUAUAUAAGGAAGUCAUGCUGUAGAAUUUCGGUUGUUGACAAUGAGACCGGGUACAGGUGGCCAUUUAAUUGUUUGCUCCAUUCGGAAAAAAAAAAAAAAAGAAAAAAAAGGCCAUCCGAGAGCAGCAGUGUCCAAGGGAUACUUGGGCCUGAUCUGCUACAAGAUUGGAAUUGGCCAUACGGGUUGGACCGGGUCAGUAGCAACACCUUUUCUUCCUCUUUCUUUUUCCUGUUCUUUAUUUAUUUAAAAAAAAAUUCUUUUAUAGCAAAUCAUUUAUUUAAAACGUUGAAAGGCUUGAUAUAAAAGGGAAAAAAAUAAUAAUAACAAAUUUAUUUCUUUAUGUCUUACUUUCUAAUUAGUAUUGCAUUAUGUACUAAUUUCUAUCAGCUUGAUUUUUUUUUGGCAUUGAAUUAUAUAAAUCUAUAAAUAUUGUAAUAUCUAUCAACUUCUAUAAAUCUGUUUAAUAUUUCAUAAUUAUGUGUUAGCAUUAGAUUAUUUAGGUCUCGAUGCAAAAGGCGGGCAUUUAUUUUAGUUAUCCUUUAAAAACUAAAGUGGUGAUUUAGAUUUCUUAAUAAUUAGGGCACGUUUGGAAAAUUAUCCUUCUACUUGAAUAAAAAAAAAAAGAAAAUAUGAAUGUUUUGUUUAUUUAUUAUGUAACUAGUUUUUUUUGCCCCUUUUUUAUUAUAUUUUUUAUAAUUUAAAAUUUUAAUUUAUACUAAUUUCUAUAUUAUAUAUAGAUAAAUAAAAAUAUUCAUAAUCACCUAUAAUUUGUAGUUUAAAAUUACAAAAUCUGUCUAUAUAUAAAUUAAUAUGAAAGAAUCUAAAUAAACAUUAUGAGAGCUUUAAAUUAUGAAAAUAAAAUUAUAUACAAAUAUCAAUGAGAAAGUUAAUCUCUUGUUUACAAUUACAUAUACUUUUAAAAGUAUAUAUUAUUUUAAUAUAAAAACUAAAAUUUACACAUUUGAUAUAUCAUGAAAAAAAAUUUAUAUUUAAUUUUGAAAUUUUACCAUAUCAAACUUUUAUGAUGAAAAGAAGAAAAAAUUGAUUGUGAGAAGAAAUAAAAUAUAUAUUUGAUAAUUAUUUCAAAACAAAAAGUGGACAAACUAUUACCUAGUCGUUUUAAUAUGCACGGCAAUAUGCGCACUUUUUAUUUUGGAUUUCAAUGAAGUAACACUGGCAAAUACAUUAAAAAUUCCAUCAAUAGUUAAAGUUGUGAGGGUAUACAAUUAGGCUCAGGGCAACUUUUAGUAGAGGAGUCCUGUGAUGAAGAGAAAUAAAAAAUAUACCUGCGGCGUAAACAACGAGUUUAAGAUUAUGCAUGCUACAGCCUCUCGGGUAAUUUUUUUGUAAAAAGACGGGACUAGAUUACUAGUUUUUCUUUAUUAUAUUAUUAUACACUAUUUUACUAUUUUUCUAAGAAAAUAGUCGUUUUUCUUUUUAUAAUAGUCGUUUUCAUACCACAUGAAUUCCCUUGAUGUUUGUAUAUCCCACAAAUAAAUUGCUUAAAGUCAAUAUUUUGAUGAGAUUCGCUUUUUUGAUUGUGAUGUUUUUUAUUUCCACAAGUAAACAGCAUAUGUAGCGAAUAUCUAUAUGAAAGUAUAUCUCAUCAAUAGUUUGCUGAAGAUAUGAAGAGAAAGAUCUUCUCGAAGCCUCUAAGUCAAACAGAUAUCGGCAAAAGACUGGCUAUCCCCACGGAGAGUCUUGCCUUUUUCCCAUGCAGCAGAUCUCGUCCCAUGGAGUUUCCGGUUAGGGAUGAGAGUAGCAGGCGCGAGUGGACGUUUGCUUGUUCCAUCCGCAAAACAGGCUUCAAAAAGCCUGUUUUUAAAAAGGAAUGGCGAGAUUUUGUUGAUUUUAAUGAUCCAAGUGUUGGUGAUGUGGUGACCCUUUAUGAGCAGGUAUCUGAAGAUGGAAUCAUGUUGUUUGGUAAGUUUAUUCCUCGUUUACGUUCUUACGCUAUUGAGGUUGAGAAAGCUGCAGUCAAGCCAUCUGGGACUGAUAUAGCUUUAGCUGCAACAGCUGAAGCUGCUGGGGGGACUAAUAUUGAUGCCGCCGCCGCUGUUUCUGCACCGAACGAUGAUGCUGGUGAAGCUGAUAUAAUAUAAAGUAGAGGUUGAGAUCAGGAAGAGGCGCCAAAAUCUAUUUGGUUUCUAGUUGUAUUGCCAUAAGCUAGCAGCCGCCCUUGUAAUACGUAUAUGAUAUGUAGUCCACUCAUGCAAUUUCCAGACUGGGAUCCCUAUGUUAUUAAUAUAUAUGCUACUAGUAAAUAAAUAACUAUGUUGUACGCAUGGAGUGUGUAAUAGCAAGUAUCUAUGUCACUGUCAUGGCCUUCGCCUUCAUCUAUGUGGUGCCUAUUUUAAUCUGUAAUACGUACCUUGAACUUCACUUCUGUAGUGCCUGUUUAUCGGAAAUAUGCUACAACUAAACAAAUGAUUUUAUGGAAGGAGUUUACAUUCUUUGAUUCGGUGAGAAUAAGUUAUGCUUUAAGGAAUUUUUACUAAUUUCUUUAUUAUGUGGAAAGAGUUUAAUUACUUCGGAUUGGGUUUCACUUUCUUUGGAUCUUUGAGAAUAAAGUGUUUUAUGGCUUGACUUUGUACAAUUAUACGGUCACAACAUGGAAUAAUUCAUAGCGACCUAAUGAUUUUGUACUCAAUUCUUGAGAUUAAUGCUAAUGUAAUCUUCAUAUAAUUGCAAUCACCAGCUGCAUCAAGAAAAUGCACCCUGCAGAAUGUCUUUCAUCAAAUUGGCAAUCAAGGGAAGAGAAUAAAAGAGAAGGUAACAGAAAUAAGAAUGACAAAUCUAUACUCACAAUUAAGCAUUUGCAUUUUUGCUAACCCAAAUUUUAUUAACUGGUCUGGAUACAUGAAGAGUACAAAGAAAGACCAGUUAUAGCCACACAGGUAAGAAGAAACAGAAAAAGCAGUCAAAACCGACCUACAUGGUAGAGGGUCAGGGCCUGAUUACCACCAAGCCAAAUACAUAUCAACUCUAACACACCUGCUUAAUUUAUCUAAACUACAAAGUUCUUUCUAGGAAAGUGCAUCAGUUAAUAAAGUCAAUGAAACAAGUUUGCCAUUCUUGACAUUACUUAGUUUGACUGUCCUAACCAGCUUGGCCAUAUUAAGACGAACAAUAGAAUAGAUUUUGCUAUGAUUAAUAAUGAAAAAUUGAUACUAAAAUUUUUUAAUUUUAUAAAUGAAAUUAAAAUAAUGAUAUUUAUGAUUUAUACAUUUAAAAUAAUUAAUAAAAAAAACAUGUUUUAUUAUCUUUAUUUUGUUUAUGAAGUUAAAAAAUUAUACCAUCAAUAUAUCAAAUAAUUUUUUGUUAAAAAUAAUUUGAAAGCGAAGCCUUGUUGUUAUCAUAUAUGUAAUUAAUAUAUUUUAUAAAAAAUACAAAUUUAUUGAAAAAAAGAAAUCCAAAUUAAUCAAUAAACGAAAUAUAUUUAUACAUUUCUACUUAAGUAAAAACGCAAUGCGUCGAAAUUAAAAAUAUAUAUAUUGUCAAACGCUUACAACAAAAGAUAUAUAAAUACAGCCACACAACUGGAGAAAGCUGAAUAAAAAAAGGAUUUAUAUCUAGUCAUGUCCACAAAGAAUGGACAAAAAGCUUUGAUUGCCGGUCAGAAUAGCAGUUGGAGCUUUGCUUUUCCGAAAAUAACUGACAAGGACACGGUGGAACGCGAAAAUGAUGCCUAGGUGAAAUUAUCAAAUACAGCAUUAAGGCAUUAAACAGCGGGGAUGUGCAGUCGGUCAAUUUGAUUAAUUUGAUCUGAAAAAAUUAAUAAUUAAAUUAAUUAAUUUUUAUUUUAUUAAUAAUCGAAUCGAUCAAUAAAAUUUUAAUUAAUCGAUUUAAUCGAAUUGAUCAAAAAUUAAUUCGAUUCGAUUAGUUCGAUUAAAUAACAAAAUUUUUUCUUAUUUUUUCUCUUAUUUUGAAUAAUUAUUUAGCUACAAAUUCAAUAUAAUAAAACUCAAAUUGACAUAACAUUCAAACUAAAUCACUAAAGAAUUUAAUAAUUUCUACAAUAUUUUACAAGAAAAAAGACAAAUAAAUACUCAUUUAAACUUAUUUAAUCAAAAUAAAUUAAACAAUAAGUUUUAAAAAAUAUUACUCUAACAUAUAUCAAAUAACCAACAAAGCCAUCAAUACAUAAUAAUUGUCAUUUCAACACAUAAAUAAGUUUUCAAGGAUCAACAAGUCAACUUAAAAAAACAAAUCAAGCAAAUAUGCAUCUCAUAACUUUGGUGCAAAACAUAAAAGACAUUUUAAGUUGACAAAUUGAGCUAACAACUCAUACAAAACAUAAAACAAGCUAAGAACACUCCGAGUUGACAAAUGGAUAUAAAAGUUCAUAAAAAAACAUAAAACAAGCUAAUUAAAGGACAUUUCAAGUUCUAACAGCAUUCUUCAUACAUGAACCCCAUAACUUUGGUGCACAUCCUUCAUUUUUUCCUAAAAUGUUAAAGAGAUUAAAACCUUAAUUAGUUGUCAAUGAAUAAAAUAAAUAUUUUUUAAAUGUAAAUAUUCAUAGAAAUUAAUAAUGAAAUUACCUCAAAAGGUCCAUGCACCUUUGUUUUAAUCAAUUACUGGAUCUAAGGUAAUUUUUGACAAAUCUAAAAAUAUAUAAACAAAAAAUAACAAAAGUAAGCUUUAAACAAGUAAAAAAAUAAAAAAUAAUAAUCCUUAAAAAAUAAAUGAUAGUAUAAAUAAAAUAUUACCUAAAUCCAUUUUGUCAAGCUGUAUCAAAUCAUCUUCAGGUUGAAAUGAAUCAAGAUUAGAAGAUCUAUGUAACCAAUCUUAAGCACAAAUAAGGGCUUGCACAAUUUUAGGAGUUAAAAAGCUCCUAUAUGCAUCAAGCAUACGACCACCAGUGCUAAAAGUAGAUUCGAAAGCAAUUUUGGAUAUAGGAAUUGCUAACACAUCACGGGCUAGAUGGGAAAGGAUAGGAAACCGAUGGCUAUUAAGUUUCCACCAAAUUAAAACAUCAAAAUCAUCACUAUCAUCAUCAUCAAGCUCCUCACUCAAAUAUUUAGCCAAUUCUGAUUUAUGUUUAUCUUUGCCAUGUUCAAUCCUAUACCUCUUUUACUUGGACUUAUAGCUUUUUUUUUUUUUCGUUCCAUUUCCACUUUCAUUAUCGGUGGGCUGUGACAUUUGGCUCACUUGACUACUUUCACCAACUUGAUCAGACUGAGGUUCUAACAUUCUUUUAUAUUCAUUAAAUAAGUCCUCUAUUGCUUGUUAUACUUUUUUAAUCAUCAAUGAAGCUUCAUCAGAAGAAUACAUUUUCAUGAAACAAUAUUCAACAAAAGGAAACUUUUUUGAAGGAUCAAGAAGAGCAGUAAUAUAAACCAACAUAUUCAUCUUCUCUAUAUUUCCCCAAUACUUAUCAUAUUUAUCUUUCAUUCUCUUUGCCAUUACAUUCAACUCAACAUCAAGAUUUAAUUGCCAUUCUCUCAAAGUGGAAUAAACAUCACAUAUAUCAUUAAGAAAAGUAUUAGAUGUGACGUAAGAAGUACCUGAAACUUUCACGGUGAGAUCAUAAAAUUGUUGCAAGAAAAGACAAAACUUCCUAACAAUUGCCCAAUCAUUUUGAUCGGGUGCCCCAUCUCCCAUCAAAAGCUCACUUCUAUAAUAAGGAUCAACAUCAUUAAAUGCAUCAAAUGCCCUUUCAAACUUUUGAGCUGCAUCCAACAUCAAAUAAGUAGAAUUCCAUCUAGUGCUAACAUCCAAACACAAUAAACUUUUACUUUGAAUAUGUUCAUUCACAAUACACUCUUUAAACUUAGCUAACCUAAAAGGUGAUUGUCUCACAUAUCUUAUUGCCCCUCUAACACGAGCAAUUGUUUCAUUCAUUUCUUUCAAUCCAUCACAAACAAUAAGAUUAACAAUAUGUGCAAUGCAUCUCAAAUGAAGAUAUUUGCCUCCCAAAAUACUAGUUCUAGCAUUGUUAAAUUUUUUUCCUCAAAUAUGCAAUUGCAACAUCAUUAGAACUAGCAUUAUCAACUAUUACAGUAAAAAUCUUAUCAAUCCCCCAAUCACGCAAACAUUUUUCAACCGCCUUACCAAUAGCUUCACUUUUGUGACUAAAAAUGAGACAAAAAUUUAAUAUCUUUUUAUUUAGUUUCCAAUCUUUGUCUAUGAAGUGAGCCGUAAGACACAUAUAAUUGACCCUUUGUAAUGAGGACCAUGUAUCAGUGGUAAGAGAUACUCUUGUAAAAGAUGAUUUCAUGAAUUGCUUCAAAUGAGUCUUUUCAUCAAUAUAAAGCUGAUAGCAAUCCCUAGCAACUGUCCAUCGUGAUGGUACACAAAAUCUAAGACAUGCAAUGCCUAAAUCCUUUCGACUCUAUAAAUCUAAAUGGCAACUCAUUUAGAAUGAUCAUUUUAGCUACAACUUUUCUAACAGCAUCUUGAUUAAAUUUUCAAGUGCCUAAAGAUUCUACUCCUCCUAAUGACAACACCAAUUCUGUUUGAGUACCAUCAUCCCCACUAACACGAGAAAGCUUUUUACAAGAAUUCAUGUGAUUCUUUAAAGCGGUGGUUCCAUUCUUUUUAGGAUUAGCAAAAAAUUCUCUGUCACAAUAAUUACACCUAGCUUUACGAUUACCUUCCUCAUUAACAAAUUUAGUAAAAUGGUCCCAUACUUCUGACCAUGGCUUAGAUGCUCGUCUCAUCACUUUGGAAUUUACAGUUUCAUUUUUUGUUACCUCAUCAUAUGCAGGAAGUUGAGAGGCCAAUUGUGUUUGAUUAGUUGUAGAAUCCAAAAUCAUAUCAUUCACUUCAUUUGACAUCUUCAAAAAAAAAAAAGCAAGUGAUCAAAUUAUAUCCAAACAAUAAAAAAUAAAUAAUUGAAUUAUAUUAAAAUAAUAAAUAAAAAAUUAUAUUCAAAUAAUGAAAAAAUAAUAAAGUAAUAUUCAUACAAUUAUUGAACACAUUGGAUAUUCAAAUAAUGAAAUAGUUUGUUAAUCAAACUAUAUAUUAGUUGCUUAUUUUAUCAACAAACAAUGUAAGUGUCUAGCAUAGUUUAGGCUAAUUUAUUUUAACUUUUAAUUUAAGUAUCUAGCAUAAUUUAGAUUAAUUAGUUGCUAGAUCUAGUAAGAAAGUUAAAACUUAAAAGUGCUAGAUCUCUGACAAUAGAUUUCUUUAAAAUCUUUAUUCCCGAAUAGUUGUGUUUUAAACUUAUUUCUCUAUGUAUACAUCUAGUAUUUACACACUCUACUUCAAGGUGUAAAUCACUUAAACUAUUUCUGUCUUUCGACUUGUGAGUUGUGGGACCAUCCUCGAAUCGUCUUAGUCCACAUCAUUACCAUGUUGCCAUACCAUCAGUCAUCCCUAAAUUACCAAAAGAAAGUAACAAAAUCUGUAUUUAUUAAAGUUGCAACUCAUUUCAUAACCAAAUGAUCUCAUCAAUCCUUUGAUUUCAUUUCUUCUCAUUCAUUCCAAGUGUGUUCUUCACACUUUCCACAGCACCCUGAGCCAUGCCCUUCAUUUGCUCUCCAGUCUGCAACAGUACGAAUUCCUAUUUCAUUAGUUUCCUAACCAAAGCUUAAAAUAACAUAAACUUUAUCAAUUGUCUGUUUAAUGUACCCUAAAAUGAGGUAUUAUUAUUAUUGAAAAGCAAAAGAAUUGAUGAAAGGGAAUGACAGGUAAAGAAAAAACCUCCUGAAGGAAACUAGCAGUCUGUUGCUAUCUUUGCUGAACAGACUUUUAAGCUGAGUGAGUAGCAUUUGUUGCCUGGUCUCUAGCUGCAUCUGCAGUAUCUUUAUAGCUGCAGAGCUUGAAUUCUGCUUGGGGAAUAGACUUAAUUGAAUCAGUAGAUAAAAUUCAUCAAUCUGAGAAAGGUACACUUCACCACACAUUAAUUGGUUUCCCCAGCCAGCCUCCAUGCUAGAAAAUAGCAUUUCCUUUUACUUUUUCUUGAGUCUACAUCGUCUUAGUCCGAAUAGUUGUUGCUUUCUUUUGGUAAUUUAGUGAAGCAAGUCAAAACUGCAGAAACUGUUAUUGAAAAUCUCGCUCCUUUCAUUUUUAUAAGUUAAAGUGCUUUCCUCGACUAAAAGGACUAUUUUCACAGCUUGCUACAGAUACUGUAAAUCCAGCGUGGGGCGUGGAAGGUUUGACUUUUGAUCCUUUUAUUCCAGAACCUAGUCAAUCAAUUGGAGGAGUAAACAAGCCACUGAAAGUCCUAGACCUAUUCCUUCCAGGCUAAAGAUAGGGUCCAUUUAUGGAAUCACUCUAAACAACAAAAGGUACUGAAAAAUACCAGCAAAAAAAACAUUACCGUGGGCACACCCUGGGGCUGAGGUUUGGCCGUUUGGGUUAUGCUUUAGCUUAAAACAUAUAGGAAGAAUACAGCUCUAAACAUCACGCUAAAAGAAAAAAUAAAGGUUAUUAAGAUUUAAGAACUUACGAUGGCGUCUUGGGCAGAUUGAUCUCUACAAUUGUCUGAUCUUGUGUAGCAAAUUAGAGGGAUCAAUUUUCCUUAAAAAUAAAUUUCCAAAAAAAGUAUUUUUUGGGAAAAGUUAAAAGUAUCAAUUUUUCCUACACAAGAACAAUCAUUCUUUUCUUCCUUUCUAUUUUGAUUUUGAUUUUGAUUUUUCUUUAACUAAUCCGACGACGGAGCCUCUGCAAGUGAAACAGUAGUUUUUCUUGCAUACUCUUGAGGUGAGAAAAUUUUCUCAAUUUUUUGCUAAAAGUAUUAGAGUCAAUUGAGAAUAAUUUUUAAUAAUUAAUCACUUAGUAAAAUUUUAAGGCUAAUUGGAUAACAUAAAUUUAAGUUGGUACCAUCUUUUGAUGGGCGUUGUGAGGGUGCUAUAACCUUCCUCACACGUAACCGAACUCCCGAACUCUGUUCUAGUUAGUAGACCUGAACCUAUUCUUUUAGAGACCCUUAAACUUAGGUGUUCCCUAAAAGGAUAGAUUCCUUAGGUGGUCAAUCGCACCUAGAUAAAAAAGAUUGAUGGCGACUCCCAAAAGUCAAUGUCUAGCGAUAGAUCCCCGAAUCUAGACGUUAUGACAGCUUGGCGACUCCGCUGGGGACCUUGAGAGUCAGGUCAGCAAAUAAUUUGUGUUACCCAAAAGCCUAAUAAAAUUGAACCUUUUUGUAUAUAUGUGUUAUUAUUCAUUCAUGUUUAUUUACCUUGUUAAUUAUGUCAUUCAUGUGCAUGAGCAUAACAUGGGCUCUAUACCCGAGCUCCGUCCCUUUAGGAGGGAGUAAAGUACUUAUUGCUUUCGUGAGGUCUAAUGUCUCCGCAGUGGCUAACGAAAUACUCCCACUCAAAUUGAACCUUUUUCGCUUGUAGCCUGUAAUGGGUGAGGAUUAGGGUGCCUUACUAGUCUGUGAUGGGCAAGGAUGUAAGGAACAAUUUGAGGACCUUUAGACUUUGACCCUAAAAACUGCAUAUAGUGAACCUUAAGAGUGUCUAAACCUAGGAUAGAGCCCUUUCUACCCAAUGAUAGAUAUACCUUAAAAUUAAGACACAAAAAGGGUGUUUAUCUAAUCAUUUUGAUUGUUUAACUUUGUGUAUCAUUUUCAUUAUCAUAUGUAACAUUAUGCAUCAACAUCACUUUCAUUUCAUCCAUGGAACUAACUAUGUUGUUUGUUUGAUAGUAUGCAUCUGCAUUAUUUUCAUGACCAUGUUUUAACACAAUCAUUUGCAUUCAUUUCAUACUAGAUUUUAUUUAGGAAAAUGUACAUUUCAUUCGUGCAUCAAAGCAUCAUACAUAAAGCAUAGCAUAACAUUUCUAAUCAUAAGUAGGGUACUCAAGGUUUCAGGAUAGCUCCGUCUAGUGAGAACCUUGCCCAUCGAUACAACACGAGAUCCAGAGCAAGGCAAAUGGAGCAGAAAAAUUCUCAUAGAUUUGAAAAGAUAGAAAAAGCACAGGAGAAUAUUGAAAGUGAGCUGAGCAAGAUUCUGGAGGCUCUUAAUAACAUGAAUAAAGGAAAAAGAGUUGAAGAAAAUGCAAGCCAACAAGUUCCCUGGCUGCAAGAAGUGGCUGACCCUUUGUACCCUCCAGGUUUUGGCCCACCUCAAGCCCAGUCUGCUCAAAAGGUCCUGCCACAACACUUCGCAUAUCGACAUAUCUUAGAAUGCCAUCAGCUUUCAACCUAAGGCAGUAUAAUAGCUAUGUAAAUCUUGUCUUCACUGAAAAAGUAGCAGAACUAAUUCUCGAUCUAGAUGAUUUAAAAGAGAAGGAAAAAGAAAAGAUAAAAAUGGAAGUUCAGGAAAGCUCAAAAAUUAGCAUGCUAGAGCAGAGGCUACGGGCUAUGGAAGGAUUUAGCCUUUAUGGGGAAAAGUUGAAAGUAUCAAUUUUCCUUAAAAAUAAAUUUCAAAAAAGGUUUUUGAGGAAAAGUUGAAAGUAUCAAUUUUCCUUAGAAAUAAAUUUCCAAAAAAUAUUUUUGGGAAAAAGUAGAAAGUAUCAAUUUUUCUUAAAAAUAAAUUUUCAAAAAAUAUUUUUGGGGAAAAGUUGAAAGUAUCAAUUUUCCUUAAAAAUAAAUUUUCAAAAAAAUAUUUUUGGGGAAAAGUUGAAAGUAUCAAUUUUCCUAAAAAAUAAAUUUUCAAAAAAAAAAGAUUUUUGAGGAAAAGUUGAAAGUAUCAAUUUCCCUUGAAAAUCAAAGUUUCAAAAAAAAAUAUUUUUGAAGAAAAGUUGGAAGUAUCAAUUUUUCUUAAAAAUAAAUUUCCAAAAAAAGUAUUUUUGGGAAAAGUUGAAAGUAUCAAUUUUUCCUACACAAGAACAAUCAUUCUUUUCUUCCUUUUUAUUUUGAUUUUGAUUUUGAUUUUUCUUUAACUAAUCCGAUGACAGAGCCUCUGCAAGUGAAACAGUAGUUUUUCUUGCAUACUCUUGAGGUGGGGGAAUUUUUUCAAUUUUUUGCUAAAAGUAUUCGAGUCAAUUGAGAAUAAUUUUCAAUAAUUAAUCACUUGGUAAGAUUUUAAGGCUAAUUAGAUAACAUAAAUUUAAGCUGGUACCAUCUUUUGAUGGGUGUUGUGAGGGUGCUAUAACCUUCCUCACACGUAACCAAACUCCCGAACCCUGUUCUGGUUAGUAGACCUGAACCUAUUCUUUUAGGGACCGUUAAACUUAGGUGUUCCCUAAAAGGACAGAUUCCUUAGGUGGCCAAUCGCACCUAGAUAAAAAAGAUUGGUGGCGACUCCCAAAAGUCAAUAUCUAGCGAUAGAUCCCCGAAUCUAGACGUUAUGACAGCUUGGCGACUCCGCUGGGGACCUUGAGAGUCAAGCCAGCAAAUAAUUUGUGUUACCCAAAAGCCUAAUAAAAUUGAACCUUUUUGUAUAUAUAUGUUAUUAUUCAUUCAUGUUUAUUUACCUUGUUAAUUAUGUCAUUCAUGUGCAUGAGCAUAACAUGAGCUCUAUACCCGAGCUUCGUCCCUGUAGGAGGGAGUAAAGUACCUAUUGCUUUCGUGAGGUCUAAUGCCUCCGCAGUGGCUAGCGAAAUACUCUCACUCAAAUUGAACUUUUUUUGCUUGUAGCCUGUAAUGGGUGAGGAUUAGGGUGCCUUACUAGUCUGUAAUGGGCAAGGAUGUAAGGAACAAUUUGAGGACCUUUAGACUUUAACCCUAAAACUGCAUAUAGUGAACCUUAAGAGUGUCUAAACCUAGGAUAGAACCCUUUCUACCCAAUGAUAGAUAUACCCUGAAAUUAAGACAUAAAAAGGGUGUUUAUCUAAUCAUUUUGAUUGUUUAACUUUGUGUAUCAUUUUCAUUAUCAUAUGUAACAUUAUGCAUCAACAUCACUUUCAUUUCAUCCAUGGAACUAACUAUGUUGUUUGUUUGAUAGUAUGCAUUUGCAUUAUUUUCAUGACCAUGUUUUAACACAAUCAUUUGCAUUCAUUUCAUACUAGAUUUUAUUCAAGAAAAUGUACAUUUCAUUCGUGCAUCAAAGCAUCAUACAUAAAGCAUAGCAUAACAUUUCUAAUCAUAAGUAGGGUACUCAAGGUUUCAGGAUAGCUCUGUCUAGUGAGAACCUUGCCUAUCGAUACAACACGAGAUCCAGAGCAAGGCAAAUAGAGCAGAAAAAUUCUCAUAGAUUUAAAAGAUAGAAAAAGCAUAGGAGAAGAUUGAAAGUGAGCUGAGCAAGAUUCUGGAGGCUCUUAAUAACAUGAAUAAAAGAAAAGGAGUUGAAAAAAAUGCAAGCCAACAAGUUCCCUCGCUACAAGAAGUGGCUGACCCUUUGUACCCUCCAGGUUUUGGCCCACCUCAAGCCCAGUCUGCUCAAGAGGUCCUGCCACAACACUUCGCAUAUCCGACAUAUCCUGGAAUGCCAUCAGCUUUCAACCUAGGGUAGUAUAAUAGCUAUAUAAAUCUUGUCUUCACUGAAAAAGUAGCAGAACUAAUUCCCAAUCUAGAUGAUUUAAAAGAGAAGGAGAAAGAAAAGAUAAAAAUAAAAGUUCAGGAAAACUAAAAAAUUAGCAUGCUAGAGCAGAGGCUAUGGGCUGUGGAAGGAUUUAACCUUUAUGGGUCAGUUGAUGCUGCUGGGCUCUGCUUAGUUCCUGAUGUAGUUAUCCCUCACAAGUUUAAAGUAUCGAAAUUUGAAAAAUAUGACGGUACAAAGUGCCCCAAAACUCACAUCACAAUGUAUUGGCGAAAAAUGGCAGCUCAUGCUCAUGAUGAAAAACUCUUGAUGUCAAUAGAGAUUCUCCACCUGAUCGCAUAGGGGGAUAAUUUUUAAGAACGAAAAUAAGGUUGGUUGAAGAUUUUUUUUCAUUUUAAGAUUUCUUUUCGAGUAAUGUUAAAUUUCUUUUUUGCAAUAUGACUUCACUUGUUAUCAUCUUAAUAAAGGCAAGUUAAUAUAUUUCAUUACAUUUUCUCUUUCACUUGACCAUUACUCCAUGCCUUGUUACCUUCCAUAACUUAUACUCCCAUUCUCAAAUUUCAGAUGAUGAAUAUUUAGACAAUGAUAACAAUAAUUCUGAGAUUUAAUUUUGAGAACUCAUCCACAUUAAUAUGAGAAGAUGAUUUGAGCAAAAAAAAAAGAAGUAAGCCAUUACCAGAGGUGAAAGAGAUAUGUCUUGAAGAUAUGUAAUCUUUUAUACAGGAUCAUGAGCUUUGUUCAAUAGAUGAUGUUCAAGAAAAGUAUUCACAAUUGAGAUGAAAAAUGGCCAUCUUUCUUUUACCAUUUGAAAAACCAUUUAUUGCCACCCCUUUGAGCCUAUCAUGAUUUUUUUUUUGAAGAACCCUAACCAAGGAUCACCCUCUACACUGGGAGGCAAUUUUUGAAAAAAUUUCACAAAAGGUCUCAAAAAUGGAAAAAGAAAGAAAAGAAAAAAAAAUAAAUGCCACACAUGACUUGGGGUAAAGUAAUGAGAAUCCUUUGUGUGAAAAAAAAAUAGUGAAAAGAUGUGGGGGCAAAAUGCCAAGCUGCAUCAAAUGAUCCUUUAGUCUUGAAAAUUUUUAAUAUAUGUUUUGAGCCUAUUAUAUCCAUUUCUUUUAUGACCCCUCACCUUGACCUACAUUACAACCUUGAAAAAUCUAUUUGGAUCAAGUGUGAAUGCUUAACUUGAAUGAUCAUAUGUUGAGCGAAGGCUAUGCUCAUGAUGAAAUAAUGGAAUCAUGCUACAUUGCUCUAAAGUUGGAUGUAUGAAAGAUAUCAACACUGGAUGAAAAAUGAAAAAAAAGAAAAAAGAUGAUGAAAAAUAAAAAAAAAAGAAAGAAAGAAGGAAAAAAUGAGAAAAAUGAAAAAAGAGAUUCAAAUUGAAAACCUGAAAGGGUGAUUUUGAUAAAAAAAAAAAAAGAUCCAGCUCAAAUGACUCACAUGAAUGGAAGAUCAAAGACAUUUGAAGAUCCUUCAAAGACUGGGGUAAAGUUUGCCAAGCUCAAGAUGACUUCAACUGUAAAUGGAAUGAGUUUUUGAAAAAGAAUCCUAGAUUAAUGUUGAGAAUUGUCUGAAUAUUCAUCAUUUGGACAUACCAUUCAUCCCAAUGACAUGUAUCCAAUUUAUUUCCUUUCCCAUUUGUUUUGUACCAAAAUAGAUCUUCAUUGAUUAUCUUUACCAUAAUUCACCUUGUGUUCUCUUAUUGUUUCACCCCUAGAAUGAAUUGAGAAAAUGUUUGAUUGCAUUGUAUUUGUCGAGAAUUGAAAUGAUAAUGAAUGAAUGAAUAUGUGCUUAAAAGAAUCUUGCAUUCAUUGGAAAAGAAAUCUAAGAUGAUGGUGGUAAAAACCUAAAAGAGAUGAUUUGAAAGGAUAUAUGAUGGAGAAUAUGAUGGGGCAAAUCUUGAAAAAUGGUAUAACCAAGUGAUGAGUACAAGGAUGAAUUGAUCAAUAUGACUUGCAAGUUGUGAUUUAAUGAUGAAAACAAUCAGUGGACAAAGUUUGUUUUGAAAUGGUUAGUGCUGAGACACCUAUGAGUAAUGACCCAAUGAUGAUGGAUGAAACCUGUUUUGAAAUUUGUUAGUGCUUAAAAAUUCAUUGAAUGAUGGUCAAGUGAUGAUCGAUUGAUAAAGCUUAUUCAAAGUAUUGAGAAACUGAACAAGGAAGAAUGUGAGUGGAAAAGACAAUUGAGAGCUACACUGGUUCGAUCUUAGAAGAGCAGUGUAAUUGGAUCUCUGAAGAAUCAAAAGGCUUGAUGCCUAAGAAAAGAGCUUGAGAAACUUGAGUACCAUACAUUGAACAGAAAUUAAUUGGCCAACAUUUGCAUAGCAUGCAUUAAAAUUCAUAUGCAUUUGCAUAGCAUACACUACUUUCAGGAAAGUACAAUGUAUAAAUUCAAAAAGUAGGGGUGUUCCAACAUCCCACAUAGAGAAGACAGAUAUGAAGAUAUUUUGUAAAAUUGAAAAAGAAAAAGCUUGUCAGGUAAGUUCCUAAUCUUUGAAAUAGGAUGUCUUUUGGUAUCAGGGUUGAUUUAUAAGACCUUUGGGCAUGAUCUCCUGAAAUUCCUUCAAACACAACUUUCAACUCCUUUGGACAUGAUUGUCAAGGAGUAAUUUACUUUUCAAAGUCGUGGUGCCUCUGUUUAGAGGAGCAAUUUACUUUCAAAAGUCGUGGUGCCUCUGUUUAAAAGAACAAUUUACUUUUCAAAAGUCGUGGUGCCUCUGUUUAGAGGAACAAUUUACUUUUUCAAAAUCGUGAUACCUCUGUUUAGAGGAACAAUUUACUUUUUUCAAUUAGAAUGCUAAAUUACUUGAGCUAUGAUACUACAAGAAUAAAGAAUACUAUAAAAUUGAAGUAGGGUAACAUAAUUAUUUCUUGCUAUAUUCUAUCCAAUAUUAUUUGACCCAAGAAAAUAUUAUCUCUUUUUUUUCUCUUAUGAAAUUUAAAAUUUUUUAUUCACCCAUCACUGUCAAUGCGAGUAGAAAGUUCCAGAAAAAGGUUCUACAAUCGGACUUCCGUAUAAAGACAAACAUGGAAUUGCCAACAAUGAGUAGUUUAAUGUUCGGAAAGCAUCCGCCCUCGGUGAUCUCGUAUUUAUCAUAACCACAGUUGCCGUCAGAACAUUCUCUCUGCGCGUGCAAAACACUUUCCAAUAUUCUCUAAAACGUAUUUUUAUAAUGUCAAAAUUAUAUUAAGUAUUUGUAUUUAUAUUAUAUAAAAUAUUAAAAUUUAUAUAUUUAUAUUAUACUUUAUAAAAAAAUUACACCAUGUUAGCAUCAAAUAUAAAAUAUAUUUUUUUAUUUUAUUAAAUUAAAUAUAAUAAUUAUUAAAAUUUUAAAUAAUAUUAUUUUUAUAUUAUAUAUUUAUAUCAUAUUUAUAUCAUGAUCUUAUGAUUUAAAUUGUCAAUAGCUAAAACACAAAGCGCGGUCUUCACGUUCCUUACAAUACGUGAAAUUGAACAUAAAGCUCUAAAACAGUGCACCGUAAUAUUAAAAAAAAAAAAAAGAAGAAGAAAGAUAGAAAGAAUCGUAAGCAAGUCGAUCAAAUAGGGUAUCUGAUCAAAUCCAAAAAGCCCAAACAGAAUUUUGUAACAGAAAAUCAGAGGAAAAUGUGUUGAAAAUGCAAGAGGGUUCUGCCAAAAGCUCUAUACCUGCGGGACAGAAGGUGACGCUCUAUCAUCAGAUAUCUGAAGGUCGGGUCAGGGUGUUAGGUACUAUAUUUUUCCCAUGUUCAUGCUACAUGUUGACAUUGAGAGAGCAUCCAAACUUGGAAGAAUAUGAAGCAUGGAAAUUAAAUUUAUUUUGACCAAAAAAAUGAUUAAAAAUUACUUUAAUUAUUACAAACUUUUUGUUCACUUAAUGAUUUUGUUGGAAAGACUUAACAGUGAUAGAAGGAUGAAAUUUGGUAAACCUUACAUCAAACAAAUUAAUGGUUAAAAAAAAAAAAGAUAAUAAGAUAAUUUUGGAAGGACUUGACCAAAUGUCAAACAUAUUUCACAGAGGCAAGCUACUUAGUGGCUUGGUUUCCAAUAUAGCUGGGAGCCACAUUAAAAUGACCUGCCUUUGGAAGAAUUUUAAGAUUAGAUAGAGAUUAAAAGGUGGCCAAUUCACAUUUGGUUUUUGUAGAGAGGUUUUCUUUUCAUUUCGAUUUUUUUGAAGGGUGCAAUAGGAAUUUGUUUUUUUUUUUUCUUUGUUUUACAAAAGCUAUGAUCUCGAUAGAGUAAAAAAUUGCAAGUACAAGAUUUAAAUCUAAAACUUACUAAAUAUCAUUUUUAAAGAUAACUGUAUGAUUAACAUAAUUAAAACUUUAAUUCAAAUAGCCAAUUUUAUGAUUACUUUUGUCGGUGAAAAAACUUUACAUUUAACUUAUUGGAGUUAAAGUUUCUUUUUGAAUGAUUAGAUACAGACUACAAUUUGUUUUUCUUUUCAUCAAAACUUAAUACAAACUCAGGCAGCCUUCGGCUUUGGCUUCAUUCGCUUUGCUUUGGAAUACAAGAAGACUCCAGUAAGAGGCACUGCAGUCCAAACCAGUCACAGUUAAAUAUAAAUAGAAUACAAGUGCAAUUUUAUGACAAUUUAAUUAGUGCAUGUAAAAGCUGAUGAUCAAGGAAGAAUUGUCAAUUUGCCAUGUUUUAACAAUUGGUUGAUGAUCAAUUUUACCAAGGGAAUUAAUGGGUGAAACAGGCGUCUGUAAGAAGAUAACUGAAGAAACGAUGACCACAACUCUCUUAACACAAUUUCCUACAGUGUGUAACUGGGGAUACCAUCUGCAAGUAUCAUCUGUGAGACCUGCAAAACAGAAAACAUAGCAUUUCAACUUCGAUUAGAGGACUAGAAAUUAGGCAUUCCCUACUGCUAUAUUUACUAUGAUUACUCAGGAACUGCAUAAUUUUAGGAUAAAGAAGCAAAUUACAAUAGAUACAAACAGGCUUACCUGCUGAUAACUGUGGAAACAGAAUCCUGCCAGAAGAGAUCUUAUGCAUAGCUCUCCAACAUUCAAACCUUGGUUUGAAUUGAUUCAAGGGAAAAUGAAAAACAGCUUCAUGUUUAUGACAUAACAAGCUCUAAUUGUUGCUUAGAGACGACAUCAGCAUUUGCUUUCUAAAUGUGCUAUAGCUACUUACAGCAGAUUGUAGAAAUGAAGGAGUGAACUUGACACCUUCCAUUAAAAUGGCAGCAGGAACCAAUAGGAUAAAUGAAAUUAUGGUUAGUACAGAGAAGAGAUUGAUAUUGUCCAAAGUGUCCUGCUUAGAAAAGUGAGGAUUAGAGCCCAGAUGACAUAAUCAAUCAGAUAAAUUAGAAAUCACUUUGUAAAAUCAAGAGCAUAAUUGUCAUACUUCUGUCAUAAAACAAUGGAGACUCAAUGACAUUUAAAAUGUAAAACCAUUGUCUAUUUAUGCUUGAAUUAUAUGUUUUUUUACCUAUUUUCUAACCAUGAACUUUUUACCGAGCAAAUUACACAAUUGGUUAGUCACAUUGGAAGCCAUUGCGCUACAGAAACCAAUCCUGUUCAGAACAACAAGACUUAGUCAAGUUUAAGAAACGAGUUUAACUGAACAUAGACCACGCUUCUGUAAAGGGAUAGCGUAUCAAACUUUUAAAUGAGUUGAUCAGACAAGGGUUCUUACCAAUUAAAAGAUGCCUGAGUGAAUGAGGCUAAUGCCACUCCACACACAACUGGUAUGAGGGAGGACACUAUCCAGAAAGUAGGCCACUGUGAAAAUGAAAUAAUUGUGAAAAACUGAGUGAAAGGACUGAAACAAAACAUAAAACAAAAAUUCUUAAAUAUGACAUGAUUUGUAAAUUUGUGUCUAUAACUUUGCACAGUUACUCAACUGGGGUCUUGAGCACAUUAAUCAAAGAAUUUUGUUUGACAAGUCAAUCUCCUCAUUUCUGUGAAAGCUUCUGAUGGAAGGAGAACAGAAUUGAACGCUUAAGCAUUAAGAAUAAAUAUUCUAAUUUCAAGCAGUAUUUAUAUCAAUACUCUUACCUCUACAAGAAAUAGAACUGAAAAAUAAGACAGUGAAGAAGGGCUCCAUUGAUUUAAUUGUGUAAGUGAGUGAUACAUUAACUUUACCAAGACUAACAUUAGUCAAAAGGUUGCCAAGAGUGUGAGCAACAGCCAAUGGAAUGAUUGCUGCAACCUGAAAACUGGUUUGUAAAAUACUGUUUGCAGAACAGAAAUAUAGAUAUGUGAUGAAAAUUACAAAAGUACCUGUGAACGAGUACACUUUGGUCGAUGGUAGAGAUUAGAUGCCCACAUUGUAAGUAUUAUCAAAGUCCCACAGCCAAAUUGGAAGGCUGUAACUGUUGCUGGAAAUGUAUAGACCUUAGGAACCUUCAGCAGAAAAAAGAAUGUACUGGAAUUAUACUUAAAAUAUAUCAGCCUUAAUGUGAAUGGUAUAUCGAAACUAACAAUAGCAAUGUGAGAAAAUUUAUCACAGAACUCAAGAUUUUCUCGGUGCUUUGAAUUGCAUUUCUCUAAGACACUGCUGACUUAAUUGUGAGCGAAUAUAUUUAAGGGAUGACCCUCACGAAUUCAGAAAUGACCCUAGAGCUAUAGUGAAAAUAAGAAAUUGUGAAUAAAAAAAAGAUAUAAAACCAGCUUGUUGAAAAUGUUGAAGUAGAUGUUCAGAAAAUACCAAAUUGCAAACAUGGCUUCAAGCUGCAAGGUCCUAGCCAAACCACUGGAGUCCUUUGUGUCAUCUAUGUUUUCAGGAACUGAUGUUGCUCUGACCUUAAAACUAUCACAUCUAUUAUCUGAAAUGAGGAAUGACUGAAAGAUUAGAGCAUUGAAGCCUGAACAAGAAGACAGAUAAGAAGGUUCUUGAUAUGAAUGUCCAUGUCUGGAACUGAGAUCUAAUGGCUUUAAAGAAGAUGGGUUUGAUACCGAACUGUAUCUGGGGUUGUGGUUUUUAGUUGGAGGUUUAAACAAUGGAGUUGAAGGAGAAAGAACGAGCGCAGUGCUAUGCAUUUUGUAUGUUACAAGAAGAAGGCAAGGUCAUAGACGUUGGGGUUUUAAACCUACAUGAAUACAAAAACGUGGGGCAUGAAAGGACAAGGCAUUUAGUUUUGCGCUCGGCAUUUAGCUUCAUCAGUCUUGCGGUUCACAUUCUUGAAGUCCGAACUGUGAAGUCACUAACAAAAAUGGUGUUUAAGAUGAUAAAAACAUUGGACACAAAGGUCAAAAGGGCUGAGGGGAUAGUGAUGAACAGUUUUAUUUUCAAGUUGAAACUUGCAAAUCAUACAUUCUAUAAUCUUUACCACAAAUUCAAGUAGAAGUGCACUUUUAACGCUUGAUUAUCCAUACUAAUAUAUGAAGUCAGCAGUUCAGUUUCCAACAAAUUGAUUUCUUGUUAUGGGUAAUGUCAAACUAUGGACAAAAACCAAACAGAUCAAUUAGUCCAAAGUUCUGCAAACUUCAUUUGGUGGUGAUUAGCUAGAGCUGGAAAUGAAUGGAUUGCAUGAGUUCACUAGUAUGUGUACUCAAGAUGCUAAGACAAAGAUGUGACAAUCAGGGCUUCUUUUCAAAAGGGAAAUCCAAACCACGGACCUCAUAGUUUGCCAACUAGAUAAUCCCCUACAAUCCAUUUCCAGGAUAUUUUUCAGCCAUUCUAGGAAUCCAAUCGAAAGAUUCCAUGGUAGAUAUGAAGUGUAACAGUACAUUUUGCCAUGAGACCAUAAAAACUGCAAAUAGAAGACUUUUGGAUGUGAAAUUUUAAUUUCUAAUGAGACAAUAGGAUCAGAAAUGCAUUUGUAAAGAAACAAUAGAAUGGGCAACUGGCAAUGUUGUUCUAGUGAAGCUUUGAUUGUCAAGAGUUGAUGAUUAUUCUUUCCAUAACUCCACAUAAAAAAUUGUAUCCUGCAACCCCAAGUGUAGAAGAAAUAUCAUCGUCCCAUCUGUAUGAUAAAGUUUUAGACUUUUGGUACACCUCAGUUGAAAGCAAAAUGGAAAAAAACAAGAGCCUAAACCAUUAUCAGAACCUUCUUUGUUGACUAGAGAUGAUAAGGAAUGAACAAUUUUGUAAUGGAGUGAUGUAAGAACCAAUCAGAAUACAAGGAUGCAAACUCUCAAUAUAGUGUUGAAUUUAUCGUAAGAGUCGAUGUUUUUGACGAGACACACUCAAGUCUUGUGAAUGUCAAAUGUCCGGUAUGCAAUGUUUUUCACAAGAUGCAUUUAAGUCUUGCAAAUGUCAAGUAUCCAGUAUGCCCUCUAGCUUCAGCAGAUGGCCGAGCCAUGACUGCUGGAGAACUUGAGUUGUCCCUCAUGCUUCCUUCGCCUGAAGGCUGCCUCCUCUUGCAUGGAGGACAUGCAACAGAACCACCAUCAUCAACCUUUGAGCAGUCCAUUUUCCAUUCACGGAUUUCAUAUGUGCGAAGUAGUAUUUCAAAGGUCCUUAUAUCUGUAUGUUACAAGCACUUUACACUUUAGAUAGAGAGAGAGACGAAGAAAGAACACUUCUAAGAAAAGUUCAUGACACUAUAAAAGAAAUACCGCUUGAGCAAGAUAGCAGAACUAGUUUCAAAAAAGCUACCUGUAAAGUUUGAUCUAAGAGUUUCACAUGAGCGUUGCACUUGUUCAAUGCAAGGUGAGAAGGAGCACAAAAUUCCAUCUUGUUUCAACAUUUUUCCAGCUGAAGGAAUGGCCAGCCAAGGUUGUGGUAGGUCCAGAAACACAGAAUCAGCCAACCCAAAAAAUUCAUCUGGAAAUCCCUCACCCUGAAUGUCUCUGACUCCCACAGUAACUAAGGUGUUUAUUCCUGUCCUCUCAAAAUCCUCUCUGUCAAACGAGGGAUAAAUCAUAAACAGACAAGCCAAUGAAUCAGGCCUUUGCUCUCUAAUCAACCCAUAAAAGAAUAGAAGGAAUAAAGGAUCAUCUUCACAUCUUUCUACAAUGAGUUAGACAAGCAGAAACCAUAUAAGGGGACAAAACAUGCUCAAAAGAAGAAAAGAAAAGAUC